rnacentral:lncRNA from 1 species
CUCAACUCCCUGUUCCAUGAUGACUGCUUCCAUCGAGGGACAUUCUUUUACUUUGAACGUCCAUAAUUGCCUAAGCCUCAAAGCCAUAGAGGGGGUAAAAAUGUAUUUCAAGCUGCUACAAUUACAAACUUCCAGAUGUCCAAGGUUUUUAAAGUUCAAAAUCUCUUGAGGGCUCCUAUUCCAUAUUUCCAUCAACUCAGAAAAUGUGUCUGAGAGCUCCAAAUAAUAUCGGUGAUGGUAUCCACCCUAACAAACCCAAUGUAUUGCAAUAGUUAUAUAUGGUACAACAUAACAUUAAUCACAAAUAUAAAUAACAAUGAUAAACCUUCUUCUUUAAAGUUAUAGAACUAAUAUCAUUUAUUUCUAAAACAAUGAAAGAAGGCAAUAUUUCAAUCAGAAAAGUAAAAUUGUAGCAGUAGUUUGCAAAAUAAAUUGUAGCAGGAGGAAGUAACAUGAAUUAAUUCAUACCUUUUCGGAGUACAACUGUUGUAUGGUGGUAUUAAGGUCACCAGCCCAACGCCCUCUGUGAUCAUUACGCGAUUCUUUUACUCUCUGUAAUUGGGGGGUGGUUGAAACUCCCUGAGAAAAAACCUUCAAGCUAGGACAGCUACUCACAAUUAAGUCUUCCAAGGAUGGAAACUUAAAGGUAUGAUUCCCUGGACAAAAGCUUGCAAGGCUCUGUAAAUGAUAGAGUUCUAAAUAUUUCAACUUGCUGAAAGUGAUCUCAUUCUCAUAUGUUGCUUCAUCUCCUUCGUUUGCAACUAUUUCUGUCAUCCUUUCGCAGUAUUCUAUCCUUAUUUUUGUUACUUGUGCCAGACUUUGGACUACUGAAGGUGUAACUAAGUUUAUCAUCUUGUUGCACCUUUCCACUUCCAAAGUUGUGAGAUUUCGAAACGAUGCUGAGGAGGGUCCAAAAUUUAUCAAAUCAUUACACCACAGAACUUCAAGAGUUUCCAGAUUAGAAAGAAUGUGGCCUAACUUUGACGCUUUCUUACAUAUAUAUCUAAGAUUUUCACAAAAACCUAAUUUUAAUUUUCUAAUUCGUGAGAGUGUCCCAGCAUCGGGCUUUUCAGCAACAUUGCCUUCACAAGAGACUGGAUCUUUGAAGUCACAACAAAACAACUCAAGAUUUUCAAGAUUGUUCAAUCUUUGGACGAAACCAAUUGGAAAAUUGGAGCCACGCAGCGCGAAAACUUUAAUAGGGUGAAAGAAGUUUGCACGAAACUGAUUAUCACUUAUCAUUGCAAUGUCAUCAAUUUUUGAUAACCGCAGUUCCUCUAAUUGGGGAAUGACCUUCGAAACCAAUCAAAUGGGAAAAAGUCAGAGUCAAUGUUGCUCUACAGGGUCGAAAAAAAAAGUUAUUUUCUUUUUUUCAUACAUAGACAGUGGAUAAUCUUUCAAUAGAUGUACUAGAUGAUCUAAAUUUAUGAAUAUAUAGAUCUUUCAAAUAAAACAUUACAUGAUUAAAUUGUGUCUUGGACAUUCAUUUGAAAAAAUUUUUAAAUAAAUAAUUCUUAAAAAUUUUUCAGAUAAACCCGUUCAUUUUUUGUGUAAGAAAGAUAUUUUUAAUCUGAACAAAAUGUUUAAUAAUAUCGUAAGAUGUCAUUGUGUGUAAGGUACAAGGUAUAAUAAGACAACAAUAUUAAGAGAAAGAUAAGAUGAUUUUUAUGCUGUGUGCAAGAUAAAAUGUAUAAUAAGAUGAUUAUUUUUUCAUUAAUUGGUUAAAAUUACAUUUUCUUUCAUUCUUGCUUAUGUGUCUUGUUUCUAUUGGGUUCAACUUGUCUUUGGAUGUGAUUGACUAUAUGCGAUAAUAGGCAUUAGUUAGCUAGGUAUAUAAACUUUAUCUUACCGUCAAUUGAACUAAGAAUGGGUUUGUUGUUGUUUGCUAUCAAAUUUGAUUUACUUGGUUUUGUGAGUUUGUUGCCUGCAAGGUGUUGGGAUGCCUGCAAAUAUACUGUACUUGUAGUUUCUAGUUUUCAAGUUUGAUGAGAAAAAUUAUUUUUAAGAGUGGAGAAACCAUAUGCAGUAUUUUUGAAGAAUGUGGGAAUUUGGGACAUCAGAUAAUAUGGAAAAUUCAACGGAGGUGAGAGCUAAGAAUUUAUCAAGGGAACAUUGACAAGCCAAAGGGCCAGUCCCCUGGCUUCGCUCCUACUGAAAUGAAAAAGAGCGUAAUUAAAAAACUGUGUUAUAAAAAUUUUAAAACGGAGUGUGAUUCAUAUAAAAAAAAUGCCUAAAAAAAUUUUAAAAGGUGUGUUUACUUGACAUACAUUAAAAAAUUCAAAAAUUUUUACUUAUGUGUAUUGUAAAUUUUAUAUUUCAAGAAUCAAACUUUUUGCAUUAUUGGUAGGAAAAAACAUUUUUCAGUACAAAUUUAAUGUUCUUAUAAGUUAAAAUUGGAAUUAAUGAUGGUGCUAUAUAUAAAUUCUAUUAAAAGUGAAUUUAUUUCAUUUAAUACAUGUUUUUUCAUUUCAUUUUACAUAUGCUUUUUAAUUUAUUAUUUAUUUUUAGUAAAUUGGUGACAAAUUAAAAGAUUUAUUAAAUUAUAUAUACUUCAAAUUUCAAAAUUAUGAAUUUGUGAUAGAUAUGGAUGUGCCAUGCAUGUGACCGUGUUUUAGUUUUUUCAAAGGAAAAGUAAAGGCUCAGAAUAAUACCUCUUCCCCUAAAAAAAGUGGUUGUCCUUCUGUGGAUUCUCGUCGGUCAUUCUCAUUCAUUUCUUGGAUGCUAGGACGUUCUGAAGCUACUAUCUUUAUAAAAGUAGAACAAUCUGUCUUCAAUUUUUUCAACAUGGGCCAGACUAUUGUAUGUUGCCCUGGAUAGAAACAUUUCAAUUCUUCUAGGUAUGUAAGCUCCAGUGAAGACACUCGAGGAAACCUGAACCUAACCGGCUGCUCCAGUCCUUCCCCUAACGACACAAUCUCCUCCACCCCACAACAUAUUAUUGUUAGAUCUUCGAGUUGGGGAAGAUCUUUGGCUAUUGAUGCAGGAAAUAGAUUUUUCAGACUCCCACAAUGCCAAACCCUUACCUUUCGUAGAUUUUGAUAGGUAAGACUUCCUUGGGGAUCUUUAUUCCAAACAUGCUUCAGUUGUGGUAGAUUCUUAAUAUCCAAUUCCCUUAGUUGAGAAUCUAGAGGACCUGCUGGAAGUUGGUCAUGGAAUAUCAUCUUUACAUUUCUCAGGCUGGACAAUCUCAUCCUUUCCAAGCUAGGAAAUGCAGCCUACAUAAUUCGUGCCAAUAAGAAUUACUUGAGUUAGUUCAUGAAACUAAGGCAAAAAAAGCAAGGAGAAAGGAAAACAAGAGAGAGCAGUGAGAGAAUAAUUCACCUUCUCAUUGAACAGAGCUUGUAUACUUGACUCAUAUUUCCCCUCCAUUUUAGAUUCGCUAAUAAAUUCUUGUAUAGGGCAGUUCUCAAUCUCCAGCACUUUCAGUGAUGGGAACUCAAUAUUAUAAUUUCCUGAACCAAAUUUGAUGAGAUUGGAAAGAUACUUUAUUUUUAGGGAGUUUAAUCGAGGGAAGCAAAUUACAUCUUCCUGUUCUUCUGUUAUUUCCUCCGUAAAUAUUAUAUCUCUUAAACAUUUGCAAUCCACUAUCUCAAAGUGUUCAAGAUGAAUCAGGCUUCUAGCAACAGAGGGUAAUAAUAGAUGUUGUAAGUGAUCACAGUCCUCAAUGAUGAAGCUCUUCAAAUUGGGAAGGCAAUAACAAUAUGUUUCUGAAAGCUGGUUGUGCCAUAUCCUUUCGGUUUUAAUUGAGGACAAUCGCAAGCUUUUCAACUGAGGGAACACAAUCUGCACACAAGUACGAUUCUUUAUCCUUAAAAAUCUAGAGAAUAUAUAUCUAUAUUUUAAAUUGUGAAGUCCAAAAGUCCUAAAAUUGAAUGAUCUAAUACCCUCAUAUGUAUAAUUUAUCAAAUUCAAAAUUUUAUUUCCUUUUCUCUCUUAAUAAAAAGUUUGACGUUUAUAGUGAAAUUAAUGUAUUAACUAAGUUUUUUCUCAUAGAUCGUCAUGAAAUUAGAAUUAUAACUUUAACUAAUAAUGAAAUUAAAAGAAAAACAUAAAAGCAUUGCCGUUUGUUGAUGGAGCAAAUUAGGUAGGGUGGACUUGGGCUUCUAAUUUCUAAUUCAACACCGCCACCCACACUCCCUGUUAAAAUACUUGCCCCAUAAGUUCAAGGUCUACACUCAAAUUAUUUGUCCAUUAAAGGCAGAAGAAUAUGAAAAUGACAAAAGGAAAAAUUAUAAAUUUAUUUAUCGAUUGCAUAAAAAAUAAGAGUAAAUAUUAAACACUUAUAAAUAAUUACAAAAAAAAAAACAAUUCCGUAAUCAAUGACAAAUAACCUAUAAAUAACAAAAACUAAAAAUGAGUAUAACAUUCAUGCCACAAACAAAACCGAAUUACUUACAAAAAAAUUUAAGUUGGUCUUUGAAUAACUUGUGGAGGUAUAUCACUUUGUAAUAAACUUUAAUUAAAUCAUUAAUCUUAGACUAAAUUUUAUUAAUAUUUAUCAGUUAUAACUUAACUUCCAUAUGGUGUAUUAUAUGAAUAUAUGAAUUAAUUUUUAUUAGUAAGAAAGAGUAACAUUUUUCUUGCUUAUCAUUGGAUCAUAAUUGAUUUUUUAAUGAAAUAUUUAUUGUUUAUCAGCUCUUUUUUUUUUUAAAUAUUCAGUACCUUUUGAUGAUUAUUUAACAAUAUAUAUGACUUUCUAUAUAUUAUGGUUCCUCAUUUUGUCAAAUUAUUUUAAACAACAUAAACUGAAAUCAAUUUAUUGAGCUAUUUAAAAUUAAUUGGUUAGUCUUAUAUUCUAUGCGACUUAAAAUAAAUUUAAUUUAUUAUCACAAAAAAAGAUAAAUCAUAUUAUUUAUCAAAUAAAUAUAGUAAUAUAAUUAUUUAUUAUUUUUAAGAGCAUAUACUAUGGAAAUUUUAGUUGUAGUAGUAAAUUCUUUUUCAUAGAUGAACAUACAUACAAAAGAUGCUUUAAAUUUAUAUUUUAGUUACUUUUAUCUUUAUAGAAUUUAUUUGAAAACUAAAUUUAUUGAAUUGUCUAGAUCUCAUUGCUUGUUUUAUGUUUUUUUAAAAUGAGACUUCUAUGAAAAAAUCAAUCACUAUCCUAAGAUAUUGAAUAUUUGUUCGUAGUUAUAGAAUACAAUAUAGCUUUUAUAAAUUAAUACUUGAUAAAUUAAUAAUCUCAAUUAAAUAAUAGUUUUGUUUGGUCUCCACUUGAGACUAAUGUAGUAAAUUAAUAAUUUACUAAAUUUAUAAGAUAAUACAUUUUAAAAAAAAAACCCAUAGGUUCUACUUGAUAUAUAAAUUGAUAAUCUCCUUAUACAUUAAAAUUUUAUAUAUACACGACUCAAUUAAAAUAUCUCUAUAAAAUAUGACUCUAAUAUUACUUGUUUUCUCUUAAAAUUGAUGUCACCGUGGACCUUAUCUUUGACUCUAAUAUAUAAAUUAAUAAUCUUUAAAAUUGAUGCAAUUAUCAGGUGCAUAUGAUAGCUAGCUUGAGCUUUACACACAAGACAGAGCAGCUUGUAAAAAAAGUAUGAUUAAUUAAAGAUAGUAUUUUAUUCUAAUAAAAAAUAAAUUAAUGUAUAGUAUUUUAUUUUAAUAAAAAAUUCAUAAUAAAUAUGUAAAUUACAAUAUAUUAUAAUACAUUUUUCAAGGUAAUAAAAAAUUAAUAAAUUAAAAAUUAGACAAUAUUUAAUUUGAUAAAAAAUUAUCAAUUAUGGAAAGUUAACAUUAAUAAGGACUUCCAUGCCAAUAAGAAAAUAAAUAAAAAAGCUCUCAGUUAAAGACAAAUAAUUAAGAUAAUAAACUAUCAAAUGUAUAUAUACUAUUCUCUAUUUAUACUUUUGAAGUUCACGCAUUUAUAUAUAGUAAUGCUAAUGAUUAACUUUAAGUGUGUAUAUAUAUAUCACAAUAAAUUUUCAAUGUAGCUCAAUCUCAUUAAUAAUUGAUGAAUAUAGAAUAUAUUAAUUCUAAAAGGUACACAGAUACAUAUUUAAUAUAGAAGAAUUAUGGAGUAUUUAUCCUGGUAAAAGCUAUAAAGGCCAUCGAGAGAGUUUCUACUUAGUUUCCAUAGCUUCAUAAUUAAUUAAAUUAAAGACGCUUAACAAAACAAAUAAGAGAGUAGGGACUAGAAUUUGAAGUAGAAUACUGCUUGAUGUCGUUACCAAAUAUCAAUAAAAGCUCAAGUUCGAAAAUGGAAUGAGAAGCGAAACCUAUAUAUAUGUGAAAUUUGUAAUUAAGCCAUUGAAUGCUCCAUAAAUAAAUAAAUACCUGUUUAUUGAAAAGUGGCUUGGUGCUUGUAUUCCUCUGCUCCUUCUGGGAUGUGGAACUCGUCUUCUCUUCGGAGCUAAAGCCAAUGAGCCGUGGUAGAUCUUGGAGUGUCAUGGACUGUAACUGAGAAAAUUGAGUAUUCUCCGUUGCUAUAUACUGGACUUCCAAACCAUUUUGAAUGUGAAGUUUCUUUAAAUGUGGAAAAUCUUCACCAUUAUUCAACUCAGCAACUACGUUCUUGAUACCCUUAAGUUGAUCUAGAUAUAAAUCUUCUGUCUUCUUCAACAAUAUUUUCACCCCAUGAUCCAAGUGAAUGCUUGUAUCUAGCUUGAAUCUCAGUGUUCUUGAGCAUUUGUACUUGGCGAACCUCUCCCAUGCACCAUUACCUAUAAAAAUCUUGUAUCUGUCUAAUGUCUCACUGAAAAGGCAUUCUGGAAUUAUUUGGGCAUUCGGAAUAUCAACAUACAAAGUAGUUAGAUGAGACAAAUGCUUCAAUUCCUCAAGGCUAACAUUUCUUCUUUCACUACCAAGUGCUUCAUCUUCCCAUUGAACAAAGCUAUCUUCCAAAUAUAAUUCUUCUAAUUUGGACAAAUUGGAUAAGAUAUUUGGUGGGAUGAUUUUGAGUUCAGUGCAAUGCCUCAAAUCUAACAACCUUAACCGAGUCAAUUGUGCUAUCUCCCUGGGAAGCGCUUUAAUAUCUGAGCGUGCAAGGUUAAGGAUUUCUAAUUUCUUGAGCUUUCCAAUUAUGGUUAUGUCUUCCAGUGCACAUCGAUUUAAACGCAACAUGUGAAGAUUUGUUAGGAGAUUAAUUGACGCAGGUAGAGAUUGAAACUGCAUUCCAGCCAAAUGUAGGACUUUGAGUCUUUCUGUUCGCCUGAAGAAGUUGGCUGGAAUAUUCACUGAACCAUCAUUGUUCAUAAAGAGAAAGGAAAGAUGUGAACACUCCAACUCAUCCGGAAGCUCACUGAUAUUGGGAGAACUUAAGAAAAUUACACUGCAAGUUUUCAUUGUCUCCUGAUCGGGCCACUCUUUUAGCACAUCACCAUCUCUUAACACAAACAUAUGGUGGUCCCUUGAUGCAAUUGAUAUGGCAACAUCCCGAACAACAUCAUGGAUAUCAAACCGUUCAUCGUUAUAACUAUCAAGCAACAAACAAGACGAUUUGAGCUUACUCACCACUGUCAAUACUUUAUUUCUUGCUUCUUUUAUUGUGUUGACACCACGAAAGGAACCCAAACCCAUAACGCAUUGCAACAAGUUUUGAACGAAUCCAUUAUGACCAAUUAAACUACAAAGCAAGAAAGUGAACUUAACUUCCUCAUCUUCUAAACAACUGUAACUCAACUCUAAAGCUGAAUAUACAUCCGCUGUAAGCCCUGUGAAGCUUCUUGAUGAAGGCCUCUUUAGUUCACGCAAAGCAUUCUCCCAUUCAAACAAACGUUUGUUUCUCAAAGCCCUUGCAACAGUUGCGAUGGCGAUUGGCAGUCCUGCACAUUUCUUUGCUAUCUCGAUAGCUGUAGGCUGCAAAUCACAACUUUCAACACAGUCACCAGCCAUCUUUUUAAACAGGUCCCAGGCUUCUUUUUCAUAUAAAAGACCAACUACAAAAUUUUUUUGAGUUUCCAUCCCGCUUGAUAAAACAUCGAGAUGCCUAGACGUUAGCAGUAUCUUGCAUCCCUCAUGUUCAUUUCCAAAAGGAAUCCCAACUUCCUCGAGAUCUAAUCUUUCCCAAAUAUCAUCCAAAACAACAAGAAUCUUCUUCUCUUUCUGCAAUCUUUCUCGUAGUCUAAGUGCCCUUCCAACCCUACUCUGUUCCUCAAAUUUUAAACCCAAUUGCUCUGCAACUUGGUUUUGAAUGUCCUUAACAUCAAGGGUCUGAGUUACGGCUGCUAUAACUACGGAAUCAAAUAACUUGCCCUCCUUGACUUGUCUAGCAACUUCUUUGACUAGCGUGGUCUUGCCAACGCCACCCAUCCCGUGCACGCCUAGAACACCGAAACUAGCAUCCUUCAGUGCCUCAAUGAUUCCAUUCAAAACCAGCGUUCUUGACUCGAAUGCUUCGAAACCUUUAACAGAUGCGACCAUGGUACCUUGUGGACCUCCACGAUACGAAACGCUGUCAAAUUUGCCCUGUUCGAGUAGCUCAGCGACAGCCUUCGCCUCCUCUUCGGCUUCCAUGCUAAGCAUGUAACGAGUCCAGAAACCAGGACACAAGCCAAGGAAACACUUUUUCUUUGCUUUGUCUUCAUUCUGCAUUACUUUCUCUACUUCUUCAGCGAUCUUCUUGUUGACAGUAGUCAGCCACCUGUCGACAUCGUGUUCAAUCUCUUCACCGUUUCUCAUAGCAGCAUCAACAGAAUGCUGUACCCUUUGCCUUGCAUCCUUCAGGCUUUCAACUUGAUUCUUGAGGCUCCAGACCUGGUUCUCAUGAUUGCAAAGGUAUUUGAAGUGGUUUUUGAUGGGAGAGAUGGUGUACUUUGCAGCUGUAGUGACAAUGGAGCUAACAACGCCAACAACGAUCUCCAUUUUCUUUUGUUUUUCUUUUUUUUUUCCUUCUAUAAGUUGUGAGAAGCAAACUGAAAAAAAAAAAGAAGACAGUGGAAAAGGAAAACCAGAAUAGAAAAUUACAAUGAAACGACCAGAAAGAGAAGCCUCUUAUGCAGCACGCAACACCAAUGCAAUGAAAAGAAACCAAAGGACCUAAAAUUGGAAGGGGUUUCAGUGGCGUACCUCCUCAAAAGAGAGGAAUUUCCCCUUUCUUCACCUUCACUGAUGAGAUUGAAGAAGAGAUGGAUUCUUGAAAAGAUUAGUUCAGCAAUUAAUUCUCCAACAUAAGCAAGGGGCUAACAGAGCAAAGCGAGAUGUAUUUAACAAAGUCUAAGAACGAAAGUUCUGUUUUGGGUAGAUAAAGCUGGUAACAGAUGCGAUGGCCAACGAAAUGGAAGUCAAUGCGACACGACAAGAAUAGUGCAGGAACUGCCAGAGACAUUAAAAAAAAAUACCACCACGAAUUAGGUUGAUGACGAUGUGAUGUCUAACGACGCAAGUGUGUAGUAUGUCACUAAGAAAGUGCAGAAACUACCAAAUACAUUCAGAAAAAAUACUUCAAUGAAUUAGGUAGACAAAGCUCAGAGCAGAUGUGAUGGCCAACGAAGAAGUCAAUUCAACAUGACAAGAAUAGUGCAGAAACUGCCAAAUACAUUAAAAGAAAAUACUUCCAUAAAUUCUAUUUUAUAUAAACCAGAUGUCUAUAAAGGAUUGGACCGUCCGGAGCAUUAUGACAGUCUUGUAGUAAUGCUUAAAUAAAAAUUUCUAUGAUAGAUAGAUCAAAUAUAAAAAAAUUUAAAAAUUUAAAACAAGUUCUAGGAAUGCUUUAUUUGAGUAAGACUUUUUAAUUUAUUAAGUACUACAACAAAAUAUUCACCAUUCAAAUGCUAGUGAUAAAAUUUUUUAGAUAGAUAGUAUUUUAAAAACGAUUUAUAUUAGUAUUUUAAAAACGAUUUAUAUGCAUGUCGUUGAUCUACUCAUUAAAUUCCAUGCAUUUAUCAGUUUUUAAUUUUAAUUUUUAAUAAAUUAUUAUUUUUUUUAAAAAUACAUAAUUUUAUUAUUAAUUAUCAAAAUCAAAAUCAAAAUCAAUUUUAGACUUUUGUGAUUAAAAAAAAUAACAAUACAUAAAAGUAACCAAAAAAGAAACAAAAUAUCCAACGAUGGAGAAAUUGGACACUAACUGAGCCUCAAAAUACAAAUUGACAAUAGGGUUGUUGGCAUCUGGACGUAAUAAUUAUGGUGCCUAGAUUAGGAUAUAUUAAUCAGUCCACCACCCUGUUGUCCAAAUGAAAGAACGACGCAACAAUACAGUAGGACUUUUGCUGUUUAGACAUAAAUAAUUAGAGAAACUUGUGAGAAAUAACUCUCCUCAUAAGGUGAUUUCAGAAAUAGCCACUCAUAUAAAGUUAUCUGUUUUUAUCCAAAAACAAGCAUGAGUAGACCAAAAUGCCUUUAAAAACAUCUUGGCAAAUUAAUCUAUUGAUAUUUCCCUCCCGUCAUAGAGAAAAUAGAAAUAAAUGCUAAGCUAUUUUAGCUUCCUUAGCUCUCUUUCUUAGCUCUUUGAACUAUAUUAGCUUUUGUCAACUCUCUGUUGAGCACCAUCAUCAUCAGCUCUCUCAACUCUCUGAAUUGUAUCAGCUCUACCAACUCUCAAUUAAGCACCAUCGUCAUUGUGUUGUGGUCUAUCUCUCGACAUCUGGCCAUAUCGUAGUCAAUAAAGAGACCCUAUAGCAGAGAUGACAUCAAUGUAUGUUUUUGGGUUUAUUACUGCAACACAUUCAUUUUUGAAACUUUUUGUGCAAAUUAGAACAAACAUUGCCCAAAGUUGUUACCCGCUAUGCAUUUAUAAUGCACAUGGCAUGUAAAAAAUAUAUUGAAAUAACAUGUGUUAUCACAUGGCGUGUAGCAUUUUUAUUGAAAUGGCAUGUAACAUGUUGUGAACAUGGUCCGUAACAAUUUUGAACUUGCAUGUAACAUUUUUGAACAUGACAUGUAACAUUUUUUGAACAUUGCGUGUAAUCAAUGGCUGACAAAUUUUAGAACACGACAUGUAAUGUGUAAAAUGAUAGACAAAUUUUUUGUUUUCAAAAUUUCAGUGGGGUUCCAAUUGUACGACUUGUGAUAAGACAUGAUGGUUAGUGGGUGGAUGGCAUUUAUAAGGGUGGUGAGUCACAAAUGCGAGGGGUUAGAAGUGAUUUGUCAUUUGUGGGCUUGAUGAAGCUGAUUGAAGAUGUUGUUAGGGAAAACUAAAAAAUUCACGAGAUUGAGUUACAUGCAUUUAUCAGUACACUCGAAGAGCUAUCAUGCCUAAUUAUCAAGGACGAUGAGGAUGUUGCAUUAAUUCUGCUAAAACAGAGGAAUGUUUCGGCUGUGUAUGUCACCAUUAAGGAACGCCAAACAAAUGUUAUGUCACCAUUAAGGAACUCCAAACAAAUGUUAUGUCACAUGAAGAAGCUGUACAACAUGGUAAUCAGCUCAAUCAAAAUGAGAUUUACAGUGCUUCACAUAUACCAUAGCAUUCAGUCCGUAACCCACAACAAUGGCAAUUGACGUAUGCACAAGAAUUUGUGUAGCCCGGUAGACACACGACAUUAACAAAACAGUUGGUUGCAUAAUUUGGAUCAGCAUAUGCAUUGAACCGAUUACUUGCUUUUGUCCAACAAAUGCAACAAUCGGGUGAAACUGUAGAGGGUGUAAUGCCUUUUUUAAAUGAGAAUGCAACACUUGAGGACAACACUAUGACGUUGGAGGGGGACACUACGACGUUGAAGGGUGACAUUGCAUCUGAUAAGGGAAAUAAGGAUUUGUUCCUUGUCGGUGAAGAUAGAUUUGAUGACAAUUUCAAUGACGAGCGUGAUGAAUGGCAUGAUGACAGUUUAAACAAUGAUUGGCUUUAUGACAGUGACAUUCCAAUUUGCAAUAAUGUUGAAGGCGAAACGAAACCUGUUGGAGGUGUUGAUGUAGGAGAUGUUCAGUGUGAUAACCCCAUAUACAAUAGCCUCAUCACUAGUGAGAACGAGAUUCGUUUGCUUGAGACAUUGCUCGAUGACAAUUAUCAGGAAAGGAGAAAUGCAAGAAUUUCUCGUACGUGGCUAAUUCUAAGUGCAGAAAGGUUAUCCUUCCAAACAAUUACCACUGAGGAGUUGACAUGUGCCGAUGAUCGCUUAUACAAAGGAAGAAUGGUUUUUCUCGAAGGCCGAUUUGAAACGAGCUUUGAACAUAUUGGCUCUAAAAGAGCAGUUUAAGAUCAGCGUCAAAAGGUCAUGUAAAGGACUUUUUGAGGUUGGUUGUAAAGACAAGGCAUGCAAAUUCAGUGUGUGUGCAACGAAGUUACUUGAAGGAGAAUAUUGGCAAGUUCAAACAUUUCACAAAGUAUACGUGUUUAUUGUCGAUGGUUUGCAAAGGCGAUUUUAAAACGUAAGUGCUAAAAUAAUUGGUGAACUUAUGUCACACAAGCUUCAGGCUAAUGGAGUAGCAUUAAGACCUAAGGACAUAAUUGAUGAGGGUUCAGUGGGGAUUGGAAUGCUUGUAUGGUAAGGCCUGACAAGUGAAAGAGUAUGUGGAGAGGCUUGUUUUCGAUCUUUCAGAUGAGUCAUUUUAACUACUACCCUCGUAUUUUUAUAUGUUGGAACAAGAAAAUCCCAAUACAGUCACUGCAAUGGCUAUUGAUGAGGCACACAAAUUCAAAUAUUGUUUCUGGUCAUACGGGGCUUGUAUUCGAGGGUUUAAGGAUGUAAUGCGUCCUACGGUUGCAAUUGAUGCAACACAUCUAAAAGGUAGGUUUAAAGGUGUUCUAUUUGUCAUUGUAUAGAAAGAUGUGAACAAGUGUGUAUAUCCAAUUACAUCUGUGUGAUGCGGUUGGUUGUCUUGAAAACAUUAUGCUCAUUUAUGAUCAGCAUCUUGGUAUUAAGAAAGCAAUACAAAAUGCAUAACUAGAAGCGCAUCACGGUUUAUGCGGUUACCACUUGAAGAAAAACUUUAAAACAAGUUCAAGCGCGACGACAUUUCUAUGAUUUUCACCUUUGCUUGAGAUUGCUAUAAGGUUUUCGAUUUCAAUAGACAUAUGAACCAGCUCAAGCAGAUUCACGCGGGAGCCCAUUCUAACCUUAUGAGAAUAGGCCCUCAGAAAUGGGCACGUGCACAUUCACCGAAAAGGCGAUACCAACUCAUGACAUCUAACAUUGCGGAAUGUGUUAACUCAUGCUUGAAGCAUGCAAGACAAAUGCCAAUCAUUGUUUUGAUCGAGUUCAUCAUAGACAUGUUUUUGUGUUGGUUCCAUGAUCGAUACAAGGAGGCCACCAAGGUGACCACGCCCCUCAGCCCUUGGGUUGCCAUGCAGUUGAGCAAACGGUUCAAUGUUGCACAUCCAUUUGUAGUUAAACCUAUCAAUUGAGUGGAGUUUGAAGUUAAAGACGAGAAGAUGGACGAACUUGUAAACUUGUCCAGGAAGACGUGUUCAUGUUGUGAGUUCUAAACAUAUCUAUUGCCAUGCAGCCAUGCCAUUACAGCAAUAAGGUCAUGAUAUCUUUAUUUCUUAUUUAAACCAUAAGUAACAUAGCAUUUACUUUGUGCUUGAACAUUGAGUUCAUUGUAUUUUUAAAUAAAUGCAAAAGUGAAGCUGUUGAAUUCUAUUUUGACUAUUACAAGACAACCGUUUUGGUGGAGGAUUAUGUGGGGUCCAUUCGCUCGAUAGGGCAUCCUAGUGAGUGGGACAUCCCCCUCAUGUGAAAUAAAUUGUCGUUUUGCCACCACCUUGGCAUGGCCAAGUAGGAAAACCUAGAAGGAAAAGGAUUUCAUCGACUGGUGAAGGUAGUCGAGCACGGAGAUGUUCGCAAUGCAAGAGGUAUGGGCAUAAUAAAUAAAACUGCCCAUCCCCAUUUGUAGUUCCAUCUAUAAAUCUGGCACCAUUUCCAAGUCAAUCGGUGCCUCAUGAGUGCGACAACCAAAAGUAUGUUCAACUUAUAGACAAACUAGUCACACACGCAACACUUGUCCAAUAUAAAGGAUAAUGUUUGAAAAUGUAAGGUGCCUUGUAGAUGAAGAUAGUUUGUCAACCUAACUAAUGUGUGAGCCAUACGUAAUACCUUUCUCACAAUUUUCUCUUGUAGUUUCUUACAUUCAUUCAUAUUUUGUGUUUGUUAGUUUCCUCUUGUAGAUGAGUUUUUAUUUUUUUGAUUUUUUUUGUAGAUAUAUUAUUUGAUUAUUUGAAUUUUGUGUUUAGUUUUGAUCAGUGAAUAGAAAAUUGUCAUAUUGUUUGUUACUAAUCUUGAUAAUUUGCUAUGUAAUAUCAUAUAUAUUAUUUAAUUUAUGUCGAUUAGUAUAAUUUUUAACAAGUUUUAUAAUUAAUUUUAGAUAAAUACGUCAUGGAAAGAUACUGUACAAAAAAUUGAUCUCACCAGACUCAAAUUUCAAGCAACAAUGACAUAACAUUCUUUCCAUAAAAUGACAAAAAUAAGAAAGUUCUAAAAUGACGUAGUUUUUAUGAAAAGAAAGACAAAAAUAAGAAAGAAAAAGCGUGAAGAAAAGUAGAAAAGAAAUUCAAGUAAGGCAUUAUUAAAUAUAAGUGUUUCGGUGUGAGGGUAAAUACACUGAUUUAUUUGUUAGAGGACUUGGUUCGAAGCUCAGGAAGUGCAUCUUUUGAAAAAUAAAUUGUCACGUGUUUGCGUCUAAAAAUGCCACGUGGUAGCCUUUUGAUGUGCCACAUCAGCAAUCAAUGUCAUUUGAACCCAAAAACACCACAUUAGUAAUCCACUCCAAAAGUGCACGUGGUAUUACCACAUUAGCCACACGCUCCAAUUCUUAGAUGUCGAUGACAUCUUGUGGUGACAAGCUAAGUGGUAGUAGUAUUAUGGGGUGACACAGUACGCCUCAAUUGUUUGAUGUCUAUAACAUCUUGUGGUGACAUGUUGAGUAGUCGCAGUAUUAUGGGUGACACGCUGAGUGGUAGUAGUAUUAGGGAGUGAUACGCCUCACCCCAAUUGUUAGAUGUUAAUGACAUCUUAAGGGGACACGUUGAGUGGUUGCAGUAUUAUGGGGUGGCAUGCCAUGGCCCAAUCGUUAGACGUCAAUGACAUCUUGUGGUGACACGUUGAGUGGUUGUAGUGUUAUGGAGUGACACAUUGAGUGCUUGCAGUAUUAUGAGGUGACACAUUGAGUGGUUGUAGUAUUAUAGGGUGACACGUUAAGUGUUUGCAGUAUUAUGGGGUGGCAUGCCACGACCCAAUUAUAAGAUAUCAAUGACAUCUUGUGGUGACACACUGAGUUGUCGCAGUAUUAUGGGAUGACACGCUGAGUGGUAGCAGUAUUAUGAGAUGACACGUUGCACCCCAAUUGUUAGAUGUUGAUGACAUCUUGGGGUGACAUUCUGAGUGGUUUCAAUAUUAUGGGGUGACACACCACGCUUACUUUUUAAGACAGUGUUGGUAGUGCUGGACAGUAUUGCAGCACUAGGAGCUUGGUGCUGCAGCACUAGAGCUUUUGUUUGGUGAGGUGUUUAUGCUGAAGGGAACAAUUGCUGCAAUCAGGCUACUUCUAAUGCAUAUUUUGACCAUGCUUGGAUCAAAACUAGGUAAAAGUGAAAAACAUGAAAAUUAUAGCCUUUCCUCUUAGCUUUCCAAUGGUAUAAGAAUCACAUUGAUUGGAGUGCUGUAGCUUGUUAAAUGUCAUUUACGACUUAUUGUGACUCACCAUUAGUAAAGACCCAUAAGUUGAAGGUAAAACAACCAAUUAAUUUAAUUUACAUCAGUUUCUGAUCAUUAUAGGCACUGUGUCUAAAUUAAAAAAUUAUUGUAUAAAAUGUACAAAUAUUAAAAUUAAUAAAACUAAUUGUAUCUACAAAAAAAUGUGCAUACAACUGUAGAUAUGUUCAUGAAGCAGGGGUUUAGGGUUCGCUCUAACAACUGUUGGUAAAAAUUUCUAAAGCGUAUUGGCGAUGCAUUUUAGCAAUCAUAUUCUGUUUAACUCUAAUCGGUUCUGAUUGCAAAAUAUCAUCAAUGUACCUUAUGGUGAACAUACGACAACCGACACUAUCAUUCAAAUGAUGCACUAAUGCUUUUGGGAAAUGAAUUUCUAAUAACAUCGACAUGGAAUCUCGUGUCUUACGACGCAUUUUUUUGAAAUAACUGGAUUGGUGGCGAAUGAUGGGCAUCAUCGUCGUAAGGGAUGUCAUCUGAGCCGUACGCACUCCGUUAUCCUUAGCAGUAAAAAGUUCUUGCGGAGUCCACCACCUUAAUCAUCCACCUGACCAAGUCGAUCUUCGUAACCACACAGUGCCCACACACAUUGCAAAGCGUGAGGAUGAAAUCGACAUCUUCUCAUUUUUUCCCGUAUGUCAGCCUAGCACCCUCCACGUAUCCUCACAACUCAUUUGGAAUUUCCAUAGUGUACCGUCCAUCUGAGGUUGGAUAUAUGGUAUAAGGCAUACGGAUGGUGUUCUGUGAAAUAUGUAUACAUUAGCUUACACUUAAUGCAAUCCAAAACUUUAGUAUUUUCAUAAUUGAAAAAAAUGAGCAAAUAAACUUACGAAGAAUAUUGUAUCAACCACGCAUGCGCGGAUGUUGUACAACUUGGACUUCAACCUUGUCAUUCACUUACACAAUAUGCUGAGGCAUGCGUAAAUUUCUUCAUUUGUCAUUUCUCGAUGUUACGCCUGCACAUGUAACAAAAUGAAUUUCAAAAGGCUUGAUGGAUUAAUGUUUCAUUCAAAAACAAUAUUUGCAAUGUUAUUUAUAAGUUUACCUAGCACACUCGUCUUUCUUGAAAGCUUCGUACGCUUCUACCAUUGAGUUCUUCAGAUCUCGACAGCUCAUUGAUGGGUCGACAUAUGGGCUUGCCAUGUAUUUACUAGCCAUUUUGACCCGUGUUCAUUUAGUUGGGUUUGAAAUGAGUGCUUCACCAUGAUAGACAUCAGACAACUCUGGUGAUGACAACCGUGAUGCGCUGCCUUUAGGAGUGUUUUGAGGAACAUGGUCCCCUUCAGCCUGAACUGAUGCAAGGUUCCCAUCCCAUCCCGUAGCUAUUUCGACUACUGCAUCGGCUUGAAGAACAUGGUCUCCUUCAGCCUCAACUGAGUGAAAGUUCCCCUCCCUUCAUGCAAAUGCAUUGACAACCGUAUUGGCUUGAAGAACAUGGUCUCCUUCAGCAUCAACUGAUUGAAGAGUCACAUCCCCUGCCAUAGCAUCAUCGAGAACGUCAUUGACAUGAGUUACAUUUUUUUUGUCAACACCAACAACGUCAUGGUAAAUGUGAACACCAAGUUCAUUAUGCUGCUGAUCAUUAGCAUCAUCGUGGUGCUCACCAUUAUAGUGAGCUAAAGCACCGCCCUACAUAACAAGACAAAUGGAAAAAUUCCUUAACUCAUAAAAUACCAUAAACCAUAAAUCGAGAAUAAAAAAUAGGACUACACCUGCUAAACAUAAACUACCAAUAUAUGAGCGAAGAUAGAAUAAUGUACUUGUGAUUUCAGGCUACCUAGAAUCCGACCAAUAAUACGAUCCUUAAAUGUCUGCAUUGCGAGAGUUAAUGACUGAAUUGAAGCCUUCAGCACCAACAUGUCUUUUUUAUGCUUGCGCAUGAUCCGUCGCAGCUGACGUUUGGUGACUACGCUGUCAUUGACUCUUGUCGAAUGGGUCAACUGUAAUAACAUAUAUUACUGUGUUAUUCAAUAAUCAUAUAUUGAAUUAUUAAACAUAAACCGUUAGAACUUUAAUAUCCUUACCGACGACUAGUUAGCACUGUGCAGUUGAGUAGGACUGAUCGAUGGUUAAAGAGUUGUGGUUGCCUUCGUCAACUACAAUAAUAGAAAUUACUAUGUUAUUCGAUAAACAUAUGUGGAUAUGCUGAGCACAAAAUGUUGGAACUGCUCUUACCAACGGCUUGUUAGCAUUAUGCGUUUGAGCAGGAUCGGUCGAUGGUUGAGGAGCUGUCAUCACCUCUGUCAACUGCAAUAACAAAAAUUACUAUGUUAUUUGAUAAACAUAUGUGGAAAUGUUGAACACAAAAUGUUAGACCUGAUUUUACCGAUGGCUCGUUAGUAUGUGGGUUUGAGGAAGAUUUAUCGAUAGUAUAAGAGUUGUCGUCGCAUGAUUCAACUGCAAACACAAAUAUGUUAUUUGAUAAUCAUAUAUGGAAUUAUUGAAUACAAAUCGUUAGAAUCGUCCUUAUCGACUGUUCACUAACAUUCCCAUGGUCGUUUGCUUUUUCUAUCAACUUAGGGCCCGACAGCUCAUCGUCUCCAAAAGCGGACCAGCGGCUUUUUCUCUUUCAAGUUUUUCUUCUUUUCUCUUGCACCUAAACCCCAAUUCGCUCGAUCCUCCGUGUACUCUAUUGGCACAUACUGGUGUCCUUCCGAUAAGGGGACAUAGAUGUCCAUAAAAUACUCUUAUGUGGCCUCAUCCGAGGUGGGCUUCAAGGUUUCGAGUGCCUACAACUGUAAAAUAGGUAUUUUCAUUAAAUUUUAUGAUAAUUAUUAUACAAAUUCACAACACAAAUUAGUAGUUAUUCAUUCACAUGUUGAUGAUAACUCCAACUUCUUAACCAUCUUGCAGAAGCCUUUCGGUUUCUAAUUCCAUUUUCAUUUGCACAUACGUGGAUAGACGUUGUCCUUCGAAGCAGAGGGGAUAACUUUUUUUUGAAAGGCAGGAAUAGCCUCCAUUGCCCAAAACUGGAAGUCAAAUGUAAUCAUUAUCAAACCGUAAAUGAUAAAAAAAUGCAACUAUAAAUUAUUAAGUCAAAAGAAAACUAAAAAUAUUACGUGACAGUAUCUGUAUCACCCAUGUGAAUCCAUAAAUGUUGUAGCAUAAACGAUUAUCCUUCUGCAAGUUUGGGGUAGGCACUUUGAACCCUUUCAAUAGAUAAUUCUCAAUCAACCUUCAAACAUAGUGACCCCAAGGGAAGACAUUCCAAGCGUCAAUGUCUUUUACCAAUUACAAGAGCCAAGGUGUCACUCGUUUAUGUUAGUCUUGACCAAAUAAAAUGUUAUUCAUAAGCAAGAUGAGUGCCAUCUUAGUCGCGUCUCCUGGUCGUUGAAAGUUGCCUCCGUGGAACGUAUCAAGCAACGUCUGCAGCUUAACGCUCAAUUGCCUGUUCCAGUAUCUCACUUGAAUUCCAUUAGGAACAACCUCGUACGGUCGUGUGAAUACAUUAGGCAUUCGGCCAAACUUGAGUUCGGUGAUAAGGCAAAACUCCUGCUUUGAUAUACGCGCCUUUCUCUUGCCAAUAGCAAACCAUAGCUCAUGGUCCAUUGACUCUGUCUCAGUGAUUCGACAAAUCAUGAUGUUCUACAGGAGAUUAGAGCAAAAAGUAGCCUUGUGGAUAUAGGUCCAAUAGCAUUCUAAAGCACAUAUGCUUGACUGCAUCGUACUCCUCUUUCUCUUGGAGAGUCGUGUUGAUGUAAUGUAGUUACGACUAUUUACAAUGGGUGUUAAUGAAGACCUUGAACGCUCACUUCUCCCUAAGCACAAUAAGCAAACUGUCAAGAUCAUCAUAUUAUCUGAACUGCAUCUGCAAAACAUGACAUACAUGUACUAGUGAGUUAACCCAUAAUGUGCAACACGGUAUAUUGAAGAAAGAAAUAGAUGUUGUUAUACGAUAUGCAUACUAAGUAAAAUAUUGUUACAUGCUAAACAUAGCAGGUCAAAUGCUGUUACAUUCUAAGCAUAUCAAGUUAAAAGUUGUUACACACCAACAUUGAGUAAUGUGGUGACAUGCCAACCAUGCCAUGUCGUGACACGUCAAUCACUAUAAUUAUUGUCUCGUUACACGAAUUGCCUUAAAAUACCUAAUGUGGUGACAUGUCAAUCAUGCCUAUCGUAACACUCCAAUCACUAUAAUUAUUGACUCGUUACAUGAACUGUCCUACAAUACCUAAUGUGGUGACAUUCUAAAAACAUCAAAAACCAAUUAACCCACUACACGCCAAAUCAAAUGUUGUAGUUCGUGUUACUCGAUAUGCAGGUGCAGACCCCCCUUCAAAACUUUGGUACGACCAUAAAACAUGUUAAAAAAAAAUAUUAUAGUUCUCUCUCUCCACAAUUUAUCCAAAAACCAUAAAACCAAGAAGAAACAGUUAAAACAUAACAAAUGCAAAAACAUGAACAUAUCACAGCAACCUAGCAAAAAAUAAACUAAUAAAAGAAAGUUUUAAUUUGAGAUUGACUGACCUCUUCACUGAUAACCGACAUUGUUGCUAUGAUGUCAUUAAGCUUGCAAAGAACAAAAGUCGAACACUUUGGUCCCUUUGGGAAUGAGGAAUGAAUCAAACUUUCUUAGAGCUUUCACACAAACGUUUGUGAAUUUUGAAAAAUAUAUAAUAAAAUGUAAUGGCCUUAUAAUAUUCAUUCAGUGGAAGCUCAAAUGGUUUAUUUAUUUUUUGGCCACAUUUUUUUUUUCUAUUUCAAACCAUGGUGUGUCCCAUAUGUUCACGAUGCCGUGUCACACGAUUCCAACAUGCCCUGUCAUAUAUUCUCACCAUGCUGUGUCACACAUUCCCACCAUGGCAUGUCACAAACUCAAAACCCUACCGUGUCACAUAUUCUCACUGUGUCGUCUCAUACAUUCUCACUCUGCCGUGUCACAGAUUCUCUCCACGGAGUGUCACAAACUCUGAACCCUGCCGUGUCACAAACUUUGAAUCCUGCCGUGUCACAGUCGUGUCACAUAUUCUCAUUGUACCAUCUCACACAUUCUUACCCUACCAUAUCAUAGAUUCAUUCCAUGGCGUGUUACAAACUCUAAACUCUGCCUUAUCAUAGCCGUGUCACAUAUGCUCACCAUGCCGUCUCACAUAUUCUCACCAUGGCAUGUCACAUAUUCAUACCAUGGCGUGUCACAUUCUCACAUUGGAGUGUCACAUAUUCUCAUCAUUUUGUCUCGCAUAUUUGCUCCAAGCUGUGUCACAUAUUCUCACCGUGUCGUGUCACAUAUUUCCUCUAUGGCAUGUCACAAACUCCAAAUACUACCAUGUCACAGCCGUGUCACAUAUUCUCACCAUGACGUGCCACACAUUCCCACUAUUUCAUGUCACACAUUCCCAUUAUGCCAUGUCACAAACUCUAAACCCUACCGUGACACAGCUGUGUCACAUAUGGCCUACUGUAGCACGACCAUUUUGUGCUUUGGGUUCACAUCUUUUUCCUUCCAAUUCACUAUUGUAUCAGGAAUUUCUGAUUUCACAUCAUUCUCGAAACUUUGGAUUCAUCACGAUGGAUUUCUCUUUCAGUUUAAUACCAUCAUUCUCAUAUUGUUUGAACGUCAUGUCUGAAAUAUCUGAAAAACCAUCUCUUGCAACAUGAUUUUGUUUGUUUUGUUUUGCACAAGCUUCUUGGAAACAAAAAUGGAUGUUUUGUACAAAAUUAGAGGGAAUAAAUUCUUUGCAAAUUUAUUUUCCCCAAUAUGUGUGUGUAUGAGAAUGCGCGUUAAUGAAGAUAUCUCAUUAAGGGCAUUUUUAUCCUUAAAUCUCUUCUCUUGGUUUAAAACAGUUAAAUUAUUUAAAAGAUUAUUUUCAAAAAACUUUAUAUUUUAGGACUAAAAAAAUAUUUUUACCUAAUAAUUAUCGCGCUUAGAUUACGACAUAUAUUAAUCAGUCCUCCACCCAACUAUAUGUCUGAAUAUAGAAACCACGCAACAAUACUUGCCUAAAAGUAGCACCUUAAUUAAACAAUAGUGUGCUCAGCCUACAACUCUUUUUCAUUAUUCAAAGAGUCCUAGCUAGACUACCUCAACUAAAACUCUAGAUCAAACUCUCAUCCGAUAGUUUUUAAAUGAUCAAAUUAAAAAAAUUCAACUCCAUUAGCAAUCUAAUUCUAUUGCAAUUAAAACUCCUAAUGACAGUAGAGACUUAUAAAACCAUCAAGAGUCAUUCAGCCAAUGGUACUAAUCCAACCACAUUUUUAUCGUAUGAAGUAUCUCCAUAGACAAAUAAACAUCCACACAAUCAACGCCAUCUGUUUAGUCAAAAUUUUGAGCUAAAUUCAAGACUAAUGCAAAGAGCAAACAAUGUUUAUGUAAACUUGAAUUUGAUUCUUUAAUUCUUUUAUUAUUUCUAUGCAAGAAAAUUGUGAGAAAAGGACCUCAUGAUAAAGGUGAUUUCAGAAAUAACUACUCAUAUAAAGUUAUCUAUUUCUAGCCAAAAGAAGCAUGAGUAGACCAAAAUGCCCUUAAAAAUAUCAUUUCAAAUAAAUGCUCAGCUGUUUGAGCUAUCUCCUUCCCGCUAGAGAGAAAAUAGAAAAAAAUAAAAAUAAAUGCUCAGUUGUUUGAGCUCGUCAUUUUUCUCUCUCAACUCUCUGAACUGUCUCAACUCUGGCAAGUCUCUGUUGAGCACCAUCGUCAUUAGCUCUCUUAGAUCUCUGAACUGUAUGAGCUUUGUCAACUCUCUGUUGAGCACCAUCGUCAUCUAGCUAUGGUCUAUCUCUCAGCAUCUGGCCAUAUUGUUGUAGAUUAACAGACCCUAUAGCAGAGAUGACAUCAAGGUACCUGUUAUUGGGUUUAUUAUUUCAACACACUUAAAUUUUUGAAACAUUUGGUGUAAAUUAGAAGAUGGAUUAAAAACAUUACCCAAAGUUAUUACACGUCAUGCAUCUAUAACAUGUGUUAGCGUUAUUUUAACGUGUCACGGCAUUGGUUCCAUGCAUGACAUGUUACAAUAUUUAACGUUAUAUGCAUGGCGUGUUACCACAUUGGUUUUUGGCAUGUCACGACACUGAUGCAUAGGUUAAUUGGUCACAUGGGUUUUUGGCAUAUCUCGACACUGAUGCAUGGCGUGUCACGACACUGAUGCAUGGUGCGUCACAACAUUUGACUUGAUAUGCAUGGCGUGUCACGGCAUUUAACGUUAUAUGUAGGCGUGUUACCACAUUUUAUAUUAUAUGCAUGGCGUGUCACCACAUUUUUCGUUAAAUGCAUGACGUGUUACUACAUUUUACAUUAUAUGCAUGGUGUGUUACCACAUUUUACGCUAUAUGCAUGGCGUGUUACAACAUGUUAUGUUAUAUUCAUGGUGUGUAAUCAUAUUUUACGUUAUAUGCAUGGUGUGUUACAACAUUUUACGUUAUAUGCAUGGCGUGUAACAGCAUGACUGACAAAUUUUUGAUCACGGCAUGUAUUGUGUAAAUUGAUUGACAAAAUUUUUUUUUUACAAAAUUUUAGUGAGGUUCCAAUUGUGCGACUUGUGAUAAGACACGGUGGUUAGUGGGUGGAUGGUAUUUACAAGGGUGGUGAGUCACGAAUGCGAGGGGUUAUGAGUGAUUUGUCGUUUGUGGGCUUGAUUAAGUUGGUUGAAGAUGUUGUUAGGUUAAACUCAGAAAUUGACGAAAUUGAGUUAUAUGCAUUGAUCAGUACACCCAAAGAGCUAUCACUGCCAAUUAUCAAGGACGAUGAGGAUGUUGCAUUAAUUCUGCUAGAACAGAGGAAUGUUUCGGCUGUGUAUGUCAACAUUAAGGGACGCCAAACAAAUGUUAUGUCACAUGAAGAAGUUGGAUAACAUGGUAAUCAUCUCAAUCAAAAUGAGAUUUACAAUGCUUCACAUAUACCACAGCAUUAAGUCCGUAACCCACAACAAUGGCAAUUGAGGUAUGCACAAGAGUUUGUGCAGCCCGAUAGACAAACAACAUUCAUAAAAAAAUUAGAUGCACAAUUUCGAACAGGAUGUGCAUCAAACCAAUUACUUACUUCUGUCGAACAAAUGCAACGAUCAGGUGAAAUGUAAAGUGUGUAAUGCCAUUGUCAAAUGAGAAUACGACACUUGAGGAGAACAAUGUGAGGUUAGAGGGUGACACUGCGAUGCUGAAGGAUAAUACUACAUUUGAUGAGGGAAAUGAGGAUUUGUUCACUGUCGGUGAAGAUAGAUUUGAUGACACUUCAAAUUAUGGGCUUGAACAAUGGCAAGAUGACAGUUCAGACGAUGACUGCCUUUAUGAUAGUGACAUUCCAAUUUGCAAUAAUGUUGAAAGCGAAAUGGAACCUAUUGGAGGUGUUGAUGUACGAGAUGUUCAGUGUGAUGACCCCAUAUACAAUAACCCAAUCGCUGGUGAGAACGAGAUUCGUUCCCCUGAUACAUUGCUCUAUGAUAGUGAUCAGGAAAGGGGAAAUGCAGGGAUAUCUCGUACAUGGGUUAUUGUAGGUGCAGAAAGGUUCUCCUUUCAAACAAUUACCACUGAGGAAUCGACACAUGCCGAUGAUCGCUUAUACAAAGGAAUAAUGUUUUUGUCGAAGGCUGAGUUGAAACGAGCUUUGAACAUGUUGGUUAUAAAAGAGAAGUGUACGGUAAGAGUAAAAAGGUCAUGUAAAGGUUGUUAUAAGGUUGGUUGCAAGGACAAGGCAUGCAAGUUCAGUAUGCGUGCAACGAAGUUACCUGACAAGGAGAAUAUUGGCAAGUUCGAACAUUCCAUAAAGAACACACCCGUAUUGUUGAUGGUUUGCAAGGGUGAUUUCCAACUACGAGUGCGAAGAUAAUUGGUGAACUUAUGUCACACAAUGUUCGGGCUGAUAGAGUAGCAUUAAGACCUAAGGACAUAAUUUGUGAGAUAAGGGUUCAAUAGGGAUUGGAAUGCUUGUAUGGUAAGGCUUGGCAAGCGAAAGAGUAUGCAGAGAGGCUUGUUUUCUGUCCACCGAAGGAGUCAUUUCAACUAUUACCUUCGUAUUUUUAUAUGUUGGAACAAGAAAAUUUUGGCACAGUGACUACAGUGGCUACUAAUGAGGCAAAAAGAUUCAAAUAUUGUUUCUAGUCAUACUGGGCUUGUAUUCAGGGGUUUAGAGAUGUAAUACGUCUUAUAGUUGUAAUUGAUUUGACACAUCUAAAAGGCAGGUUCAAGGGUGUUCUGUUUAUCGCUAUAUGCAAAGAUGCGAACGAGUGCGUAUAUCUAGUUGCGUUUGGCAUCGGCCACGUUAAGGACGAAGACUUGUGGACAUGGUUUUUUAGCAAGCUACGUGAUGCGGUUGGUUGUCCUGAAAACACUAUGUUCAUUUUUGAUCAACAUCUCGACAUUAAGAAAGAAAUCCAAAAUACAUACCCAAAAGAGCACUAUGGUUUAUGUGGUUACCACUUGAAAAAAACUUUAAAAACAAGUUCAAGCUUGACGACAUUUGUAUGAUUUUCACCCUUGCUCGAGAUUGUUAUAAGGUUUUCGAUUUCAAUAGACAUAUGAACUAGUUCAAGCAUAUUCAUGCGGGAGCCCACGUUGACCUGAUGAGAAUAGGGCCUGAAAGAUGGACACGCGCAUGUUCACUAGCAAGGCGAUACCAAAUGUUGACAUCCAACAUAGCGGAAUAUGUUAAUUCAUGCUUGAAGCAUGUAAGACAAAUGCCAAUCAUUGUUUUGUUCGAGUUCAUUAAAAACAUGUUCCAGCAUUAGUUCCAUGAUCGGUACGAGGAGGCCGUCAAGGUGACCAUGCCCCUCAGCCCUUAGGUUGCCAGGCAAUUGAGCAAACGGUUCAAUGUUGCACAUCGCUUUGUAGUUAAGCCUAUCAAUCGAGUGGAGUUCGAAGUUAAAGAUGGAAAGAUGAAUGGACUUGUAAACCUGUCCAGGAAUGUGUGCUCAUGUUGUGAGUUUCAAACAGAUUUACUGCCAUGCAGCCAUGCCAUUGGAGCAAUAAGGUUAGAAUAUAUUUAUUUCUUAUUUGAACCAUAAUUGACAUAGCAUUUACAUUGUGCUUAAAUAUUAAGUUUAUUGUAUUUUUCAGUAAAUGCAAACAUGAAGCCAUUGAAUUCUGCGCUGACUACUACAAGACAACUGUUUUGGUGGAGGGUUAUUCAAGAUCCAUUAGGCCUGUAGGGCAUCCUAGUGAGUGAGACUUCCCCCCUCACGUGAAACAAAUUGUCGUCUUGCCACCACCUUGGCGAGGCCAAGUGGGAAGACCUAGGAGGAGAAAGAUUCCAUUAACUGAUAAAGGCAGUCGAUCACGUAGAUGUUCGCAAUGCAAGAGGUACAGGCAUCACAGACAGAAUUGCCUAUCCCUAUUUGUAGUUCCAUCCACAAAUCCGGCACCAUCUCCAAGUCAAUCGGUGCCUCCACGAGUGCGCUGACCCAAAACAUGUUCAAGUUGCAGGCAAACCGGUCACACACGUAACAACUGUCUAAUACAAAGGACAAUGUCUGAAAAUGUAGGGUGUGUUGUGGAUGAAGACAGCUUGUCCGCCUAACUAAAUGUGUAACCCAUGUGCAAUACCUUUCUCACAUACAUUCAUUCACAAUUUCCUUUGGUAUUAUCAGAGUCUUCGGCCCACUCACAUAGGUUUAUCUCUUAAUAUUAGUAGUCAUUCCAUGCUUAUUGUUCCUUCAUAAGAUUUGUGUGGCCACUUGUACUUGAUGUUUUAAUUGUAGUUGAGUUGGUUUUGCUUUAUAGAGUUGUCUGCUCGGUCCUUCUAUAAGCCACUUUUAGUUACGAACUUUGUUGUCAAACAUUUCAGGCAACUAAGCCUGUCAAGGCCUUUGUAUGAUCAAGAUCGUGUUAAAGUAUUAUUCUCCUUAUCCUUCUAUUCUUACUAUUUCUAUGUAUAGUCACUUAUUUGUUUAAAAGUGUUAUAUAUCAUCAAAGUGGUUGAAAUUUCUUAUAUGUUGUUUCUAUUACCAGGAUUUUUAAGUGAAAAAGGCCUUGAAAAGGGUGAAGGUGCGACUUACCCACAUGGCUUAUGCAAAAACUUGCAAAAUCGUUAGCAUAUCCAGAAUGCCAAUAAGCCAGUUAACGUGAGUUUUUGCAUACGCCAUGUGGGUAAGUCGCACCUGAGGAGGACAAAACGUCGACUCCUUCAACUGCAAUCAUAGAAAUUACUGUGUUACUCCACAAACAUAUGCAGAAAUGUUGAACACAAAACGUUACAACUAAUCUUACCGACGGCUCGUUAGCAGUCUGCGUCUGAGGAGGGCCUAUCGGUGGUUGAAGAGCUGUCGUCGCAUGGUCAAACUGCAAACACAGGUAUGUUAAUCGAUAAUCACAUAUGAAAUUAUUGAACACAAACUGUUACAAUCGUCCUUACCAGCUGUUCACUGCCAUUGCCAUGCUCGUCCCCUUCCUCCAUCAACUCAGGGGUCGACAGCUCAUCCACUAAAGCAGCAGCUAUGGGCCUCCACUUGAUGCCACCAGUAGCUUUAUUCUCUUUUAAUUUUCUCCUAUUUUCUCGAGCACCUAAGUCCCAAUCUAGCCGAUCCUCCAAGUGCCUUAUUGGCAUGUACUGGUGGCCCUCAGAUAACGGGACAUCAAUGUCCACAUAAUACUCCUGGGUGGCCUUAUCUAGGGUGAGCUCUAAGGUCUCGACUGCCCACAACUACAAAAUAAGGAUUGUGAUUAAAUUAGACCAAAUAAAAGUAUUAUACAAAUGCACAGUAGAAAAUAGUAACUGUUCACUCACCAGCUCAGAUGACUCCAACUUCUCAACUGUUUUGUAAAAGUAUUUCAGCUUCUGAUUGCAUUGCCAUCUGCACAUACGUGGGUAAACGUCAUUCGAAGUAGAGGGGGCAAUUGUUUUUUGGAAGGUCGAAAUUGACUCCAUUGCCCAGAACUGCAAGUCAAAUGUAACAUUAUCAGACCGUAUAUGAUAAACAAGGGCAACCAUAAAUUUUUAUGUCAAAACGAAACAGAUAAAUGUUUAGUGACUGUACCUGUAUCACCCAUAGGAAUCCGUAAAUGUUGUACCGUAAACAAGUAGCCUUCUGUGACUUUGAGUCAAGCACUUUGAACCCCUUCAAAAAGUAGUCAUCGGUCAGCCUCUAAACAUAGUGACCCCAUGGGAAGGUAUUCCAAGCGUCGAUGUCCUCCACCAAUGACAAUAGCCAAGGUGUCACCCAUCUACGGUAGUCUUGACCAAAUAAAAUAUUAUUCGCGAUCAAGACAAGUGCCAUCUUGGUCUUGUCGCCUGGUCGUUGAAAGUUGCCUCCGUGGAAAGUAUCAAGCAACUCCUGCAGCUUAAUACUUACCUGCCCGUUCCAGUAUUUGUCAUGAAUUCUAUUCGCAACAACCUUUUAUAGUCGUAUGAACACAUCGAGCAUUGGACCAAACUUCAGUUCGGUGAUAAGGCAGAACUCCUACUUUUAUAUCUGCCCCUUGGUCUUGCCAAUGGCAAACCAUAGCUUGUGCUCCAUUGCCUCUCUCUCAUUGAUUCGACGAAUCAUGAUGUUAUGCAGGAGACCAGUGCUAAAGUAGCCUUGUGGAUAUACGUCCAGCGGCAUUUUGAAACAUGUACGCUUCACUGUAUCGUACUUCCCUUUCUCUUGGAUAAUCUUGUUGAUGUAAUGCAGCUGCGACCACUUACAAUGGGUGUUGAUUUUGACAUUGAACACCCACUUCUCCCUUGGGACAAUAAGCAAACCAUCAAGAUCCUCAUACUGUCUGGACUGCACCUGCAAAACAUGGCACACAUGCACGAAUCAGUUAAACCAUAAUGUGAAAACAAGGUAUACUGAAAAAAGAAAUAAAUGUUGUAACACGCCAUGCAUAUCAAGUAAAAUGUUGUAACACGCCAUGCAUAUCAAGUAAAAUAUUGUAACACACCAUGCAUAUCAAGUCAAAUGUCGUGACACACCAUGCAUUAGUGUCGUGACACGUCAAUCACCGUAAUUAUUGACUCGUUACACCAACAGCCGUGACACGUUAAAAACCUAAAAAACUAGUUUACCCACAACAUGCUAGGAACACCUGUGCCACGCCAAAAACCCAUAAAUCCAAUUAACCCAUGACACGCUAGGAACAACUGUGACACGCUAAAAACAAAAAAAAACUAGUUAACCAACACCAAGCUAGGAACAACCGUAACACGUUAAAAAUCCAAAAAACCAGUUAACCCACAACAAGUUAGGAACAACCGUAACAUGCUAAAAAUCCAAAAAACCAAUUAACCUACAACGCACCAUAUGUAGACGCGACCCCCUUCAACAUUUUGGUACAACCAUAAAACCAGGAAGAAAACAAUUUAAUUAAAGCGUAACAAUUGCAAAAAAAAAAAAAAAACACCAAACAACCCAGCAAACCAACAAAAAUUCAACAGUUAUCGUGUCAAACAUGUUCUGACCAUGGCGUGUCCCACGCUCUAAAUGUUAUCGUGUCACACCUGUCCCACAUAUUCUCACCGUGUCGUGUCACAGAUUCCCUCCAUGGCGUGUCAUAGAUUCCCUCUAUGGCUUGUCACAUACUCUAAACCCUGCCAUGUCACACACGUGUCAAAUAUUAUCACUGCGUCGUUUCACACAUUCUGACCCUGCCAUGUCACACGUUCUGACCAUGGCGUGUCUCACACUCUAAACAUUGCCGUGUCACACCUGUCCCACAUAUUCUCACAGUGCCGUGUCAUAGAUUCCCUUUAUGACGUGUCACACACUCUAAACCCUGUCGUGUCUCACCCGUGUCAAAUAUUAUCACCGUGCCGUUUCACACACUAUGACCCUGCCUUGUCACACUCGUGUCAAACAUUAUCAUUGUGUCAUUUUACACAUUAUGACCUUACCGUGUCACACGUUCUAACCAUGGCAUGUCCCACAAUUUAAACACUGUCGUGUCACACCCGUCCCACAUAUUCUCACCGUGCCGUGUCAUAGAUUCUUUCCAUGGCGUGUCACACACUCUAAACCCUGUCAUGUCACACCCGUCUCACAUAUUCUCACCAUGACGUGUCACACAUUCCCACCAUGCUGUGUCACACAUUCCCACCAUUCCGUUUCACAAACUCUAAAACCUUGCCGUCACACAGACCAUAUGGCCUGCUGUAGCACGACCAUUUCCUGCUUCAGAUUCACAUCUUUCUCCUUUUGAUUCACCACCAUAUCAGGGAUUUCUGCUUUCACAUCAUUCUCGAAGCUUUUGAUUCAUCACGAUCGGUUCCUUGUUCGAUUUAAUAUCACCCUUCGUAUUAUCUGAAUGCCAUGUCUGAAAUAUCUGAAAAACUAUUAUUUUGUUUUACAAAAGCUUCUGGAGAAAAUAUUGGAUGUUUUGCAUAAAAGUAGAUAUUCCAAAAUUCUUCGCAUAUUUAUUUUUUAAUUUUCUUCCUGUUUUAGAGUGCACGUCACCGAAACUAUCUCAUUAAGGGUAUUAUUGUUCUAAAAAUUUUUUUAGUGAUUAAAAAUAAUUAAAUUUAUCUAAAAAGUUAUUUUUAAAAUAUUUUAUUUUCAAAGACAAAAGAAAAAAUUCCUCUUUCUAUACUCUAUUUUCUAUGUGAAGUGCCUUCGAUAGCGCGUGCCCCACUACGUUUUUUUUUCUCAAGUUGUACGAUUUAGCAUUAAAUAUGAAUGAUGCUUUUCAUUUUCUGAUGAUGACGACAUGAAUGAACGAGCCAAGACUAUUCAAAGACAAAAUCGAACAGAUACAAACGAAGGAAAAAUGGCAAAAGUAGUAGGGUUAGGAAUGUAUAAAGACAAACAAAUUAGGUUCAUCAGAUUAUUAAAUCAAUAAUCUCUUUACUGUUUAAACGUCAUUUUAUAGAAAUAAUCAACAAUUCAAGUGAAUAGCCUUUUCUUAAAAACAAAACUAAUUUAAAAACUAAUUUAAAGUCAUGAUUAUGCUUUCAUUAUUCUACAUUUAAAUUUCUUUUAUAAAAAUAUGAAUUAUAGUUUCUUUUUUUUUUAUUUUAUGACUAAUGUAAACUACUCUUAUUUUUUUCUAUAUGUAAGUACAUAUACGUGUAUGCAAUAAAAAGAAAGAGUUAAUUAUCAUUGAAAACUAAGAUGGGAUUUUUUUUACUAGCUUUGAUUAUUUUACGUUAAGAUGAUUAAGUCAAAGUAGAAUUCCUUAAUUUGGUUUAAUUUCAACUUUCUCAUUUAUGAUGAAAUUGAUAUAUGAUUGUCAAGUUUAAUUUUAAAGACAAUUAAUCAACUAAAUAUCAAAGAACUUGCUAGAUGAAGGAAAGAGCUGAGAUAUGAAUCCUCAAUUAAAAGUUCAAUAACUAAACUACUGGAUUGCCUCAGUCCCAUUAGCCAACUUGACAUCUUCAAUAUAUAUUCAAUAUAUGUUCCUGCAGUCCUAUUAGCUUAGGAUGUAGGCAACAGCACCUUCCUCGAAUGAAACAAGAUUCUUCCUUAUUUAAUGAGUCUCUGAUUAAGCCCUGAUGAUCAGAAUAAACCAAUAUUAGUCUCUCAACCACCGUUGAUGUGACCAAGUUUUGAUGAGACAUCUCAACUAAUUUUUCAUAAUACAGACAAAAAUAGAUAUUAUUUUACAGUGUCUUUAUUACUCCAAGAAUCCAAUCAACACGUCCAAUGCUGGCGGAUGCAACCCAUAUAAAAAAACCAUUGCUAUAGCCUAUAGCCGUUCACUGCCUUGGUCUUCUAACUACAGCAAAAUUAUUUAAUCUUCCUUUUCUCUUCUUCUACUUUCAUAUAUAGUUUUCCCGGAGUCACUAUCCCCGCGGCAGUGAUCCGAAAGUGUGAUUUGGUUUGCUAAUAAAAAAAUUCCAAAAAGAAAAGAAUUUAAAAAAUUAAAAUAUUUUUUAAUCUUUUAAAGAUAAUAUCUAAAAAAUUCUCUAAAUAAUUUAAAAAAAUUUGAAUAAGUCUCUAUUCUUUUACUGGGUUCAAUUAAAUCUAUGUAUUUUUAUUUUAAAUUAAAUUAGUUUUUAUAUUUUUAUUUUGAAUCAAAUAAAUUUUUAUGAUUAAUAGUUAACUUAGUUAAAAUAUCACAUUUUAUUAUAUUUUAUGUGAUGUUAUUAUAUUUUAUGUGAUGUUAACGUAACAUAGUAAUAUGUCAUUAUGGAUGAUGGUAUCACGUACUAAUGUGACAUGAUUACAUUAUUAUGAAGUAUUUUUUACUUUUCACAUUAACGUCGCAUUAACGUUACAUAUAUAUAAAAUGACAAAUAGUAUUUUAACUAAUAAUAAUUAGUUAAUCAUUAUUCAUAAAAACUUAUUAAAAUCAAAAUAAAAAUAAAAAAAUUAAUUAAACAUAAUAAAAUGAUAAAAGUUUAUUUAAUUUUUUUAAAAUAAUUUAAAAGAUUUUUGAACAUUAUGCUUUUUUUUAUUAUCAUGUGGUGAAAUAAUUCACGUAAAUAUAACAGUUCUUAAGAUUUGAUAGUGUUACCUGUUAGGUGAGAGGUCAAUUUUUUUGUUAACUGUUCGGUGAGCGGUCAAUUAUUUUGUUAACUGUUGAAUGAUCAAAAUAAUAACAUUUAUAAAUAAUGGUGAUAAAAACCUUAUUAUUAAAAUGGAGCGAUCAAAAGAAAAGUUUCGAAGAAUUAAAUGAUAAAACAAUAACUUAUAAUGAAAAUGUAAACUUAAGUUUAUGAAUUACAAAAAUAACUUAUAAAGUGAUCAAAACCUUCCUUGGUGUUUCGCUGAUAUGUUUUCUCAACUUAAAAUUAAUUUGCAAAUGCAGAGAGAGAGAGAGCUGAACAGGGCAAGGGCUAGCAAAACAGAGUUUAGCAGCAUGCACCCACGGUCCACACCUCGAGAGAGAUACCAAAUCCCAUAACUUAUAUAAUUUUAGGUUGUUGUAAACAAUCCAAGAUUUCACUAAUAAAUUGUUUUUCAUUUUACUCCAAUAAUUACAAAAAGAAGGAAAGAAAAUACUAGCAAAACAGAGUAGCAAUCCUAACAGCUCAUGAUUUUCAAGGAGUUUGGUCCUUAAUUCAGAACACACUUAUAGAGACCAAAAAAUCAGCAGAAGCACAUUUUUUUUUUUGGGUUGAAAUUACUAAGUGGCCUCAAGCUUAACAUAUGUGCUUAUGUUCUCAGUUUUUUUAAUCUUGGGUGGAAUUAAGCUAAUUUUAAUUGUGAAACUGCAAAUAGAAAAGUAAGUUUCUCAUAAAAAAAAUUUACAAUUAACCUAAUUUCAAGGAAGAGUUAUUUGCAAUUAAUGUAUAUAACUCUAAAAAUAUAAGAAUUAUUUGCGGCAUCCCUUAGUUGAAAAAGUCCCCAAUGUGCCUAAUUGAUCUUUAAAAAAUAUGGCACGACCAACUACAAGUAAAGUAUUCUAAUCUUCAGAAUUUAAAGACUUUGAUUGUGGAACGUUGUCACGGUUUAAAAUAUCGAUUUCUACCGGCUAGGUCCAAAGCUUUUUGCAACUCAGUGACCUUAAUAAGUCAGAGGUUGAUACUUUAUCCCUCUUCAAUUAAAAGGUGAUUUCUUCUUUAGUUUAGUUUUUUUUUUUUUGCCCUGUACGAGUUUUGUUUUUUUUUUUUUUUUUUUUUGUCAUAGUAGGAUACUUUCCCAACUCUUUGUGUAUCUUAUCUAAGUAUAAUUUAUCUUCCCUCGUUAAUACAAUCAAAUAAAUUAUGCAGGUGUAUUCACUAUAAUAAAAUAAUUGAGAAAGAUUUGGCAGGACAAACUCACUGACUCUGAGGAUUCAUUUUGUGAACUAAAUUUCCUCAUAGUGAAACAUUGUGGAAGACUUUUGAGCAUAUUUCCAUUUAAUAUGAUGGAAAGACUUGGUGACCUAAAAGAGCUGCAUAUAUGGAACUGUGACUCAUUAGAAGAAAUAAUUGGAGCUCAUGGUGUCAAUUCCAAUGAGUCACAAUAAAUGCUACUCAAUCAAUCUCGUUUUUAUUCCCUAAAGUAACAUUCCUGGGACUUUCUACGUCACCCAAAUUAAAGUGUUUCUACUCCAAGAUACAUACUACAGAAUGGCCAUCAUCAAUAGAAUUGCAGAUGAGUGGAUGCAACAAAAUAGGUAUUUGCUGGCAAGUAUCGAAACUUUAGAGAAGUUCAAAGAGGGAGCCAAUUAACUUGACAAUUCUAUUCAGUAAGCUUGUUUUGGGUCAGUUAGGUAUGAACCCUAUAGAACAUUUAGCUUGCAACAAUGACUUUUCGGUGCACAAUAUUUUGUGGUUGAUUGUGUCAUAGUCAAUCUGCAGAAUUUUGCUUUACUUUUCUUGUCAUUCCACUGGUAUCUAUUACGUUAGUAUCACGAAUUGUAGCUGUUUUCCCUUUGUUUGUUCCCAUCCUUUAAUUGUUAAAUAAAGCAAUGGGGAAGCUAAACCUUUUAGAUGGUUCACUGGGGUUGCAAAGAUGACAUCAAAUCUUUUGCCAAUACAAACGCCUUGCUUUUUUUUUUUUUUUUAAGAAAAAACAUGUUGAUUUUUUAGGAUACAUUGCCCAAUCUAGAUGAAUUACUUCUUGAGCAGAAUGACAUUAUGAAGGAGAUAUGGCUUGGACAAGUUUCAACACAAUUUUAGCAAACUAAGAGUGCUUGACCUCAGACACUUUCCUAACGAGCAAUUAUUGACGAAUCCUCAUAAAUUGUUAUGUAGGAGAUUAAUAUUCUUUAUAAUUAAAAAAUCUCUCUGCAAAAAUGAAGGAAAGUAAGGUUGAAAUGGACAGAGUGGUUUUUGGUACACAUUCAUCACCCAAAUCCAAAUUAACAGAAAUAAAAAUUUAACACUGUUAUCAAAUGUUUUUAAAUUAAUUUUUAAUGAACAUAGGGACUGAAGUAAGGACUAAAAUUAUUGAAUUGACAUAGCAAAGUGAUUUAAUUCGAAGUUUGAUGGCGAUGAAACCAGUUUGAAUUACUUUCACAUGAAAAGUUUUGAGCUUGCAAUCAAUUUCAAUUUUCAACUAGUGGGAAUAACCAUACCACACAAACUCAUAGUCUUUGACUUCAUGUUUGUCAUCCUCUAAUGUCUUGAAAUGGAUUAUGCAGAAAUAAAAACACCGUGUUGAAAAUGAAUUGAUUCACUUAUUUCCAAAAUUAAGAGUGAAAUUAAAAAUGCUCUAUCCACUCUGACACUCCAUAAUGUCAAAUAAAGAAACCACCUUCCCUUUUUGAUAAGGAAUUAAGAACAUGGAACCAAACCGAGUCAAUGUCCAACAGUAAGAAAGCAAUAAACUGCAGUGAAAUUGGUCUAAUGGUUGUUACUACCUGUUUUUCUGAGGAUUAAGAUUCAAGGUUCAAACCCAUUGCCUCCCUUGGACUCUUAAUAUGUACCAUAAAAGGGAAAUGCAAAACAAUACCGGCAAAAGGAUUGACUAUAUUAUACGUGAAUGAAAUGUACGAAGGAUGGGAAACUUAAUGAUAACCACAAAACAAAUUGACAAUUCCAUCCACCUUGAAGAAGAACUUUUGGGUAUAUUAAAAGAGGAGAGUCUUAGUAAACUGAUGGACUUUCCAAAUAAAAAAAUACAUAUUUGUAGGCAUGAUGCACCUGAAAAUUCACUACUGAGUUCUUUUUUUUAUUUGGCAUUAAGUACUAACUGUUGAAAGUUGAUACUAACUGUUGAAAGUUGCAUGAUGAAAUGAAGCAGUUCAAAUAGCAGAUUAAUUAAUUUGUAGGAAGUUAAAUAACCUUUUGGGUUCCAAGGACAGUGGCUGCCAACUAGGCAGCUUCAAACUUCACUAGAACAAUUCCUUUCCAUUUUUUUAGAGAAAAUAGAGACCUGCAAUGAAAAGGCAUCUCAAACGUCAGUCUAUAAAUUGCAAUUGCGCCAUUUUGAAUGAAAUAAAGUAGACAAAUAAAGAAUUAUGAAAUUAGAACAGGUGAUUAAUUACCAUCUUAUUUCAAUUCAAGGAAAAUGAGCCUGUGUCACAGGCACCAUAACAUGCAUAUUGCCUUAUUCCAGCUUGGGCAACUAAAGGGUAACCUCAGUCAUUUCAGAAUUUUGGACAUUCUGUGAUUAUAAGGAACAACAUAUUAAAAGGUAAAGUCAAUUAGCUAUUGAUGAAAGGCACCAAACUACAUUUUGCAACAAUUUUCAUUAUGAAAAAGAGGAGGUUAAAAGCUUAUGUCUAUAGCUUCAGAAGGCAGAAUUAUAGCAAAGGCAGCUGAAGAAAAAAUAAUGAAAACUAGAAAAAACAUAGGAAAAUCAUCUAAAUUGAUGCAUACCAUUUCUUCAAAUAGCUGUUUUACAGUAGUUUUAAGGUCGCCUUCCCACCGCCCUUCUCUUGCAUCUUCUGUCAAUUGCACUUGCUUUAGUUUUGGUGUGCUUAAAUCUCCUUGACAGAAAAUCUUCAAUUGUGGACACUGUCUCACCAUCACCUUUUGCAAGGCCGGAAAGUUAAAGUUGUGAUCCCCUAAGCAAAAGCUUGCUAGACUUGGUAGACAACUUAGUUGCAAAUACUUCAGUCGGGAGAAAACAAUGCCACCUUCCAUUUCAUCACCCCCACAUUCUAUGAUUUCUCUAUAAUCUCACUGUCAGUUAUGCUUAUUCUUUUGAGUAGCAUCAGGCUCUUAGCUGUUAAGCACGCUAUUAAAUAUAUGAAUCCAUGACAUCUUGAAACUUCCAGGUUUGUUAAAUUUUUGAAUGACACCAAAGAUGGCACUAAAGUCUUUAAUUUGUCACAUUCCAGCACUUCAAGAAUUCUCAAGUUAUAGAAAACUGGUAUGGGUUGGGACCCUUCCUCCCAGAGAUGUGUCAGCUCUGGAAGUUUAGACAACCUCAAUUCACUUAACCGAGUGAGUGCCGAUGCAUGUCUUUCCUCAUCACUGAUUUCUUCAGACCAGUGUAUUUGACAAAAGGAAGCAUCACUCAGAACAAGCUAUUAUGGUCAGCAAACUAUAACCAUAAUAGCUAUUAUGGUCGUGUGCUUAUCCUAUUUAUAAACACUUACAAAAGAAAACUCAAUUCUUGUUAAAGAGUAUGAAAACUUCUAUACGCAAUGGUCAGCAUUAGUUUCUAAAAUUUUGAAAUGGGAUUUGCUAGCGACAGAUACUGAACAAUUCACGGAGAAAAACAAUUCUCCCAUAAACGGAUGAAUGAACGGGCUUAGACCUUUUAAAAGCAAAUUCUAACAGACAGAAAUCAAUACAAGGCAACCUAGGGGUGGGAAUGUUCAAAGACAAACAAAUUAACUCACCAGAUAAUUAUUAUAGAUGUAAACCAGAUACUCGUUUUUUUUUAAAUAUCUAAUCCGAAACCUUUAGUUAUCAAAAUAUUCAAAUUUUAUUAAAAUUCAUAUAAAAUUACAAAAUAUUAUACAAAACCAAAUCUUAAUAUAAAAAAUCUAUCCAUUAAUUAUCCGAAUUUAUUAAAUACUUCUUUAAGUUGACAAAAUUGAUAAAAACUCGAAAUGUUUCCCAUCCUCUUAUGAGUUCAAUUCCUACUAAUAAUAAAAUUUUACAUAUUUAUAUUUAGGUUAAUAUAAAUUAGCUUUACGUAUAAAGGUUUUUAUGACAUUAUAGAUAAUCGAGUUCGGGUUUAGUAUAUGUUAAAGGUGAUAUCCGAAAUCUACCCGAAUUCAUGUUGACUUUUAAAAGUCUUAUCUUACUUCAUCCUAUAAUCGAAUAUAAAAGACUUUAACCUUAUAUUAUCGGAUUAGAUACUUACGGAUACCUAUAUAAUAAUAACUUAUUUACAUCCCUAAUAAUUAUUAUUACCAAUUAUUCUCUUUGUUGUUUCGCAUGAUCAAGAGUUAGGUACGGUGUUAUGUGUCUUUAUGGCCCUUGUUGUCGUAUCUUGACCAUAAGGUGAGAGUAAGGCCAUCAAGACUUUUAUGGCCCUUGUGGGGUGCUUCUAAUGAAAUGUCCUGGCUGGGUGUGUCUCUCACGCAAAGACCGUGAAUACGAGUUUCUUAAAGACUCUUUCAUUAAUAAACUCAUAAUAUUUUCAAGAAAAGAAAAAUGAGUUUGGUACGGAGUAAACUUUGAAAAAUGUAUUUGCCAAUAUAUAUUACCUUCAUGAGUAUUAAUAUAUUAUUAAAUUUAACAAUGUGAUUUUUACAAUAUAAAUUUAACAAGAAACUCUAAAAAAUUUUAAUAAUUACUAAUUAUUACAAUGAUAUAACUUGAUUUAUUUUUGUAUACACACACAAAUAAAUAUAAAUGAAAAUAAUAUAGUUGUUUAUGAUAAUUAUUGUAAACUAACAAUUUAAAUUGGCUUGACCUAAGUUCAAGUUUCUUUCUUCUCAAGCAUAAUGAAAUAUACAAAAGCAAACUAAUGAACCCAUAAAUAAAUAAAUUAAACAUGAGAGAAGAAGAAAGAUAAAAUAGUGAAGAAAAAUUAGACACCAAAAUUGACCUUAGAGACAAAAUUCAAAUUUAGGUAGAUUAGAGACAAAAUCUCUUGUAUAAUUUAUCAUCAAAGCACCAAUAUAGAUACCCUUACUCCAAGUAAUUUGUCUUUUCCAAUUUGGUGCAAACCAAAUUAUUAGUAAACAACAUUCGCUUGGAUUUAGUGGUAACAGUGAAAUGAGAUGGAUAGGGAGAUGUUAAGUUCAAUUUGUAAUGUUUUCUCUUGUAUUUAUUUUAUACAUGAGACUUGAAUUACAAAUUAAAAUAAUUAGGACUAAAGUGGGGUCUGCCAUUACACAAAAUGAUUGAGCCCCUUGUUCGUGGCCGACACUGAUGACUAACGGUUGGUACAGAUAAGUAAUUCGGUGCAUUUGAAAAAGAGGUUGUGAAAGCCAAUUUUAUGGACCUUAUAAUGUGAAAACAAGGCUUUUGAGUUUCAGAUCUGAAGGAUAUUGGUUAUUUGGGAUAAGACGUGUUUUGAAAAAUCAAGAGUGAAAAUCAGAGAUAGGGUUCAUACUACAGGAUUCCAGGGGAAUGGACUUCAUCAUAAUAAAUGCGCAUGCUACAUGUAUUACAACAGAUAAAAGGGAGCUAUGAAUAGAAUUGCUAAGAGUUAAAAUUAGAAGAACAUUGAGAGGCCCGAUAUGAAAGAGGACCGCCAAACCCAACUUCUAUACACUAUUUUCCCUUGAAGAUGUAUGUGUCCACUCAUUUGAAUAAAGGAUCAUUAUUCUUUUUCCCCCCAAUGUUGUUGAGAGCUCAGCCUUGAGUAAUAGGUUUGAGAUUUUCUCUUGGAAAUUUUUUAGACUAGUGAGAAAGGGGAGGGCAUAUUACACCUCUUUAAUUUCAUUUCUUCCUCAUCAGCUUUAAGUCUAAUAUACUAAAAUACUGCCAUUUUAUUUGUAUUCUUUGAUACUUCUAAUUAUACGUUAUUGGCAAUUUUUUCUUAUAUUCUUAAUUUGCUCAUCUCUUAUAAUUUGAACAUAUGUGUAUCCAUUUUAUUCUUUACUUAUUUUCUACCUUAUGAUUGUAAUAUUUAACAUUCUUUCUAAUAUAUUUUUCUUUGUUCAGAUAUAUUAUUACCAUCAAUUAUUGUUUUACAACUUCAUUAUAACUAAAAUUUCAUUAUUAAGCACAUAAUUUUUUUUUAAAAAAAUUAUUAAUAUAAAAAAUUUCAUUGUCUAAAGUCUAUCUUGAAUCAAUCGAAUUGAUUAGAAAAAUCAGCAACUCAAACUUAAUGAACCUAAAUUCGAAUAAAUCAACAACUCGAACUUGUCACCCCGAACCCAAAACAUUUCGAACUCGAAAUGACUAUAACCCAAAUUCAACCGAACUCAAAAUGAUUUUAACUUGCAAAACUAACUGUGGUGCGCCAAUCUAGUCUUCUCUUUAAGUAAUUUCCAACUCCUUGUAAUAUAGUUUCCAUUCCUUAGCAAUAAAACAUUGAUGUGCUUUUAUCUUAUUAUCAUUUCAUGUUAUAAGGUUUUUCAUAUUAUAAUGCCAGGGUCAUUUCAGUAUCAAAGCCCUGUUCAAAUAGCACUAUCCAUUCCUGUUUCGUAUGAACUUUCGCUCUUUUUCAGUCCUCCAUUCUCUGUUUUUGCCUUUCAUUUGGUUACAGUUUCGUUACUGGGAUUGCUUACAUUACUCCCUGUUCAACAAAGCCGCCCCCCAACCUCUCCACCCUCCACCCUCUAAUCUCUCCAAUCCUUCUUUCUCCACCUUCAACUUCUUUCUGCCUUCUUUCUCCACCAUAAGAGGAAAACCAGGUAAAAAAAAAAAAAGAGGACUCUUUGGUGUGCCUAUUAGCACACACACACCAUCAAGUAGCUGCUGAUAAGACAAGAAUAUGUAAUUUAAGACAAACGUACGUAUAACCUCAACUGACUCUAAAAAUAUAAACUUGUUGAUUCUAACUUCAAAAGGAAUUUUUGCAUGAGUUGCAUUUGUUCUUCUUGUCUCAUAUUUAGAUUCCUAUUCACCUCAAUCAUAUUAAAUUUCAAAAGAGUUGUCAAUUUGUCAGAAGAGACUGUUUAUCCAAAUAUGUGGCAUGUAAUAGUGUUGUUGGUCUAAAAGAUAGCAUAUGUGUGAAAAAUACAAUUUUAUGAAAGAAAAAAAGAAACAUAAACAAAAACAAUAUUAUGAAGAGCAAUCUCAUGUCUAUGAUAAAGACAAACAAUAUUAUUUGAUGAAUCAUGUCAAUGAGAAUAACAAAGAAUAUUAUUUGAUGAAGUUUAUAUUAUUUAGAGAGCAAGAGAGAGAGAGAGAGAGCUCUCAAUUGUGCAAGCUGUGAAGAUACAUAACAUUAAAAGCUAAUAAAAAAAGUCUCCAUGUCUCAAACAAUGAAAUUAAAAUGCAAGACUAGACUUUGCAUAAUCAUCUUCUACAAGAACUUAUUUUAAACCUUUUUAACAGAACCUUAACAUACUUAACUUGAUGAGAAACCUGAUCAAUGUACUGCACCACCUCCAUUUCCAAAAAGUAGGUCAUCAACCCUAGAUCAGUCAUCUCGAACUCUUUCAUCAUCUGAGUCUUGAACUUAGUUAAAUAAUCACUUUUAGGACCAGUAAUCAAAAGAUCAUCAACAUAAAGGGCAACAAUGAGUGACACUGCAUCAUUUGAUGUCAACACAUAUAAAAUAGACUCAUUUACACUUCUUUGAAGUCCUUGGUUCCUAAAGUGUCUAUCAACCCUAUUAUAUCAAGCUCUAAGAGCCUGCUUCAGACCAUACAGAGCUUUUAUCAAUUUGCAGACCUUACCUUUAGUGUCUUUCUAUUCAUAUCUUUUAGGUUGUUCAACAGUCAAUUUCCAUCCCUCCCUAGCUAACAAAGCAGCAAGCAUCCUAAUGGUAUCAUGCCUUGCCAUAGGAGCAUAAGUUUCCAGAUAGUUAGCCCUAUACACUUGAGCAUACCCCUUGACCACUAAUCUGGCUUUAUACUUAUUUACAGAACCAUCAGGAUUCAAUUUGGUUCUAUAAAUCCAUUUUAUCUGAAUUACAUUCUUGUUUGCAAGUUUGUCCACCAGUAUCUAGGUGCUAUUCUAAUCAUCAUUGAAAUUUCAGCAUUCAUUGCAACUUUCCAUUUACUAUCCAAAAUAGCUUCUUUGAAAUUUGUAUGGUUUGAGAUGGCCAUAUUGCUCUUAUUGUAAAUGUCAUCCAGGCUCCUUUUACCUUUAACAACAUUUGAUUCAUCUUCUAUAUUUGAUAACUCAUCACCAAUGUCAACUUGGACAAGACUUUCAACAGAUGUGGUCACAUUCUUCCAGCAUUUUGUAGUUCUUUUUUUCCAGUUCCAAUUUUACCCUUUAUCAAAUCUAACAUCCCUACUGACAAAAACCUUUUUUGAUUCAAUGUUGUAGAGUUUGUAACCCUUAGAUAUUUCACUGUAGCUUACUAGCAACGCUACAAUUGACUUAGAGUCAAACUUGGUCCUUCUCUCAUCAGGGACUUUAGCAUAACACACACAACCAAAUGUUUUUAGAUAUGAAAUAAAUGGUUUGUUUUCAAACCACAUUUUAUAAGAUGUUUUUUGGUCCAAUACCCUUGUAUAAGAUCUGUUCAGUAUGUAGCUAGCAGUGUUUACUGCUUCUACCCAAAACUCCUUUAACAAGUGUACCCGAUGUAACAAACAUUUGCCCAUCGUUGUAAACGUGUUAUUCUUUCUUUUUGCUUUGCCAUCCUACUAAAGAUUAUAGGUAACAGUAAGUUGAUGAUGUACUCCAAAAUCUGUCAAAAACUUUUCAAACUCAUCUGAAGCAUACUCUCUCCCAUAAUCACUUCUCAAGGUCUUUAUUAUCAUGUUGGAGUAAUUUUCAGCUAAUGCUUUGAAUUCCUAAAGUUCUUUAAGGCAUCAGAUUUAUGUUUCAUGAAGUACACCCAACAAUACCUAGUUAGGUCAUCAAUGAACAAAAUAUAGUAUUUGCUGCCACUUAAAAAAGGUGUUUUCAUUGGUCUACUGAUGUUAGUGUGAACUAGUUCUAACUUUAUAGCUGCUUUCCAUCUGUUUUCCUUAGGAAAUGAUUUUUUUUUGUUUGCUUACCAAAUUGACAAACUUGACACAAUGUUUUUAGUUUUGUGAUUCUUGGUAAGCCUUCAACUAGUUCGUUUGAAACCAUGAGGGAUAGAGAAUUAUAGUUCACAUGACCUAGCUUCCUAUGCUAACUUUCAAACAUAUCAUGUUCAUUAUAAAAGGCUCCAUAAUAGGCCUUUUCUCAAGAACAUGAGGUCUUGCUAAAGAUUAUUUGGCCUUGGAUUUGCAGGUCCUGGGUUGUUAUUCCAUGAGAAGUUUGGGUGGUUCCUCUAACUAGGAUUAUAGGUAUUGCAAUAUGGGUUAUUCUGCUGCCUGUUGAAGUUCCUAACAAACUAGACUGAAUCAGGAUUAAAUGGACAUUAAUCACUUGAAUGGCUAUCUCCACACAAAUCAGAAGUUAUAAAGGAGUUUUGAACAACAUUUACUUCCAUUGUGUCAAAUUUUUUGUUAAUGUAGCUACUUGUGCAUCAAAGCAUUCAGUGCAUUAAUCUCAUAAACACCAGUAGCUUUCUUAGAACUAGAUCUUUGUCAAGGCCAUUGGUAAUUAUUAGAUACCAUCUCUUCCAACAAAUUAUAAGCUUCAUCGGGAUUUGUGCUUAUCAAUGCCCCACCAGCAACAACAUCAAUUAUAUAUCUGAUUGAACUAACCAACCCAUUAUAAAAUGUCUAAACUUGAAGCCAUUGAAGAAAACCAUAGUGUGGACAUCGUUUGAGCAAAUCCUUAGAUUGCUUCUAAGCCUCAUAUAAUGACUUAACAUCAAAUUGUGUAAAAGAUGUUAUAUCAUUCCUCAACUUAGCAGUCUUUAUUGGUGGAAAGAAUUUUGCUAGGAAUUUUUGAAUCAAGUCCUCCCAUGUAGUAAUAGAUCUAGUGGGCAGUGAAUUCAACCAACUCUUUGCCUUAUCCGUCAAUGAAAAAGGAAAGAGUCUAAGUCUAAUAGCAUCAUCAGUCACCCCGUUAUAUUUGAAAGUAUCACAGAUUUUCAGGAAAUUAACCAAAUGGGAAUUAGGAUCAUCACUGGGUAACCCACCAAACUGAAUAAUGACUUAAUCAUUUGAAUGUAAGCAGGCUUGAUCUCAAAAUUGUUUGCAUUGAUAAGAGGUCUUUUAAUGCUUUGGUGCAAGCCUUGCAAAAAAAGAAAAACAUAAUCUCGCAGAGCUUUGUUCUCUUCAAUAAUUUGAAUUCCAGCAUUAUUACCAUGACUAUUAUUAUCUUCAGCCAUUGUUUGGUUUAGAGUUUAAACUUGCAAAAUUUUCUUUCAAAGUCUUCUAAAAGUUCUUUCUAUCUCUAGAUCAAAAAGGAUAAGAUUCAAGUUCCUCUUUUGCAUAUAAUGACCAAAGAUGUUUGAAAACCAAAAAAAUAAAUACAAUAAUAAAAUAAAAAAUAAGGUUUGAAUUAAGACUAAAUUUGCUUGGUAUUAGUAUUCGUAAAAGUUAUAGAAAACAAUUCCCAAGCAACGACACUAAAAACUUAUCAAUUAAAAUUCUACCUACGCAAGUAUACAUAUUGAAUAGAUAGUAUAUUAGUAAGUUAAGUGUUGAUCCCACAGAAAAUUGAUCUAAAAUAUUAGUAAGUACUAAAAUUAAAACAAUUUAGUUUUAUUCAAACAAUCAAAAUUUGGAUAAUUAAUUUAGCUAAAAAAUUAAGCAACUAAAACUAAAACUAAAAUAAUUAACACUAAUUAAAAAUCAAAACAAAGAUAUAAUGGAAUAAAAAUCAAAUUAGAAAAGCCUAGGAUUAUAAUAUCCCUCACAUUUCAUUUAAAUCUUACCUCUCUCUCUUAAAUUAUUCCAAUGAGUUGAAUUGUUAAUCCAGAGUCCUCAAUUAUUUAUGAUACCUUCCCAAGUCUCUUAUAAAAAUAUCUACUUUAACCAAAACAUUAUAUUCCUAUGUGAAUUGAAGUGAAAAUAGACUCAUUAAGUUUAGGUUCUACUUUGGCUACAUACGUCAUAUAGGUAUAUUCCUAUCCUAUACACAAAUCAAUUUAUCCAUACAAUCAAAUAAAUAUGGUCAUAUGCUAUUUCAAUUUUAAUCUACCCUAAACUUCCUUUCCUAAGUUUGUUUAGGUUUCUAAAUCAAUAUAAUUGAUGAUCAAGUAAUUAAAAGUAUCAAGAACAAAUUGGAAUAAACAAUUUAAUCCCAUUGAAAAUAGGCUAGAAAGAGAUUAAAAUUUUAAACUACAUGUGAAUUCAAUUGCAAUCUUAAAAAAAGAAACUUAGCUACUCAUGAUUGCAAAAGUAAAUAAAAAUAUUUGAAGUUUAGCCACCAAGAGUAACAAGAAUAAUAAAAGCUAAGGACGAAGAAAAUAAAUAUUUUACUAGCCUUGAUCUUCAAUCUUCAACCUUAACUUCUAACUUCUUGAAUCUUUCUUAGGAUUUCUCCUCAAUGUGUCUAGGUGGCUAACUUCCCCUUAAGCUAACUAUUUAUAAUAUAACUUGACCUAAUUUUACCUAAACUCAACUAUUUUAACCUAAAAACUCUUAAUAUGGCCUUACAAUAAGUAUAGGAUCUAAUAAGGAUUUAGUCAGCCCGAAACUUGCUCUUUUCUGCCUUGUUUCUUCAAGUUUUCCAACUUGAUGCCGCGGCGCUCCCUUGGUCUCAUGUCUUCUUCUCAUCAACUAUUGCGCUCUAUCAACUUCUAACAUGAUUUUCUCCAUCUUUGAGGUAGAGUUGGAUAAAGUGAUCUUUAUAAAAGUUGUAGCUCUGGCUCUCAACUUUCUCAUCAUUCAAGAAUUGCAUCAUUUACACAAUGGAGUGGGAGUUAUGCUCAAAAUAUUGUGACAUGUACGAACAAGAUCUAAACUCCUUAAAUAUCUUUCUUCACCUAAUUAAGCCUUAUUCUUCUAGAAUCUUACAAAAAUAUUAAAAGCUAAUAAAUAACAACUAAACUAAGAGCCUGUUUGGCCUAACUUUUUUCUAACUUAAAAGCUAUUAUGAAGCUCUCAUGAAAAAUAAUAGCCUUUAAAAUUAAGCUAAAGUUGUUUGGUAAAUUUCUUUUUAUAAGUUAUAAUUUUGGUUAAAAUUAUUAUAGAGGGCAUUUUUUAGAAGAUAAUAUUGUAAUUAUUUUUAACAGAUAAAGAUAUUUUUGGAACAAAAAUAAAAAUUUUCUUGUAUUUGUAAAAGAAGAGAAGAAAAAGCUUCUCACAUGGGCUUUUUCUGAAGCUUUUUUUUUUAAUUUUAUUCUUUAAAAAAAAGUUACUUUUUUUAAAAAAAAUCUUUUCAAAAUUUAUGUUAGGCCUGGCUUUUGCUUUUAAGAGGUAGAUAAGUUAAAAAAAAGCUAGGCCAAAUAAGCACUAAGAUAAAUAAACAUAAAAUUAAUAUAAAAUAAAAUAACUUAAUAAAAAUGAACUAAUUAGAAAAAUAACUAAAACUAACUAAAUUCUAAUCUAAACUUAAAAACUUAACUAAUUUUUAAGAAUAAUUUAAGAUAAAAAUAAUUCUAUAAAAUAGAAUUAUCGUGUAGCCACUCAGUUUCCCCAUCUUCUGCUUCUUUUUCUGUUUGGAGUUGGCUUGAUGUUCGUUUCUCUCUCUGCUGCUAUCCUUGAGUUGGGUUUUUUGUCUUUUCUUUUCCUUUCUUUUCUAUGUGUCUUGCAUGCGGUUUAUGAAAUUGUCUAUGUCUAUUAUUUCCUCUUUCAUUAAAUAAUGUUGAUUUUCUUUCUUUCUCUUAUGACAUCUUGGCUUCAUUAGUUGCUGAAGAAUCCAAGUCACUGAUUGAUGCAGGGUGGAAAGGAGUUGCUCGAAGAACUAAACAACUUAAGAUUUUAUUUUAUUGAUGUUUUGUAUUUUUCAGGAAUUCUUAUAUAAAUUAAGGAUAUUUUUGCUUAUCUUGGUUAUUUAAAUUAGUUAGUGUUUUCUAUUUUUCAAGUAUUACUGAGUUAGGAAUAUAUUUGGUAUUCUGCAUUAAAUACAGUCUAGAAUGUUGCUUAUAAUUUCUUGUGUUGUUUGAGAUUUCAGUACGUUUUGGAAUAUUAAUUUUUUUUUUUUGGGUACAUGCGGUCUUGGACUGCAUUAUGGGAGGUACUCAUCUCCCUUUUCUGUUCUCCAUCAUGGUCCAUAUUGUCCUUUUUCUUUAUCUGUUUCUAAAAGUUACAACUCUAGCUUUAUUUUCUUCAAUCAUGCUUUUUAUGUCACAUUGAACACUUAGGAGGAAGAAUUUUUUGUUCCUAUUCUUGGUAGACUUAUUUUCUGGACUAUUUUGGCCUUGUUUACUUGAUCCUGCUGGUUUUUUUAUUAUAACCAUCUUUAGGUGUUUUGAACUCAGACUUUUAGUUCAAGACCUUUUUAUUCCAUGUUAUUGUCUGUUAUAUUCUGUCAUAGAUAUCCUUUUUAUAAUUGAUACAAUUCUGUUGUCAUCUACUAAAAAUUAUACCAGGAGCUUCCUCACAGGAGGCUCAUCUACUUCUGUUGCAUUAGUUAUCUCUAAUAAAUUCUUCAAACACCAUAAUAGUGCCAACCAAUUUGGAUGGCAUAUUACCAAAAGGAAGCAGUGAUACGUGAUCAGGUUUUUGGAUGAUAUAUUAAUACCAUUGUUUGAAACGAGUAGUCAAUGGCAGUACCAAGCACAUGUGCUGUAUAGUUGAUUCUGUUUUGGUUGCAUAUUCUUUUUUUUUUUCUCUUUGUUCUUCUGUUACUUUUUAUGCCUGACUCUUAUUUUAUGAUACCAUUGAAAGUCUGGAUAUCUUGGAACAUUUAUAGUUUACCUUGUCCAAAAUUUUCCUUUUCUUUUGUACAUUGUGCUAACUUAAAAUUUCUGAAAAAAAAAUGGUCUUGCAUGUUGAUGUUGGCAUUGCCAUUUGAAGAAUGUAUUUCUGAUAUUGCACGUUUAGUUCGUAAAAUAAAAUGGAAUGUAAUUAAAAAAGAUAUUCUAUGAAAAUAAAAUAUAGUAGGAAUAGAAUAAAAUAUUAUUAUAUAAUUUGGUUGAUGGAAUAGAAUAAAGUAAAAAUUGCUUUUAUGAUUUAUUACAAUGUUUAGUAAGUAAAAAUAAUUUUGGAAAAACAAAGGGAAUAUGAGAUAUGGUAUAGAUUUCUCUCCUGCAGAUUGGGGACCAAAGAUUGAUGUAGUUGGCUUUUGUUUCCUUGACCUUGCCUCUAGUUAUGAACCACCAGAUUCACUUGUUAAAUGGCUGCUAGGAGGCGAUAAGAAGCUUAUCUAUAUUGGUUUCGGUAGUCUUGUGAGUUUUCUUCUAAACAAGCCUUCCCAUCUUUUGGAUAUUUAUUAUAGUGAAAGAUUGUAAUCGUUUUAUUUUUCUCGUACAAUUUUGACUUUUUUUUGUUGAACACUGUCUCUAAAAGUAGUUUUCAUGCAUGAAUGUGUUUUUCUCUAUUCCAUUACCUUAUGAUUUUUUGAUUAUUUUAAUAAGUAGAAUUGUUUAUGUGGUAUUAACUUUACUCCCUCCAGAGAAUUAAGUGCAUUUACCUGUUUUUACGUGAUUUUACUGUAAAAAAGAAUUUAUCAUUGGCUUCAUUAGACCACUCAUUCUGUUUCUUUAUCAUGUUCUGUUAAUCUAGAAUUAAAUUGCUCUAACUGCUUUUAAUUUUUAACAGCCUGUUCAGGAACCAGAAAGGAUGACCCAGAUAAUAGUGCAAGCUCUAGAAAAAACUGGACAAAGAGGCAUCAUUAACAAAGGCUGGGGUGGUCUUGGCAAUUGUAAUUUUCACUCGCUCUCUUCUCACAUUUCCUUCGUCAGAUGUUUAGUUUUGUUCACUGUAUGGAGUGUAUAGCGCUUAAUUGUCUUUUGUCCAGUGGCAGAACAAAAGGACUUUGUGUAUUUACUGGACAAUUGUGCCCAUGACUGGCUAUUCUCACGAUGUAUGGCUGUGGUAAGUUGUGAAUGUAAAACUUAUAGCUUCUACAGCGGUUGAAAAUUAUCUGUUCAUAUUUUAUAUUUGAUGUCAUUUUCAUGCAAGUGCUAGAUAUUUAUGAGCAAUGAGUUUGGUGAAUCAUGAUUUGUACAUAUAUUUUAUAUAGAGAUAGUGUGUUAUAUGUCUCAAACAAUUGUUCUAUUUAGAACCUUUAAACAAGUGGAUCCAUAAGCUCCUUAGCCUUGGAGUUUUUGUUUUGUUAAUUUGGUUUUUUUUUAAAUGCUGUUGCAUAAAGUGUUAUUGUCUUCAAUUCCCUAUAUUCUAUUGUCAUGGCAACAAUAGGAGGGGUGGUAGUUUCAUUCGAAGCCUUUUAUAAGGAGAAAAGGCCAUCAUCAAAGUAUUUCACUUCUUUAUAUUUGCUUAGUCACUUGCUGAAUGCAUCAUUAUUAUGCCUUUUUAUGUAUCCUGAAGUUGAAUUAUUUACGGGGUGUUCAGUGGAAUAUUAUGAAACUGGUUUGUAAUUGGAAUGGUUGUCUCCCUUGUUCCUUUUAAUACUAUGGGUGUUGAAUUGUGUACCUUCUGAUGGUCCCCAAAUGGAUUGCCUGAUGACAUUACCUCAAUAACACUUUUUGUUAGUCUUAACUUUUUUGACUGCUAACUGCCAGAUGAGACUUGCUGAGUUGUUCUUUCACCAUCUCUCGAUAAAUUCAACCUGACUUGGAGCUCUUUCCCACUCAAAAAUUCAUUUUUCCUAUUCAUGCUCCCACUCUCCUCAAAUCCCAUUACAUUUUUGUAUCUUCCUACCUUUUUUUUCCUUUUAUCUCUGCAAAUUUCACUUUGCUAAAAUUUUGUCAUUACUUUAUUUUUCUAAAAUUUUUAAUACUUGUUUUAGUUGACAGAAAUUUCUUUUUAAUUAUCUUUAUCCACUCAUGUUGGUGGUCUACAAUGGGUGAAUAUUUUAUGAAAUGGGUUGAUGAGAUGCUUCAUAAGCGACACAGUUAUCUCCUUAUUACUUUUCUCUGUUAAAUGUUUUGAAGAACUGAUGUAAUUGAGGGCUUGAACAGUAAAGCUCUAUUUUGGCUAUAUGGAUCUAUUUAUUUGUUAAUUUGGCCAUUAUAUGUACUUGGAAAUGUGAAGAACUGUGUCCUUGCAUGUUUUCCCCAGGUUCGUCAUGGUAGAGCUGGAACUACUGCAGUUGGUCUCAAAGCUUUAUAACCAGUUUUGGUUUAGGCAUUAGCUUUAUAUUUAACUAACUCAUAACUUUUUAGUCAUUUUUAACUGUAAAAGAACAUCAGCCAUGUGGUAAGGUUUCUAUCUUGCUUCUUUUGAGGUUUUGGGAGGUUGACCCAUUAUGCGAUGUUUUGACCCCGUAGGUUUUGUUGAGUUUUAGGUUGAUUAGAAUUUUAGAUCUUAUUUGAUUAAAAUUUUUGUUUGUAUACAAUAUUAAGUAGUUGUAUGGUUUUAAACUUCUUAUUCCACAUCGAAUCCUAAUCACAUUCUAUUUUAGACUUUUAUACUAUAAAAGUGGAUUUCUAGACUUUAGAAUUGCAAGUAGUGUUUUAAGAGCUCUAGAGAGUGAACACCUUGUAACUCUGUCUUUUGCUCUAAGUGGAGCGAGAGUGGUUUGGGUGAGUGUUCUUGGGAGGUUAUUGAAGAAGAGUGUGCAAGGGAUCUUGGGUUAGUUUUGGGAACCAUAAAGGUCAAUUUAUUGUACUUUAAAUUCUCAAUAAUAGAAUAACAGUUUCACUCCGUAGACUUAGGCAAAAGGCCAAACCACGUAAAUUCUUGUGUUUUUUUGUUUGCUUAUUUUCUCUGAAUUUUAUCUUUGUUGAUUCUUGGACAAUUUUCACAACAAACUGGUAUCAGAGCUUCGGGUUCGGUAAAUUUAAGAUUCAACAAGGAUGUUGAAAGUUACUAGUUCUACGAAUUUUUCAAUUGAGAAGUUUGAUGGGAAGACUAGUUUCACGCAGUGGCAGAGAAGGAUGAAAGAUCUCCUUGUGCAGCAAAGUUUAAUGCGCCCUUUGCUAGGAAAGGAGGAAGGGCAACCAAAUGACAUGAAGGAUGUUGAAUGGGCAGAGUUGAAGCAAAGGUGUGUGAGCAUUAUUCGGCUUUGCAUUGGAGAUAAUGUGUUUAACCAUGUUAUUGAUGAGGAUUCUGCUCUAAGAUUAUGGGCAAAGUUAGAGAAAAUUUACUUUGCGAAAAGUCUUUCUAACAAGUUGCAGCUUAGGUGAAAGUUGUAUCGCUUAAAGAUAGAGGAGAAUGGAGACUUCAUGAAGCAUAUGAAUGAAUUCGAUGGAAUCAUUGAUCAGUUGAAGAAGGUUGAUGUCAAGGUGGAGGAAAAGGAAAAGGCACUAUUGUUCCUAGCUUCGCUUCCAGACUUCUAUGAGGUAUUUGUGAAAUCUCUUAUAUGUGUGAUGGAUACAAUAACGUUAGAAUAAGCACAAGCAACGUUAAUAUCUCGUGAAGCCCGAAAGAAAAGUAAAGAAGGGGAUGGAGAUCCAAAUGGCUUGGCAUUGGUAAUUGAGGCUAAUAGGAGGAAGUCAACUGGUAAGGGAUCUAAGGGUGGCAAGUCUAGAUCCAACAAUGUUCAAUGUUUUAAAUGCAAAGGGUAUGGGCAUAUUAAAAGGGAUUGUCCUACAAAAAGGGAUGAAAGUAACGAGAACAAAGGUGAGUGUGCUUUCGUUGCUGAAAGUGAUUAUUGUGAUGUUUUUACAAUUUCAGAAAAUAUGGAUGCAAAUUCUUAUUGGUAUUUAGAUUCUGCUUCUGCUACUCACAUAUGUUAUCAAACGGAUUGUUUUGAUUUACUUCAAGAAGGGGUGGCUAGGAAUUUGACUUUGGGUAAUAAGUCAAUAGUGAAGGUCAUGGGUCUUGGAGUUGUGAAAAUCAAAAUAUUUGAUGGGGUUGUGCGCUCUUUGGGUGGUGUGGCUUAUGUCCCAAAGAUGCGUAAGAAUCUAAUAUCAUUGAGCCUAUUAGACUACAAAGUGUAUGGAUAUUCUGCUUGUGAUGGAGUGGUAAAAGUCACACAAGGCGACAUGGUCCUGAUGAGGGGGAAUUUACAUAAUGGCUUGUAUCAUCUAGAAUGUGAGGCCUCGAAAGGAUGGGAACAGUGCACAGGGGAUGGUAGCUACCAAAGUGAGAUUUCAUUUGCCGAGGAGGUGAUGAAAGAUUCCCAUGAUGUAGAUGAUGGUGAAAAGACGAAAAAUCUUGCCAGUAGUGAAUUGGAAGGGUCGUUGAGGUCCCUUUCCAAAGUCAAUUAGUGCCAUUGACUUGACGGCUACACAGGUGCAUUGGCCGUUUUGUGGAAUCAAGUGUUGGACCAUGCUUGAUUCGGUAUGUGUAGUCGUGGUAAUUAUAAAGGCCAAUGAUUUAGAAAGUCUUAUGCUUGGAGAGUUGUUCAAGGUGUUGGAAAGUAGGUGGAGUUAGGAAGUUGCAAUUAGGUGCGACUAGUGGAAGAGGUUUAAGGAGUUUGAAUUCAAGUCAAAGGUGGAGAUUUGUUGAGUUUUAGGUUGACUAGAAUUCUAGAUCUUAUUUGAUUAGGAUUUUUGUUUGUAUACAAUAUUAAGUAGUUGUGUGGUUUUAAACUUCUUAUUCCACAUCGAAUCCUAAUCACAUUCUACUUUUGACUUUUAUACUAUAAAAGUGGAUUUCUAGACUUUAGAAUUGCAAGUAGUACUUUAAGAGCUCUAGAGAGUGAACACCUUGUAACUCUGUCUUUUGCUCUUGGUGGAGCGAGAGUGGUUUGGGUGAGUGUUCUUGGGAGGUUAUUAAAGAAGAGUGUGCAAGGGAUCUUGGGUUCGUUUUGGGAACUAUAAAGGUCAAUUUAUUGUACUUUAAAUUCUCAAUAAUAUAAGAACAGUUUUACUCCGUAGACGUAGGCAAGAGGUCGAAUCAUGUAAAUUCUUGUGUUUUUUUGUUUGCUUAUUUUCUCCGAAUUUUAUCUUUGUUGAUUCUUGGGCAAUUUCCACAACAGGUUUCUAUCUUCCUCCUCUGUCAAUUGCACCUGAUUCAGUUUUGUUGUGCUUAAAUCUCCUUGACAGAAAAUCUUCAUUUUUGGGCACUCUCUCACAAUCACCUUUCGCAAGAUUGGGAAUUCAAAGUUGUGAUCCCCUAAGCAAAAGCUUGCUAGACAUGGUAGACAACUUAGUUGCAAAUACUUCAGUCGGGUGAAAACAAUGCCACCUUCCAUUUCAUCACCCCCAAUUGCUAUGAUUUCCUCCAUUAUCUCACAAUCAGUUAUGCUCAUUCUCUCGAGUAGUGUCAGGCUCUUUGCUGUUGAGCAUGCUAUUAAAUUUAUGAAUCCAUGACAUUUUGAAACUUCCAAAUUGGUUAAAUUUUCGAAAGACACCAAAGAUAGCACUAAAGUCUUUAAUUUGCCACAUUCCAGCACUUCAAGAAUUCUCAGGUUACAGAAAAUUGGUAUGGGUUGGAACCCUUCCUCCCAGAGAUGUGUUAGCUCUGGAAGUUUAGACAACCUCAAGUCAAUUAACAGAGUGAGUGCCCAUGCAUGUCUUUCCUCAUCAAUGAGUUCUUCAGACCGGAAAAUGUGACAGAAGGAAGCAUCACUUAGAACUAGCUUUUCAGCAUUUGGUGAUGACUGACUGACGCAAUAUGGAAGAGCAGUUGAUUUCUCAGGAACGCUUAUAAGCUCAAGAACCUUUAGUUUCCUGAAACAUUCUAUUGAGAGUACUUGGACAUGCCUUGUUCCUUUCACAAUAUUGUUCUGCUUCAAUCUUAAUUUUUCCAAGAUAGGGAACGUAACCUGAAUGAUUAACAUGUGUGUUAAACAAAAACAAAGAGUUUUAAUUGGUUAAAUUAUAAAAGACAAAAAAGUUUUAUAAGUUUUGCGUUCAUACCUCAUUGAUUUGAAACAAGGGUUGUUGAUUUCAGAUUUCAACCAGACUCUCUGUAUGUGUUUCUCCGAAGCAAGUACAUUUUUUAGCAAAUAUCUAUACUUUGUGGCAUUGAGUCACCUCCAUUUUUUUCAACGAUGACCAUUCUGUAGCAUGUAUUUUAAAGUAAAAACUUUUCAAUUUGGACAAUUUAUCAAGUUGAAAGUAUAUCACUCUGGGAAACACAAAUGUAGUAUCUGUUUCCACCACAAUUGAUCGAGUAGCUAUUGCUGCAUGUGAUUGAUUAGCAAUAAGUUCUUAUGGCUAAUGAAUCACAAUUCACAAUCUGCAACUUGUCUAGUUCCUGGAGUCUUUCCAUCACAUUAAACGGGAAGAUAUUUAGGAGUGCUUUACAGUCUCCAACCCAUAUAUUAUUUAGUUUGCAAAAUGAGUUCAUCGAGAGUUGACCCUGCCAUAUCUUUCUACAGUCCCUUAUAGCUUUGAUUGUCAACUUCUCUAGCUUAGGGAAGACCACCUAAAAAGAUUCAUUUAAUCGGAUUAAUAAAUGAAAUAGGAAAGAAGAAAAAAACCUUAACAAUGUGUUAUAGUGAAAUUAACAGAUGAAAGAAAAGCCACAAACAAAAGCAGAAUUCGUGCAGAAAAGAAUGGUAAAGGGAAAACAAGAGAAGAAAUCACCUUUUCAAUGAAGAGAGCCGAGUUAUUUCCUUGUGCAUUCUGAUGAAUUUAAGGUUCAUCCCCAACUUCGUCAAUUACAGAUUUAAAGACGAAUGUCUUCAAUACAUGACAGUUUGUUAGGACUAGACUUCUCAAGGAGGGGAAUUCAUUAUCAGUUUCAUAGCAGAAUCUUCUGAGUUUAGGAAGGUCUUCGAGCUUUAGGAAUUUUGGAGUGGUGAACAACAUCUUGCUCAUUGAUUCUUCUUCUGUCAUUCCUUCCAUGAAGAUUACUUCUUCCGUGGCCUUACAGUCCACAAUCGAAAGCCUACGGAGUUGCACAAAAUGUUUUUACCAUGAAAGAUGGAAACAGGUAUUUCAAAUUGUGACAACCCUUUAUCUUAAUCCAUUCCAAAUUGUGAACAUGAAAAGAGGAUGCUAAUUGUUGGAUAUGUCAUAUCUUUUUAACGUUAAUUGAGGACAGAUUCAAUUUGUACAAUUUGGGACACACAACCUGCAAACAUAAUUCUCAUAGUUUAUUUCUUUAAAAAAAAACUGAAAACAAUGAUUUCAGAGAAUGGGCAUGUUAACGACAAGGGAUGAUAGUCAAACAAUAACAUUAAAAAGUAAUAACAGAAAUAUAUAUAUAUAUAUAUAUAUAUAUAUAUAUAUAUAUAAAAGAGCAAAAACAAGAUCAAUAUAUAUAUAAAAAACUAUUAACCUAUUAUUUACAUAAACAAGAAAAGAAAAUGAAAAAAAAAGAACUACUUUGAAUUUGACCUAAAAAGAGAAAGAAAAAACAAAGAAAAGGAAGAAAUAAAGGGAAAAGAAGAAAAAAGAAAAACUGUGACAUUUUGGACUUGCCAAUUAGACAAUGGGAUGUGACACAUUACCAUUAGCUUCAGUAUGUAACUUUUAAAGGUAAAAAUAGGAAAUGUACAAUACUUAUCCGAAUCUUAUCUAUACUAUUGCUUAGGAGGUUGACUCAUCCAAUAUUUACACUCUAAUCCUUCCUUUUAAAGUAAAUAAAAAAUAUGAGAUAUGAUGAUCAUUAUCUUACCCUAUUCACCAUAAGUAAUACUUUCUCUAUAGUUGAUAGCAGUGUCCAUGAGUCGAACCAAACCUAUUGAGCCUCCCAUUCUAAAAGUCAAUCUGAAACUUGAUUCAAUUUAUUCAUUUAAUUAUUAUUUUAUUAUUAGAAUAAUUCAUUUUUAUUUUAUAAUUGUAAUAUUUUAAUUAUAUUUAAAAAUUAAAAUUAAAUAAAAUAUAUUAUUUCAUAAAAAAUAAUUUAAUUGGGUCAAUUCCUGUCAAAGUUGAGCUUAAAAAUAUAUGCAUAAGCCCAAACAUAAUCAGAACAAAUUCAAGGCGGACAGCUCGAUGCUUGAACACUUCUAAUAUCUUAUCUUUUAUUAUCUCUAGUAGACAAUUUUUAAUUUUAAUAUAUUUUAUAAUAAAUUUUCCUUUUUAUAAUAUUUUUAUUCAAUUUUUUAAUGUCAAAAAGUUAAAGAAGUGUCGUAAGGCAUUAAAAUAUUAAAAAAAAAUUUAGAUGAUUGCACAAGGAAAGAAACAUUUAAAAAAAAUAGAUAAAGGAAACGAGAUAAAGGUAGUUGGUACUUGUAGUCAUUUCUCUGUAUAUUAAUAAUAUCACAGUUAACACUAUCUUUUUUUUUUAUUCAGUCACAUUUAACAUUAUCUAACUCUUUUUUUUUUUUGUUACCAUGCGAUAAAGUUGAUCAAACUAAAAAAAGAAAUCUAAAUAUUUAACUCAAUGAUAAAUAUAUUGUUCCAUAUUACUUAAGUGAGGAACAUACAUAAAGAAAAAAGGAAAUAAAAUCUUGCAAAAAUAUGAAAAUGAAUCUUAACUAACAAACUGACCUUAUCGCCGAAAAAAGUUGAAGUAAUAUCCCAUUUUUCACUUCCAUCACCACCCGUCUCUUUCUCCUUGUCUCUUGAAUAUGAAGAAGCAGCAAAUGUAGUCAUUCUUGGACCACUAUCCUAAUUGUGCCCAGCCCUGGAAAUUUAAGAGCUCGACUUCCCAAAUAAAAACUCGUCAAGUUGGAACAUGACUCAAUUUUUAUGAAGUAGAACUGGGGGAAUGUUAACUUAUCUGUCGUUGCUUCCUCCUCAACUCCCUGUUCCAUGAUGACUGCUUCCAUCGAGGGACAUUCUUUUACUUCUAAUGUGAAUAAUUGCCGGAGGCUCAAAGCCAUAGAGGGGGUAAAAAUGUAUUUCAAGCUGCUACAAUUACAAACUUUCAGAUGUUCAAGGUUUUUGAAGUGCAAAAUUUCUUGAGGGUUCCUAUUUCAUAUUUCCAUCAACUCGGGAAAUGCGUCUGAAAAUUUCAAACGGAAUAGGCCAUAGCAUCCAACCUAACAAACCAGAUAUAUUGCACUAAUUAUAUAUGAUAAAACAUAACAUUAUUAUUUAAUUACAAGUACAAAUAAUAAAAAUAAACUUUCUUCUUCAAUCAUUGAACUAAUACCUUUUAAUUUCUAAAACAAUGAAAGAAGGCAAUAUUUCAAUCAAAAAAUAAAAUUGAGCUGUAGUUUGCAAAAUAAAUUGUAGCAGGAUCGGAGUGUCAUGAAUUAACUCAUACCUUUUCAGUGUACAACUGUUGUAUGGUGGUAUUAAGGUCACCAGCCCAACGCCCUUUGUCACCAUAACACGAUUCUUUUACUCUCUCUAAUUUUGGGGUGCUUAAAACUCCUUGAGAAAAAACCUUUAAGCUAUAACAAUUACUCACAAUUAAGUCUUCCAAGGAUGGAAACUUGAAGGUGUGAUUUCCUGGACAAAAGCUUGCGAGGCUCUGUAAAUGAUAGAGUUCUAAAUAUUUCAACUUGCUGAAAGUGAUCUCAUUCUCAUCGCCAUCGGUUGCAACUACUUCUGUCAUCCUGUCGCAGUGUUGUAUCGUCAUUUUUGUUAGUUGUACCAGACUCUGGACUACUGAAGGUGUACCUAAGUUUUUCAUCUCGUUGCAUCUUCCCACUUCAAGUGUUGUGAGAUUUCGGAAAGAUGCUGAGGAGGGUCCAAAAUUUAUCAAAUCAUCGCAGCACACAACUUCUAGAGUUUCCAGAUUAGCAAGAAUGUGGCCCAGCUCUGAAUCUUUCUUCCAUAUAUAUGUAAGAUUUUUGCAAGAAUUCAAUUUUAAUUUUCUAAUUCGUGAGAGAAUCCCAGCAUCAGGCUUUUCCGCAACAUCUCCUUCACAAGAGACUAGACUUUUGAAGUCACAAUUAGAGAACUUCAGAUUUUCAAGAUUGUGAAAUUUUUGGACCAAACAAAAUGGAAAAUUGGAGUUAUUCACCUCAAAAACUUUAAUAUGGUGAAACAAGUCAGUAGGAAACUGGCCAUCACUUAUCGUUGCAAUGUCAUCAAUAUUUGAUAAGCUCAAUUCCUCUAAUUUGGGAAUGACCUAGCAAACCAAUCAAAUAAGAAAAAAUCAGAGUCAAUGUUGCUCUACAAUGCCUUUCAAAAAAAUUGUUGCCCAACAAGGUCAAAAGAAAAAAACGUUAUUCUUGGUCACGCAACGGACACAGAUAUAUGCACAAAUAUGCAUAAAAGAAAAAGGUAAAAGCUAUACAAGUUCGAGUUAAUGGUCUACUCAACCCAUUAACUUUUCCAUUGCUUGGACUAAUUUUAUUCUGUUAAAAAUAAUUUGAGACUUUCAAACGCCAAAAAUUUCAUCAUGUGAGCUAAUUAAUUUUUUUUAUCAAAACAAAAAAUUUGUAAUUUUUUUCCGUACAUACCAUGCUACUAUGUUUAGGAUGCAUAAUGACAGUAGAGAUAAUCUUCCUAUAGAUGUAAUAGAUGAUCUAAAUUUAUGAAUAUAUAGAUCUUUCAAAUAAAAAAUUAAAUGAUCAAAUUGUGCUUUGGGCAUUCAUUUGAAGAAACUUUUAAAUAGAUAAUGCCAAAUACAGUAAUUCUUUAUGCAAGGAAAGAAAUUUUUAACCAGAAAAAUAUAAAUAAAAUGUCAAAUGAUAUCGUGAUGUAACACAAGUUUUGUGUAGCACAAGACUUAAUGAGCUUCCAAUUGCCCAAAAAACAAAAAGUUGUUGUCAGAAAGAUGAGUGUAAAAGAUAUAUGAUAAUCUAUUUAGGUAACACGGCCAAGCUGCUAUUUAGUAAAGAUAGCAUCAAGAGAGAAAUUUAAGUAAUUAAACUAGUUUUUUUUUUUUUGUGAAAAGCAAUUAAGUAAACUAGUUAUUACCUAGUUCAUAGUAUGGAAUAGUACUCUCUCCUUCCUUUUUCUUUGUUACUUUUUUUAGAUAUCCCAAAACGAAGUUUAUCUUUCUUUGACACUUAAUACUCUUAUUUUUUUUCAUAUUGCAAACGUAUUUUUUAUGAUUUAUUUUACUUUUUCAUAUUAAAAAAAUUUUAACAUCUGGAUGUUUAAAUUUUUAUAAUAUAGAUCUGCAUUAUAAUUUUUUUUUCAAAUUUUAAUAUAAAAUAAAUCAAAGUAAAAAGUUUUCGUCUUACUCUUCUUGAAAGUCAAAGAGAGACAAAGAAAAAGGAAAGGAAGGAAUAUACGAUAAAAUUUAUGUUUCUUGAUUAUUUUUCUUUUGCUUUUUUGUACUAGAACGCAUUCCAAAUCUAUACUAGAAAAAAUUUAAAAUUUAAAAAUUUAAUGUAAGAUAAAUCAAAAUAAAAAAAAUUUAAUCUCACUAAAAGUUGAAGGACUAAGACAAAAGAAGGGAAGAGUAUAAGAUAAAGACAAGGAAAUGAAUUACAUUAAAUAAUACUAUCUUCUCUUUCUGUUUGGUUUGUGCAAAUAUUAAGAGUAGGAUAAGACGAUUUUUAUCAUAUAUAUUAUGUUUGUUGUGUGUAAGAUAAAACGUAUGAUAAGAUUUUUUUUUUGUUAAGUGGUUAAAAUUACAUUUUCUUUCGUUGUUGCCUAUGCGUCUUGUUUCUAUUGAGUUAUUGAACUUGUAUUCGGAUGUGAAUGACUUUUAUGUGAUAAGGCUUUACUUGUUGCUGUGAGUUUUGUUGCCAUGCCUGCAUAUAUACCAUACGUGUAGCUUCUAGUUUUCAAGUUUGAUGAGAAAACUGAUUUUUAAGAGUGGAGAGACCAUUCAUAUGCAGUAUUUUUAAAUAAUGUAGGAAUUUGGGAAGGUUUCGUUCAACCAGAAAAUAUAGAAAAUCCAACGGAGGUGAGAGAUAAGAAUUUAUCAAGGGAAUAUUGACAAGACCAGGGGCAGUCCCCUGGAAUGAAAAAGAGCUUAAUUAAAAUAAGUGUGUAAUGAAAAUCUUAAAAGGGAGUGUGAUUGAUAUAAAAAAAAUGUCCAAAAAAUUUAAAUAGGAUACAGUAAAAAUUCACUUAUGUGUACUUUAAAUUCUAUAUUUCAAGAAUCAAACCUUUUGCAUUAUUGGUAGUAAAAAACGUUUUUCAUUACAAAUUUAAUGUUUUUAUAAGUUAAAAUUGAAAUUAAUGAUGGAGCUAGAUAUAUAUUCUGUUAAAACUGAAUUUAUUUCAUUUAAUACAUAUGCUUCUUAAUUUAUUAUAUUAUUAUUAGUUGAUGAUAAAUUAAAAGAUUUACUAAAUUAUACUUCAAAUUUCAAAAUUAUGUAUCAGUGAUAAAUAUCGAUAUGUCAUGCAUGUGACCGUGUUUCAGGUUUUUUUAAAGGAAAUAGUGAAAGUUCAGAAUCAUACCUCUUCAUCCAAGAAAAGUGAUUGUCCUUUUGUGAAUUCCAGCUCGUCAUGGAUUCUCAGACGUUCUGAAGCUAGCAUCUUUAUUAAAGUAGAACAAUCUGUUGUCAAUUUUUUAAACAUGGGCCAGACUAUCGUACGUUGCCCUGGAUAGAAACAUUUGAGCUUUCUUAGGCGUGUAAGCUGCAGGGAAGACAUUUGAGGAAACUUAAACCUAACCGGCUGCUCCAAUCCUUCCCCUGCGGAUACAAUCUCCUCCACCCCACAACUACUUAUUGUUAGAUCUUCGAUUUGGGGAAGAUCUUUGGCUAUUGAUGCAGGAAAUAGAUUUUUCAGACUCUCACAACUCAUAACCCUUACCUUUCGCAGAUUUCGAAAGGUAAGACUUCCUUGGGGAUCUUUAUUCCAAACAUGCUUCAGUUUUGGUAGAUUAUAAAUAUACAAUUCCAUUAGUUGAGAAUCUACAGCAUGUGUUUCUUUGAUAUUUAACCCUCCAACCCCAACCUCAAACAUCUGUUCUAGUGAAUCACAUCUCUCCACUCUAAGUGUUUUUAGGCUUUGAAGUACUCCGAACACAUUAGAUGGAAAAAGAGCCAAUAACUCAUCACAGCAUUCAACAUUCAUUUCUUCUAAUUUGCCAAAGGAACCUGCUAGAAGUUGGUCAUGAAACAUCUUCUUCACAUUUCUCAAGUGGGAAAGUGUCAUCCUUUCCAAUCUGGGAACUGCAGCCUAUAUAAUUCGUGCCAAUGAGUAAAAAGUUAACUAGAGUUAAUUCAUGAAACUAAGGCAAAAAAAUAAAGGAAAACAAGAGAGAGCAAUAAGAGUGAGAGACUAAUUCACCUUUUCAUUGAAGAGAGCUUGUAUACUGGACUCAUAUUUCCCCUCCAUUUUAGUUUCACUAAUAAAUUCUUGUAAUUUAGGGCAAUGCUCAAUCUGCAGCACUUUUAGUGAUGGGAACCCAAUAUUAUAAUUUCCUGAACAACAUUUGAUGAGAUUCGGAAGAUUCUUUAUUUUUAGGGAGUUUAAUUGAGGGAAGCAAAUCAAAUCUUCCUGUUGUUCUGUUAUUUCCCCUGUAAAUAUUAUCUCUCUUAAGCACUUGCAAUUUACCAUCUCCAACUGUUCAAGGUGUACCAGAUUUCUAGCAACAGAGGGAAAUAACAGAUGUUGUAAGUAAUGACAGCCCUCAAUGAUGAUGGUCUUCAAAUUCGGAAGGCAAAAACAAUAAGUCUCUGAAAGCUGGUUGUGCCAUAUCCUUUGGGUCUUAAUUGAGGACAAUCGCAAGCUUGUCAAUUGAGGGAACACAAUCUGCACAUAUGUACAAUUCUUUUUCCUUAAAACUCUAGAGAAUAUAUGUGUAUAUCUUAAAAUGUGAAGUCCAAAAGUCCUAAAAUUGAAUGAUCUAAAUACCCCUCAUAAUUUAUGAAACGCAAAAUUUUAUUUCCUUUUCUCUCUUAAUAAAAAGUUUGAUGUUUAAUUUCCAAAAAAUAAAAAGUUUGAUGUUUAUAAUAAAAUUAAUGUAUUAAUUAAGUUUUUUUUCAUAGACUGUCAUGAGAUUGGAAUUAUAACUUUAACUAAUAAUGAAAUUAAAAAAACAUAAAAGCAUUGCCGUUUGUUCAAGCUAUAUACGCUCAAAUUAUUUGUCCAUAAAAGGCAGAAGAAUAUAAAAAUGAAAAAGGCCAAAAUUAUAAAUUUAUUGAAUUUUGUCGAUCUCAUGUUUUGCUUUAUGUUUUCUUAAAAAUGACACUUCUGUGAAAAAAUCAAUUACUAUCCUAAGAUAUUAGAUAAUAAGAAAGCUCACUUUCACACAAAACAAAACAAAAAAGGAGAAAAAAGAGGGAAAAGAACAAGUCUUUUAUCUAAUUUGAUCAAAAUAUAUAAAAGUGAUCUCAUUUUAUUUUGUUACUUUUUUUAGGGGAAGGAGAUUUGAAUUCAUACUCUUUAAGUAGGAAGAUCAUGUCUUAAUCAAUGAACAAAAUACUCGGAUGCUUAUUUUAUUACUUGUUAUAUAUUAGAUAAUAAACAUUUGGCAUUAUAACUUUUAAGUCUAAGACAUUAAUUCAAUUCAGAGUCCAGGUAUUUGUAAAAGUCUUACCUAGAAUAGGAAAAAAAAAGUAUGCAGUAGAACAUUAGUUACAUCAAUAAGAUAUAAACCUAAAGAUUACAUUUAGUUAAUUUAUUUAUGAUACAAAUGUUUUACUUUAUUAUGUUUAUUUUAAUUACAUUAGGACAUAUUUAUUAUUACAUAUUAUAUAUUUAUUGUUAUUAUUAUCAUUUAAUGAGGAAAAAACUAUUAUUAAUUAAUUAUCAUAUUAGUAAUACAACAAAAUCAAAGAAACUACAUUUAACUUAUUGACUUUCUUUGCAAAAUUUUAUGUUUUGACAGGUUCUUCUAAAAUUAUAAUCUUUAUUUGUUAUUCUAACCAUCCAUGACAAAAAUUAUAAGUAUCGAGAUAUCAUAAAAUUUAACAAAAAAGAACACAAAUAAAUAAAAAGUGGUUUACACCUUAACUUCUUGGACUACCCGUUAAUGCAAGGGAAAAGAUCAUCUAUUAAUCAAGUAAAAUCACUUCAUAUUUGCAGGUCACUAUGUAUUCUUAGUUAGAUGUAGAAGUUAUUGUAACCCAUUUGGUUGGUACUGUUAAUACUUGCUUUACACUUUUGAAGAAUAUUUAUAAAUUGAAGGCAAACAAUGAAAUGUAAUAUCAUAAAAUUAGUUAAAACAAUAAUAACACAGUUGGUUACGAAAACAUUUUUUUUUGUGUAUAAUCCUCAAAAAAUUUUAUUUGCUUUAGUAUCCAAACAUGUUUUGUUCUUCUAAAAGGAAAUAGAAAAUAGCAAAAGUGUUAACCAAACAAAAUCUAAAUUAACUUAUACAUGCUUUAAUGUAAUAAAAAUCAUGCUCUUCACAUUCCCCUAGCUAAUAAUCAAAACUAUGAAAAAUAAAAUCACUCUCUAUGGAUGCAAGAGUCAAAAAAUCAAUAGCCACCAUGAGAGUUUGAUCCUUAGCAUUUAACAAUUUUCAAGCGCAUAUAAUAGCUAGCUUGAGCUUCACAGACAAGAUAGGGCAGCUUGUAAAAAAAGUAUGAUUAAUUUAGUCAAUUUUUAAGUGAUACUAAUAAACUAUAAAUCAUUACUUAAAAAAGAAAUUUCACUUUAAUGAGGAAUUUGAUAUCAAUAAGAAAUAAAUAAAUAAUUAGGUAGUAUUUUAUUUUAAUGAAAAUUACAAUAAAUAAAUACAUAUUUCGAGGUACUCAAAAAUUAAUAAAUUAAAAAUUAGGUAAUAUUUAAUUUGACAGAAAAAUUAUCAACUAUGGAAAGUUUCAAUUAAUAAGGACUUCCUUGUCAAUAAAAAUUAUCAAUUUGUUAUUGGUUUCUUCACGCGAUGCUGUUUUGACUGGCAGCAAUGACGAUUUCCAGAACAAAGGGUGGGAGUUAAGAUUCUUAAGAGUUUGUGUUUUUCACUUAAUGUCUCCUGUAAAAGGUAUGGUUCUAUGCUUAUAUGUUAGUCUAUUAAACAUAGCUUGCUUUCAUGUAAUGGGGUUAUUUCCCGUAUGUUUUAACAGAUUAAAUUUUAAACAAAAAAAUAAGAAAAUAAAUAAAAAAAAAGUUAUUAGCCAAAGACAAAUAAUUAUUCUAAAAUGUACACAGGACAUAUUGAAUAUAGAAGGAUUAUGGAGACAACACAUUAAGGUGAAGGAGAGAAUUUCUAAAAUAGAUUAAACACUAUAAUAUUUUAAUUUAAGACAACAUAUUUUUAAAAUAUAUUACUAAAAAUAUUUUUAAUAAUAUUUUUUUGUACCUUUUAAAAUAUUUUUAUAGAUCUAAUUUCACUAUAAAAUUUUUUUGAUACAUUAUAAAUAAAAUGUAAACAUACAAAUUGCAUACACUAUUAAAAGUUGUACUUUUUUAUAUUGCUACUAAAUGUAUGAAAAAAGUGAAAUUAAAAGUUAAAAUGACUACACUCUUUAAAAUUUUAUUAUACAAAAAAAUAUGUCUCCUAAAGUAAUGGGAUUAAAAUUUAAAUUUGUUGUAGUGAAAGAGGCUUAACAAAAUAAAUAAGAAAGUAGGAACUAGGGUUUAAAGGAGAAUACUGUUGAUGUCGUUUACCAAAUACGAAUAAAAGCUAAACUUGGAAAAUGAAAUGGGAAGCGAAACCUAAAUAUAAUUAAGCCAUUGACUGCUCCAUAAAUAAAUAAAUACCUGUUUAUUGAAAAGUGGCUUGGUGCUUGUAUUCCCCUGCUCCUGCUGGGAGGUGGAACUCGUCUUCUCUUCAGAGCUAAAGCCAAUAAGCUGUGGCAGAUCUUGGAGUGUCAUGGACUGUAACUGAGAAAACUGAGUAUUCUCCGUUGCUAUAUACUGCACUUCCAAACCAUUUUGAAUGUGAAGUUUCUUUAAAUGUGGAAAAUCUUCACCAUUAUGCAACUCAGCAACUACAUUCUUGAUACCCUUAAGUUGAUCUAGAUAUAAAUCUUCUGUCUUCUUCAACAAUAUUUUCACCCCAUGAUCCAAGUAAAUGCUUGUAUCUAAGUUGAAUCUCAGUGUUCUUGAGCAUUCAUACUUGGCGAACCUCUUCCAUGCACCAUUACCUAUAAAAAUCUUGUAUCUGUCCAAUGUCUCACUGAACAGGCAUUCGGGAAUUAUUUGGGCAUUCGGAAUAUAAGCAUACAAAGUGGUUAGAUGAGACAAAUGCUUCAAUUCCUCAAGGCUAGCAUUUCUUCUGUCACUACCAAGUACUUCAUCUUCCCAUUGAACAAAGCUAUCUUCCAAAAUUAAUUCUUCUAAUUUGGACAAAUUGGAUAAGAUAUCUGGUGGGAUGAUUUUGAGUUCAGUGCAAUGCCUCAAAUCUAACAAACUUAACCGAGUCAAUUGUGCUAUCUCCCUGGGUAGCGCUUUAAUAUCUGAGCCUGCAAGGCUAAGGAUUUCUAAUUUCUUGAGCUUUCCAAUAAUGGUUAUGUCUUCCAGUGCACAUCCAUUUAAACGCAACGUCUGAAGGUUUGUUAGGAGAUUAAUUGACACAGGUAGAGAUUGAAACUGCAUUCUAGCCAAAUGUAGGACUUUGAGUCUUUCUGUUCCCCUGAAGAAGUUGGCUGGAAUAUUCACUGAACCUUCAUUGUUCAUAAAGAAGAAGGAAAGAUGUGAACACUCCAACUCAUCAGGAAGCUCACUGAUAUUAGGAGAACUUAAAAAAAUCACACUGCAAUUUUUCAUUAUCUCCUGAUCAGGCCACUCUUUUAGCACAUCACCAUCUCUUAACACAAACAUACGGUUGUCCCUUGAUGCAAUUGAUAUAGCAACAUCCCGAACAACAUCAUGGAUAUCAAACCGUUCAUCGUUAUAACUAUCAAGCAACAAACAAGAGGCUUUGAGCUUACUCACCACUGUCAAUAUUUUGUAUCUUGCUUCUUCUAUUGUGUUGACACCAUGAAAGAAACCCAAACCCAUGAUGUAAUGCAACAAGUAUUCAACGAAACCAUCAUGACCCAUUAAACUAGAAAGCAAGAAAGUCAACUUAACUUUCUCAUUUUCUAAAUAAUUGUAGCUCAACUCUAUAGGUGAAUAUACAUCCUCUGUUAUCUCGGUGAAGCUUGUUGAUGAAGGCGUCCUUAGUUCACGCAAAGCAUUCUUCCAUUCAAACAAACGUUUGUUUCUCAAAGCCCUUGCAACUGUUGCGAUGGCGAUCGGCAGUCCCGCACAUUUCUUUGCUACCUCCAUAGCUGUAGGCUGCAGAUCACAACUUUCAACAUAGUCACCAGCCAUCUUUUUAAACAGGUCCCAGGCUUCUUCUUCAUUUAAAAGGCUAACUGCAAAAUUUUUCUGUGUACCCAUCCCACUUGAUAAAACAUUGAGAUCCCUAGACGUCAGCAGUAUCUUGCAUCCCUCAUGUUCAUUUCCAAAAGGAAUCCCAACUUCCUCGAGAUCUAAUCUUUCCCAAAUAUCAUCCAAAACAACAAGAAUCUUCUUCUCUUUCUGCAAUCUUUCUCGUAGUCUAAGUGCCCUUCCAACCCUACUCUGUUCCUCAAAUUUUAAACGCAAUAAGUCUGCAACUUGGUUUUGAAUUUUCUCAACAUCAAGGGUCUGAGUUACAGUUACUAUAACUACGGAAUCAAUUAACUUGCCCUCCUUGACUUGACUAGCAACUUCUUUGACUAGCGAGGUCUUGCCUACGCCACCCAUCCCGUGCACCCCUAUAAUGUUGAUACUUGGAUCUUUCAGUGCCUCCAUGAUUCCAUUGAAAACCAUCGUUCUUGACUCGAAUGCUUCAAAACCUUUAACACAUGCGACCAUGAUACCUUGUGGAGCUGCACGAUACGAAACCUUGUCAAAUUUGCUCUGUUUGAGUAGCUCAGCGACAGCCUUCGCCUCCUUUUCGGCUUCCAUGCUAAGCUUGUAACGUGUCCAGAAACUAGGACACAAGCCAAGGAAACACUUUUUCUUUGCUUUUUCUUCAUCCUGUAUUACUUUCUCUACUUCUUCAGAGAUCUUCUUAUUGACGGUAGUCAGCCACUUGUCGACAUCGUGUUCAAUCUCCUCCCCAUUUCCCAUAGCAGCAUCAACCGAAUGCUGUACUCUUUCUCGUGCAUCCUUCAGGCUCUCAACUUGAUUCUUGAGGGUCCGGACCUGGUUCUCAUGAUUGCAAAGGUAUUUGAUAUGGUUUUUGAUGGUAGAGAUCGUGUACUCUGCAGCGCUAGUGACAAUGGAGCUAACGAUUUCCAUUUCGUUUUCUUUUUUUUUUAAUUUUUUUUCUAAGUUGCGAGAAGCAAACUGAAUAAAAAGAAAAAGCUAUGGGUUAAACAAAAAAAGAGGACAAGUGAAAAACAGGGGAGAAAAACCAGAAAAGAAAAUUACAAUGAAAGGAGAAGAAAGAAAAGAGUCUUAUAUAGCAAGCAUCAUCAAAACAUGAAAGGAAACCAAAGGGCCUAAAAUUGGAAGGGUUUUGCGUGGCGUACCUCCUCAGAAGAUGAGAAAUUUUCCCUUUCUUCACCUUCACUGAUGAGAUUGAAGAAGAGAAGGAUUCUUGAGAAGAUAAGUUCAGCAAUUAAUUCUCUCACCUAUGAAGGGGGAAAUUAAGAAUUUUCACUUUAUAUCUAUAUAAAAGAACAAAGCCGGAGAGAUUUGACAAAGACAAAGAAAAAAGUUUUACUUUGGGUGGAUGAAGCUGAGAAAACAUGUGAUGGCCAACGAACCAGCCGUCCAGCAAGUCAAUGCAACAUGACAAGAACCAAAUGCAUUAAAAAAACUUAAAUGCGACAUGACAAGAACCAAAUGCAUUAAAAAAACUUACUCUUAUAAUUUAUAAAUCUUAAUUCUAUUAUAUAAAACAAAUGUGCAGGAAGGAUUGGACCGUCAGGAGCAUUAAACUUUGUUGAACUCCUAGUUUAUAUCUCAAUAUAAACUGUCCAAAUGCAUUAUCUCAAUAUAAACAAACUGGUAACUCCUAGUUUCCUCGAAUUGUUGAAGUGUCUGAAGUAGUAGUUUCAACGAGAAAAGAAAACCUCAAACUUUGUCUUUGGAUCACCAAUAAACAAUCACGCAAAGGAUGAAACCUUUAACUUUCAAUACAUUUUCCAGCCUGGACAAAAACAUACGACUGUUACAUAAAUUCUUCUUUUCCACAUUAGCUAGAAGCGUACGACCUUGUUUGAGUCCACAGAAAUUGUUAGAAAUUUUGAGAAAAUAAAAAAAAUAAGAACAAAAAGGGAAGAUCGACUUUGAAAGGUGAAAAACCUUUCUUAAAGGUUACUUAUAUCUUUAGUGAAAAUAUUUCUACAGACAAGUUUUUUAUAUCAUUUAACGAAAAUAUAUGUUUUUCAAUAAUACAACUCUUUCUAAACAAAAUAUAAUUUUUUAUCAAAAAUUAAAGAUGUUCGAUGUAUAAAACUUUUUAUUUUAUAAACAAGCAUAACUUUUCACAAUUAAUUUAAUUUAAUUUAUGAAAAUUAUAAUAGUUUAUCAUCAAUAUCAAGUAUUUGUUCCACAAAAAUUAUUUCAAAGAACUUUUCUUUUCUAAUGUUAAUUUAAGAAAUCCACUAAUAUUCCAAAUUACCAGCAAUUUCUCACUAGUUUAGAAUAUUGGUGCUUCAUCGUUUAACUUUUCACAAAAAUAUGUAUUACGAAUGCACAGAUAUAUUAUUGAUUUAAACUUAUGAAUACAAGAAUUAAAAUUAAUUAUUUUUAAUUUCAUGAAUUUUAUGAUUCUCACUUUAGAAAAUUUCAAUUGACGGCCUCUAAUUCCAAAAAUUUUAAUUCUAAUACAUUAAUGUGUUUGGGUUACAAUGUAUUGAUUCCUUUUAUUAGAACUUCAAAUAAAAAAAAAUUGGGACGCUCCAAUCAAAAGUGGGCUCUGCCGUUACACAAGGUGAUAGAGACCCUUCUUUGUGACCGGCACUGAUGACUAAAGGUUCCUGUACAAAAGUAAUUACGUGCACUUGUGAAAGCCAAGUUUAUGGACCAGAUAAUGUCAAAACAAGACUUUCGAGUUUUGGGGUCCGUUUGGAAAGCAUGAAAAUAUUUUUAAAAAAAUAAUUUUAAUAAUUUUGAAUGUUUGGUUAUAUUUAAGUAUUUGGUUAAUUGGUUUCUCUUCUUUCAAUUAUAAAAAAAUUUUGAGUGUUUGGUUAUAUUUAAGUAUUUGAUUAAUUGGUUUCUCUUCUUUCAAUUAUAAAAAAAAUUUUGAGUGUUUGAUUGAGUGAAAAUACAUUCAAAAAUAAAACUUUUUAUGAAGUCAAAUGAAAAAUAAAUUAUUGACCUUGUAAAUUAUCUUACACCUUGAAAUGGCGUAAGACAUUGUCCAAAACACAAUUUCUUUUUAUCCCGAGCUUCUUCUUCGUCACCCCGAUCCUCUCCUUUGAUAUGACUUCUUCUCUUUAUGUUCACUUUUUAUUAAUUCAUUAGCUGUCAAGCAGUGUCUGACGAUAAUUGGAAGGCAUGUAAAUACGAGAAGUCAAAGGUUGAAAACUUUAAAUUAUUUUGAAUUCAAUUUGUUCUCCCUUUUUCUUAAAUCUUAAAUCAAAUGAUUUAGUUUGGUUAGGAAGAUAAUGCUUGUUCAACAAAUUAAGAAGAAAGUAAUUAGGGGUUUUUUUUUAAAUCGUUAACCAAUCAUUUUUUUACAUGUGUAUAAGUAAAAAGAUAAGCAUACAAAUCUUAAUUAACAACAUUUAAUGUCAUAUCAUCUGUCACAUGGUAGUGAUGUUGUUAUCAAAAUACUAUGUUAACAUACCACGUGACAGAUAACGUGGUACAAAUGUACCACAUGUACCGUUGAUUAAGAAAACUUAGUCAACAGUUAAAGAGAUGGGCUUAUUUAACUUGAAAAAAAAAUUAAAAAGUUUAAUUAUUUGAACACAAUAAAAAGAUAGAGAUUGAAUUAAAUUUCUUUGAGAGAGUUCAAAAGCUUAUUCGGGUAUUUAAUCAAAAAUAAAGAAUAGAAUGAGCUCUAGCACAGCACUUCAUCUUUAAAAUCUUUCAAAAGUCUUUAUUGAAGUUAAUGAAGAAGGAGCUGACAAUAGAACUGAUUAUACUCAAAAUUAGUUAAUUAUAAUAAUCCCUCAAAAAUAAGGUCUUUUUAACAUGUAUGUAAUUUGAGUAAUUUUGUAUUUGGAUAAUAUUUAUUGAGUUUAAUUAAAUUGGUAAGGUAUUAUUUUGUUUAUAUUAUAAUGUUUCCAAAUGACAUUUUGAAGAUAAUUUUUUUUUUAAAAUGAAUAGUGAAAAAUAUUUUUCAUAAAACAAUACAAACAACAAAAAAUAUUUUUGAUAGUUUAUCCAAAUAAUAAAAAAUAUUAAAUUUUUCCAUGAGAUAUUUUACACAUAAAAAAUGUUUCUUCAAUAAAUUAUUUUACAAUUAUCAAAUAGACCCUUAAAUAUUAGAUUUUCCUUUAAAUUUAUGUUUGUUUUAAAUUUAAAUUAAAUGUAAGAUUGGUGUGGGCAAGAGAACUGUAAACUUACAAACGAUUUUGCUGCACAAUAAGCCAUUGGCAGCAUGCUACCAUUUCCCAAACCAGGAUCACUUCAAAAAACAUCAGUAAAAAAGAAAACAAAUCAACAUAACCACUGCACUGCUCGAAAUCCCAGGAAAAAGUGGGGCAUCAAUUGACACCCCUUGCAAAUUCGACAAAGCCCCACAUUCCUGACAUUGCCUUGCUCCACGAGCUCAGUUUCAAUGAGUAGAAAACCAACAGCCAAAGCAUGAAUCGGCAAAAAGAACAUCAAUAGCAGCCCCUACUGUUAUAAAAGUACAAUGUAGUGGAAAAUUUUUUAUUGAUGAAAAUGGUCAUUUUUUUUAUGUUUAAAUCAUCAUUUUAAAUAUUUCAAUCAUUAAUAUUACAAAAUUUUCAUUAUAUAUAAUUAUAAUAUUAAUUAUUUUUAAUAUAUAAUUGUCUUUCAUUUAUGAUUAUUUUUAUAUGUAUGCAAUUUUCUGUACUUUAAAAAUAUUUGCAUAAAUGCUAAUGAAUUUAAAAAUGUAAAAGCAUAUUGAAUUCCUUGAGUUUUUGUUAUAUUUAAAGCAAGAAACUUUUAGCACAUUUCAUCUCACUGGUAGAUGCGUUUACUUUAAAUUUAAAAUCUUAUUAUCAAGGAUUGAGAUUUGAUUUUAUAGGUUUCGUUUUCGAAUCUUUAAAUAAGAUACAACCUAUUCAAUUUGUAGUUCAAAUCUCUAUGUUCUAAAAAAUAAAGAACAAUUUGAUUUUGAUUUGUUGGUCCUACUCUCUUGCUAAAAUCCCAUUACUUAAUUUGAUCAUACGCUGGAUUGGAAAUCAUUACCAGAAGCAGAGGACAUCCAAUUUCCUCCAAUACACUUGUGAUACAUAAAAUAUAAGAACUUGUUCUAAAAUUUAAAAAAAAAUUGAAAACUUGUUAUACCAAAGACAAAAUAUAAAAACUUAAAUAGUAACAUUCAAAUAAUAUUUAACUCAAUAAUAUGCACAUGUAUCCUUAAAGAAUUAUAUUUAAUUUUUCUUUUCUUUAAUUUUUUUUAAAAUAAAAUCUUAAAACAGUGGGUCAAGUUUCGCAAAAAAGAACGAAGACUUGCUAAUUCAUUCUUAUACCAAAAGGAAAAUGAGGACUUGUUAUAAGAAGACUUAAAUAUUGUACAAUAGAUGGACACAAUGCCGAGACUGAUCAAGUUUCACCUAAAGGAGAUCAAAUUAUAGAUAAUCUCUAUAUCGGUAUUCAUGCAAAGUCAAACAAUUCUUUUAAGAAAACGUAUAUUGGGAUAUUAAACAAUUGGACUUGAGAAAAUUUGCUGGGCAUGGCGAAACCCCAACGUAGCUUCGUCUACGCGGAGAGAGUGAAUGUCCUCUGGCCAAGUAAUCCUCUAGGAUACAGCUAGUUGUUGCUACUUGCUAAUAAUUUAUAUAGCUAUUUUUAGCAGCCUUGUUAAGUUUCCACCUACAUUUCUCUUUUCACACAUUUAUACUUGUACGUUACGCUUGAAUAAGAAAGAUUUACUUGAUCAAAGAAUUUCAUUUAGUAAGAUACUUUUUUAAUUAUAAAGUAGAAAUUAUACUUGAAGUCAAACAUUUUUUUCAUUUAUAUUUAUAAUAUAGUAAUAGAUCUUGCAAAAUAAAUCAUAAACAAAUCAACAAAAAAUUAAAUUAAAUUUAUACAUGAUGAGAUUUAAAUCUAAAAUUUAAAUAAAAUCUUUGCAUAAGUAUUCAAAUUGAGUACGCAAUUGAUAAAUAAUACCUAACAUCCGGAGAUGUUGUUAUGUCCGAAAGUUUUUUAUCUAUUCUUAUUCUGAGAUGAAUGAUAUAACCUUUAUAAAACAUUACAAAUGAAAAGUUUUGUAUAUAUAAGAAAUUGCUAACAAAUUUUCAUUCUUAAAAAUAAUUUCAAUGCUUUUUGUUUUCUCUAAAAUACAUUUCAUUGUUCCCAUACUUUUUGUCUUGAUUUUAAUGAAGUUGAGUAGAGAUAUCGAUGGGUAGGGUAUUUACUAAUUUUGAGAUAUUUAAACCUAGACCCAAACCUAAUUAAUGAAUGGAACACUCAAACCAUACAAUUAACGAAUAUUUUUAAAAUUUAUUAUCUUAAUCUUAAUCCUAAUACAUAACCAUUACUUUUUAAUUACUUGAAUCAAUUUCAAAAUUUGAUUAUGUAAAAAAAUUAUUAAAAUGCUCUUCAUAAGUAUCCAAUUACCUGAAUUCAAAUUUGUACCUUUAUUUAUAUACAAUAAUAUUUUCCAUCCAUAUUCCAUAUAAUUUACUAAUAAUUAGAUUUAUAAAAACACAUAAAUAAUAAAAUUUAAAUUUAAAUAAUCAAAAACAAAUAUCUUAAAUAUUAAUUUAAAUAACUAAAAACAAAUAUUCAAAUAACAACUUAAACAGCAUUAUAAGUUUACAAUAAGCCAACAACAUUACAAUUUUAAUUAACUACAUGGAUUUAUCUUUAAUUACAUGAAAUUAAAAACAAAUAACUAGGUUACAAAAUUAUUUUAAUAUCAUCGCUUUUCUUUAAGUAUAUAUAUUAUAAUUAAUAAUUUUAUGAAUUAUAAUUUUUGUAACGUUAAUCCAAAAUAAAAAGUAAAAUAUUUAUAUUUAAAGUAUAUAUACUAAAAGUAUAUAAAAUAAUAAUUAUUAUUAUUAUAUUUGUUAUAAAUUAACACAAUACAUAGAGUAUAUAUAUUAAAAGAUAUUAUAAGUUAAUUAAUAAUCAUAAUUUUAUGAAUUAAUUUAAUUAACAAUAUAAGCUUGUUUUUAAUUACAUAAAAUAAAAAAAAACAUAAUCAAGUUUGAGAAUCGAGUAUCUAAGGGGUGAUACCUGAACCCAACACAAGUAUUGAAAUUUCUACCUGAACCUGUCCCAAACCCGAUUAGAGGUAUCUUAAUCUUGUAUAACUGAAUCAAAUACUUGCGAGUACUUUAUAACAGGAUACCCAUUACUAUCUCUAAAGUUGAGAGACAAAAUUUGACUCUUUUGAAUUUUAUAUUAAUUAAAAUUUUAAAUUUCAAAUGAAUAUUUCAUAAGUUUAACAUCAAAAGGUAAAUACACAUAGAAAUAGUAUUAAACGUUAAAAAAGAAAAUAGAGAACAUAUUUUUGAGGUUUGAGAAUCGAGAGGUUUAAAAACAAAAUGGACAAAUAAAUAAGAAAAAAAACCUAUUAUUUAUUUAUAUUUAUUAUUGAAUCAUUAUUACGACCAAAAAUGCCAUUUUAAUCUCAUAAUAAGUCAAAUUGUUGAGCAACACCACGCGGUUUCUAUAUAAUAAAAUUAUAAUUAAUUUGCAAGAAGUGGACAAUAUUUAAUUUUUUUUCAGUAUCCAUAACAUAUUUAAAAGGUUUAACUACAUAUCAGUUUUAGAGAGUAUUUAAAAAAAUUAAACAGUAUUUUUGAAAGAGAUUUAAAAUUGUUCAUAUACAUUGUAGAAGUAUGAGCUUUGCGCGAAUAACAUGCAUGAAUGUCUUAUAUUUAAUCUGUGUACAAUGCACAAGUCAUAUUCUAAUUAUAUUAAUGUAAAAGAUUAUCAUUUAAUAGAAACAACAUGCUGAUAGUUGAAGUCAAUAGACAAUAGAAUAAUUUUCACUUUUCAUUGAUAUCUCUUUAAGAGAAUUUGGAUAGAUUCUGUAAUUAAUUUCACAAAGUUUUUAGAAUGCUUCAUGGAGAUUAAUGAAAAUUAUAAACAUCAUCUGCAGGUUUAUAAAAUUUUCACUUGUUCAUUUAAUAAAUUAAUAUUUUUUUUAAUUCUAUAAAAUAUUAAUAAAUUAAUAUAAGAUCUAAAUGAACAAGUAUAUCAAUUUUACAAAUGGUAUUGUGGAAUUUAAAAACUUCAAUGCCAGUAUAUAAAAUAAUUCAUAUAUUAAUCCAUAUGUUUUUAGGAUUAUUAUUCUACAAACCUAUGACGCUUUGAUAUUUUAGUCUAAAAGCUCUCACAAUUAGCACUUAAAGUUAAAAAAAUUUACAGGUUUAAAUAUUAUAAUGUAUGUUUUUUUAUUAACCCACAAAAUAAAUUAAAAUAAAUUAACAAAAAAGUUAAUAGAAUAAUUAUAAUUUUUUAAAAUGUAGUUUAAAAUUGAUCUUAUGUCAAUUCAAGAAUAGAUCUUAUGGUUUAGUUUUUUGGAUCUAGAUCGAGUAAGUAUUUAAAAUUGAAAAUCAUUCUAAAAAAUUGAUUUUAAAAGUUUUAAAUUUUGAAUGAUUUUGAAUAGUAAAUUAAGUCUUAUGAGCACUUUAAAAUUGAUCCAAGACAAUUUAUGGAUGAUUUUGGACCGUCUCUCACAUCUACUUAGUUCAUUAACUUCAUCAAUUGCCCAUAAUUGUUGUUAUUUAUUUUGACGUGUAGGGGUGUAAUCUUGAUAAUAUAGUGUCAAGUUUGAUUAUUAUUAAUUUAUAUAAAAUGUUAAAAAUUUGAUGCAAACUUAGUCUGAAUUUAAAAUAAAAUUUAAAUAAAAUAUUAAAAUAUACAUAAAUUUUAUAUAAUAUUAAAAAUUUAAAAUUUUAUUAAAAACUUAUCAACCAUUCAAAUUUAGUAUUAAAAAAAUUAUAUUAUACAAGUGACAAGUCGAGCUCGACUUCAAUCUCGUUACUUAGUAAUAUUACUUUUUUAUACUCUUAUUGAUAUAGUAGUUACUAGUAUUUUUUUAAAUAUAAUUCUUAAAUAAAAUUUUCAAUUAUUUAAAAAUAAUUUAAAUAAAUUUUUAUUUUUAUUAUAUUGAAUCAAAUUUUUAUAUAUUUUGUAACUUAAAUAGAUCUUUAUAAUUAAUAAUUAAUUAAUUAUUAUUAAUUAAAAUAUUAUUAAUUAUUUUUUUUCAUAUAGCAUUGAUAUGAUAUUGAUGUGAAGAGUAAAAAAAUUAUAUAAUCAUAUUAUUACGCUAAAUUAGUAUAUCAUAUCAGUAUUAAUUAUGAUAUAUUAACAUAUUAAGUAUAAAAUAAUAAAUUAUUAGACUCAAAAUAAAUAUAAAACUUAUUUAAAUUGAAAUAAAAAUAUAAGAAUUUAAUUAUAGGUAAUAAAAGAUAAAGUUUUAUUUGAAUUUUUUAAAAUAGUUUAGAAAUUUUUUAGAUAGUAUCUUAUUUUUUAUUGUUAAUUUAGAAUAUUUAUUUUAAAAUUAUUUUUCCAAAUUUUUGCUAAAAUUAAAAAAAUUGAUGAAAAAAAUAGAGAAAUUACUGCAUAUUCGCUGCAAAAACACAAAAAUGAAAAAAAAACCCUUGUUGUUCAUCUCGUCUCCCGCUCUCGUCUACCUUCAUUGACCCGACUGCCGGUUGCACUCUGCUUUUUCUCCUUUCUUUUCUUUUCUUCUUCGUUUGAGUCCCUCUUUUUCUUUCUCUCAGUCCCCUUUCUCUUCUUUCUUCUCCUCUCACCACCGAAGCCUCUCUCUUUCUCACAGACCCACCCCGUCUUAUUUGGGUAUGAUUUGGCUAGUGGGUUUUACGGCGGUCUUGGGUUUUUGUUUUGCUUCUUUUUUUUUUCUGUGAAGAGUUGAAUGGUGAAUUAUUAUAUCUUGUAUAGUUGGGGUAUUCAACAUUUGUGUAUACAUUUUCUUUGGGGGUGGGGGGGGGGGGGGGGAUUCCUUGGAAGUGGAAACGGUGAAUCUAAGCGUUGAAGCUGCCGCUUAAUUCGUGGCAAUUUCAGCUUUCCAAUGCCGAGAUAGACAGCUGCUGCAGUGGUAAGACAAGCUCUUUUCUCCACCAUUAGAACAAGAUUUUCUUUGAUCUCAUUUGGUUUUGUUUGUGUUGACAAAUUUUUGAUCGAUAUCAUGUUGAAUUUAUUUUCCAGUUUGAUGAUUAUUUAUGUAUUCUUUUGUUCUGAGGAUUGGAGUAAAUAAUUUUCAAAUAUGAUCAUGAUUUUUGCAUAUAUUUUAUUUUAUUUUUAAUUUAUAAUUUUAAUAAGCUUUUUGACUGCCACAUAGGACAUUUAAUAAUGACACUGACUAUGGGAAAUGCUCCCAAACAUACUCAUCUUGUAAAAAUAUAGAAAAUUUUGGUCAAAUUUUCGUUUUUCACUCGAAAGAAUUUGGUCUAGUUGAGACAUCGAAUUUGACAACUCAUCCCAGCUCAAGCCGGUCCCUUUGCGUUGACUUUUUUUUUUUAUUCCUUUUUUGGAGUUCUGACCAUGCAUGAAAAUAUGCUUUGCUCAUUGAUUCUCAAAACUCUUACAAGUGCUUCAACGUUUGCAGCUGUUGUCUUCUCUAACUUGGUUUGAUUUUCUUUUCCUUUUGUGGGUUUGGUACUUUUCCAUUUGCUGCUUCUGCAUGCCUCUUGCAUUCCUCAAAAGCCAGAACCUUUCCUUUUGAUUCUCUGUCAUCACAUUAACUAAUUCUAAACUUUCUCAUUAGCUCUCUGAUUGCUAAGAGAGAUGGCGAGUGACUGAAAACCCUUUUUAAUUUCUCACCAUUUUGAUUAUUUGAAUUUAAGUCAUUUGGUGUCAUCGUUGCUUGGUUGCUGUUUUUCAUUAAUAUUUUCCUUUUUGAGUCUGCCCUGCUGUUGGUUCCUACUGAAAAAAGAGAAAAAGGAAGCAAGGAACCAAAGAAAGAAAGAGAACACCGGAAAGAAUGGAAGCUGCAAUUGCUACUGGUGGCGCUGGCAACCUGGUUGCUGAAGUUGUCAAAUACAUAGCCACUCAAUUUAAACGUCCUGUAAGUUACAUAUUUCUCCAUAAGAGAAAGGUUGAGAAUUUUGAGGAAAAGGUUGAGAUGUUAACAGACAGACGGCAGAGAGUGCAGAAUGCUGUUGAUGUUGCUGAAAGGAACAUGGAGAUAAUAGAAAAGGAUGUCCAAAAUUGGCUUAUUAGAGUGAACAGGAUAAUCAACGAAGAGGUGAAGGAAGUGAAGGAUCUCGAAGACAAAGCCAAGAGCAAAUGUUUUGUUGGCUUGUGUCCUAACUUCAGGUCUCAUUACCUGCUAAGCAAGAAAGCAGGAGAAGAUGCCAACACUAUUGAUGAACUCCUCCGGCAAGGUGAAUUUAGCAGGGUAUCAUGCCCUGCUGCUCCACCAGACAUAGUGGCUGCCUCUGCCAAAGAGUUCGAGGCCUUUGAUUCAAGAAAGAAAGUUUUUGAUGAGAUCGUGGAGUCUUUGAAAGAUGCCAGUAUCAACCUGGUGGGGGUCUAUGGGAUGGGUGGUGUUGGCAAGACCACACUAGUCAAAGAAGUUGCGAGACAAGUCAAAGAGGAUAAGUUAUUUGAUUCGGUGGUUAUGGCAGCUGUAACUCAGACACCUGACAUUCAGAAAAUUCAAAACCAAAUUGCAGAUAUAUUGGGUUUAAAGUUUGACGAGCAGAGUAUGACUGGAAGAGCCUGUCGGUUGUCUGAAAGGUUGAAGAAAGAGACGAAGAUUCUUGUUGUUUUAGAUGACAUUUGGGCGAGGCUAGAUCUGGAAGAAGUUGGAAUUCCUCUUGGAGAUCAACAGAAGGGAUGCAAGAUACUAUUGACAUCAAGAGAUCAAGAUGUACUAUUUAAUGGGAUGGAUGCUAAGAAAACUUUUGCAAUCGGUGUUUUGGAAGAAAGUGAAGCUUGGGACCUCUUUAAAAAGAUGGCAGGGGACAGUGUUGAGAAUCUUGAGUUGUGGUCUACAGCAAUUAAGGUAGCACAAAAAUGUGCUGGAUUGCCGGUCGCCAUUACCACAGUUGCAAGGUCUUUAAGAAACAAGGGUUUAUUUGCAUGGAAUGAUGCUCUGAGAAAACUACAGAGGCCUUCUCCUACAAACUUCACAGGGAUACCGGCACAUGUAUACUCAGCUAUAGAGUUGAGUUACAAUCAUUUAGAAAGUGAGGAACUCAAACAGACUUUCUUGCUUUGCAGUCUACUAGGUCACCAUGUUGCCAUUCAAGACUUGUUGAAAUUUACCAUGGGUUUGGGUUUAAAAAAUGAGGAUGUUCUGAAAGAUUGGCCUGAUGAAGAUACUAUGAAAAUGUGCAGUAGCAUUAGUUUGUCCUAGAUAGUAUUAAUGAGUAUUAAUGAGCUUCCUGAUGAGUUGAAAUGUCCUCAACUUGCUUUCUUCCAUAUGGGUAGCAAGGAUGCUUCUGUAAGAAUACCAGCUAACUUUUUUAAGGAAACGAAAGAUCUUAAAGUCCUAGAUUUAACUGACAUGCAUCUUCCCUCCUUACCUUCAUCAAUUUGUCUCUUAACAAAUCUUCGUACACUAUGCCUAGAUUUAUGUGUGCUAGGAGAUAUAGCCAUUAUUGAAGGGCUCAAGGAUUUAAAAGUUCUUUGCCUUAUAGGAUCUGAUAUUGAAAGACUACCGAGGGAAAUUGCACGGUUGACACAGCUAAGGUUAUUAGAUCUGCAUGAUUGCACCCAACUCAAAGUAAUCCCUCCGAAUGUCUUAUCAAGUUUGUCCAGAUUAGAAGAAUUAUACAUGGGUAACAGUUUUGUCCAAUGGGAAGCAGAGGGACAUGCCAAUGAAAGAAGCAAUGCUAGUCUUGCAGAAUUGAAAUCUUUGUCUCGUUUGACCACUUUAGAGGUUCAUAUUCCUGAUGCCAAGAUUAUGCCAAGCGACUUGUUUUUUGAAAAGUUGGAAAGAUACAACAUCUUUUUGGAAGAUAAGUGGAAUUGGUUUGAUGCGAAUGAAUACUCGAGAACUCUGAACCUCAAGCUAGAUUCUGGCAUUGAUGAUUUGGAUCUUGGAACUAAAAUGUUGUUGAAGAAAGCUGAAGAUCUACACCUACAUGAAAUGAAAGGUGUCAAGGUUGGGCUGAAUGAGUUGGAAGAUGGGGAAGGUUUUCCACAUUUGAAAAAUCUCCAUAUCCAAAAUGGUUUGGAGAUUCAAUAUAUCAUUCAUGACAAUGAUGCAGUUGAUAAAGUUGAGUUUCUUCAACUAAGGUCAUUGACACUUCAGGAUCUACCACAACUUAUAAGCUUUUGCUCUGGAAACAGAAGAGGCUUUACUUCCAUAUCUCCACUGGAAUUUCCACUUUUCAAUGAAAAGGUAUUUAUUUAUCCUCUUUUAGUAAAUGGCAUUUGUUGGUCUUAUUUCUAACAAUAUUUAGAUUUAUUCAUCUCAAACAAUGUUCUCAAAAUUAAAUUUAAAUCCAACAUUAUUUUUGCUAAGUGGCCCUUAUAUUGUUAUAAAGCCAAUAUAUAAGUUGCAGAAUUAAUUUGCUUGGCGUGAGUCACUCAACUAGAUUUCCCGUAAUCCAUUAGAAAAUCGUGUUUUAUACUUAUUCUCUUUGUAAAUUUAUACGUGAGAGUUUAGCUUAAGUGCUAAGAUGUGCGAGGGUUUGACUACAGAUCUUUUGUUCAAGAAUUUCCCUAGUCUAGUUUUGAAUAGGUUAAUCUUAAGAUAAGAUUAAUAUUACUCUAAUGUAGUAAGCUAACUUAAAAGAUUGAGACAACAAGAAUUGAAUAGAUAACCAAUUGAUUUUAUUAUAGUAGGCAACAAUUCAUUUGUAGUUCAAAUAAGCUGCUUAAGAAAUAAACUGGAAACUUGGGGAUCCAACUGAAUUUGAUUGAUAGUCAUUUUCUCUCUUUCCUUCCUUUUUCCCCCUUUUUUCCUUUUUGUUUUUGAUCAGAUCAUCAUUUUCUCUAUAUGCUACUUGAUGUGUAAAGAAAACAAGUGUGAGAAAUUUUAAGGUUGACAUUGUUUGAAACAUUUUGUUUACAAUCCCUUUGUAUGAUGUUGAAGCAGUUAUCUGAAUCUGGAUCCGCUAUAGUUUGUCGGCUAAACAUAGUUUUUUUUUUAAAAAUUAUUUUUAAUUAAGUGGGAAGGAAGGAGGUCCAGUUGAUGUUGAGAUUUAGAGCAAUUUCAUCUAAAAACCAAUGAUUUCUAACACUAACUCAUCGUAACACAAUUGCUAUUAAAGACACUGAAUGAGAAUGGGUACUAAUUUCUGCUCAGUGGCGCAGCAGUUGGAAUGGCAGGCAUUAUUCCUUCUUUUUCAUCAUAGUGUGUUAUGUAAUUAUAAAUACACAAAAAGAAGAAUUUCUAUUCCUUUUUGUUUAAUUUCUUUUCUAUCCUCUAGUUGAAAUAAGAAGGUAAGAUUUUUAUAAGAAAAAAAUUACUUGUGUGUAGGUGGUGUUUCCAUGCUUGGAAAAUCUGCGGUUGUCCUCAAUUAACGUUGAACGGAUAUGGCACAAUCAGCUUUCUGAAAUAUCUUAUUGCUUUCAGAAUCUGAUAAGAUUGAUCAUUGAAGAUUGUGGCAAGUUAAAACGCCUAUUAUCCUCUUCUAUGAUUAGAAGUCUAGAGCAUCUCAAAAGCUUUGAGAUAAGUGACUGCAAGUGCUUAAGAGAGAUAAUACUCACAGAGGAUAUAGAAGAAGAAAACAAGUCUAUGGUUUUAUUUCCUCGGUUAAACUCUCUUAAAAUAAAGAGUAUGCAACAUCUUAUUGGGUUUUGCUCAGAAAAUCAUAGUAUUGAAUUCCCAUCCUUGAAGCUAUUGGAGAUAGAGCACUGCCCUCAAUUUAAGGGAUUCAUGUACAAAUCUACGAUGGAGGACAACCAACGUUGCUCUACACAAGCUCUCUUCGACGAAAAGGUAGAUUACUGUUAAUGUUCUUUUCUCUACUUAUGUUCUCUUUGUCUUGAUUUCGGCCUUGAUUGUAGGAAGUAUAACUUUUAUUAUCUUUUCUCUCUUUAAUGGCAUGUACUACACACAGGUUGCAUUUCCCUGUUUGGAGAAAAUGACGAUUUCCCACUUAAGAAAUCUGAAGGUGAUAUGGCACAGCUAGCUCUUUGCAAGUUCCUUUUGCAAACUGGAAGAAAUGAGAGUUGAACACUGUAAUGAGUUGCUGACCGUUUUUCCAUCUAACAUAUUGGGAACAUUCCAACAACUGCAAACUCCGAAAAUAUCCAGUUGUGGUUCACUAGAAGAAGUAUUUGACCUUCAAAGGUUAAAUGUGGAAGAAACACAGGUUGUAGCCACUCAAUUAAGAGAAUUGAAUAUUGUUCAUUUACCAAAAUUGAAGCAGAUUUGGAAUAAUGAUCCCCAAGAAAUUUUAACCUUUCAAAAUCUAUGCACAGUAUAUGUUUGGGAUUGUUGGAAUCUGAAGAAUGUGUUUCCACCCUCUGUAGCUAGUGUUCUUCCUCAGCUUAAAGAUCUUAAAAUAUAUAGCAGUGGGUUCGAGGAGAUUGUUUCGAAGGAGGAAGGAUCGGAAAUGGCUAUUACUUUUGAGUUUCAUCAAGUAUCCUCCCUUAUUCUUUGGAACCUACCAAAACUAAAAUGUUUCUACCCAGGAAAGCAUACAACGAAGUGGCCAAUGUUAAAGAAGUUGAUAACCUAUCAUUGCAAUGACAUAAUGAUACUCAGUACAGAACAGCGGAACAUCCAAGAAAUGAAUGGUGGCUAUCAACUUGAAUCCCCAAUCCAACCACCACUUUUCUUGGUUGAAAAGGUAUGAAAUAAUUUAUCCUUUUUUCUAAAUAUUCAAAUGUAAGUUCUCACUACAAUUUUGAAAAAACUAUAACAGUUCUACAAAAUGAUUUAUAAAAAAUUAUCAAGGGAAUAUUUUCAUUCUUGUACUUUAACUGUUUAAUUCAAUUAAUUGGUACUUUAUUAAUUUUAAACAUAAUUUAAUUAGUAAGUACUUUAAUUUUUUGUUUACUAAGUUCUCCCCUACUAUAUCUACUCAUUCUCAAGUCUCAUCUCCAUCUCCUAAAAAUAUAAAAGAAAAAAGGAAUGUUAUUAACCACCUUCUUUUAAUUUCUCUUUCAUUUUCUCAUCCCAUGCUCCAAUAGAAGAAAUUUUCUCUAGUUAUUUAUCCUUUUAUUUCAUUUUUUAGCAAUUAUAUUUUCUUCCAUAACGUUUAGAUUUUAUCCUUAGAUAGGCAUUGCAUGUAUUGAUUGACUAAUGGAAUUUAUAUGAAGUGGUAUUUUGAAAGUUGUCCAAUUGUUUGCAUCAUUUUCACUCACUUUAAUAUUCCCAAUAUAGAUUAAUAUAUUACAUUGCUAUGUUCUGUCCAUAAUAUUUUCAAUUGGAUAGUGAAAAUACGAAAUAUCAUUAAACAAAGUAAAGUUUGAAAUGUAAUUCUGAUUUGUCUAAAGAAUUGCAUGACCUGUCCUUUCAGCAUUUAUGUGAUGGACUUUUUUGGUGUGUGCGCUUUUUCAGGUCAUCCCUAAACUUAAAGAAUUGUCAUUAAACUGUGAUGACAUUACAAUGAUGCGUGAUAGUCAGUUUUCAAGAAGCCUUUUUCCUGGAGUAAAAGUCCUUAAGUUGCUCUGCUACCAUGAUGAAAAUGCUAUUUUUCCAAUUGCUUUCGUUGAAAGAUUCCAAAAUCUAGAAAGGCUUGAGGUGAUUUGUUGUAAAUUCAAAGAACUAUUCUCUUCUGAAGGAGAUAUAGGUUUGGAGAGACGUGCUGGGACACUUUCACAAAUUAGAACCUUAAAAUUGGAUGGUCUUGAUAAUCUUCUGCAUAUAUGGAAGCAAGACUCACGACUAGACCACAUUCUUCUAAAUCUUGAUACUCUUGAAGUUCACAACUGUAGGGGUCUGAUUGGUUUAGGAUUGUCCUUGUCAUCAUUUCAAAAUCUCAAGACCUUGGACGUGUGGGAGUGCAAUGCAAUGAUAAAUUUAGUUACAUCCUUAGCAGUCCAAAGUCUGGUGCAACUUGAAAAAAUGAGGAUAAUAGAGUGCCUUUCAAUGAAAGAAAUUGUUGGAGAUCCGGGAGAUGAAGAAACUUAUGACAUUAUUUUCAGUAACCUGAAAUGUUUGGAACUUCAACAUUUACCAAAGCUUACAAGCUUUUGUUCAGGCAAUCACACAUUUGAGUUCCCAUCUUUGGAACAAGUAAUUGUGAGCCAGUGUCCCGAAUUGAAGAUUUUUUGUCAUGGAGUUCUAAAUGUCCCACUGCUGAAAAGAGUCCAAAAAACAAACAAAGAUGAUAAAGGAUCUUGGGUUGGUGAUCUCAACAGCACCAUCCAACAGCUUUGCACAGAACAGGUACUUAUCAAUUUACCAAGUGUUAUUCAUCUCUAAUAUUAUUUGUCUUGUAAGGCUCUUGUAAUUAAUCUUUCUAUUGCUCGUUGUUGUUUUGAAAACCAUUGGUGAUUGCUCAUUUUCUUUUAAUUGUUUAGCUUUACUUUAGGGUUUUUCGGUUUUUAUUUCUUUGUUGUUAUGAUAUUUAUUCUUGUAAUAUAAUAAGUGGUGUAAUAAUUUGAAUUUUGUAGGUUGGAUUCCAAGGAAUGGAGUAUUGCGUACUUUCCGAAUUUUCUAAGUCAAUGGUGAUUUGGAAUGAGAAUCUUCCUGGAGUUUUAGACUUCAAAAAUCUUAAGAGUUUGGAAGUCUAUGGAUGUAAUAGAUUGAAGUACAUUUUUACCUUUUCCAUGGCUUUGGAUCUUCAGCAACUCAAAGAGAUAAAAGUUAAAGAUUGCCUCAUGAUGGAGCACAUUAUUACAAAUGAUGGAGAGGAAGCAGCGACAUUGACAAUCAUGUUCCCUUGGCUUCAGUUCAUAACUCUUGAGUCAUGUUCAAACUUGACAAGUUUUUAUUCAGGAAUUAAUAUAUUGGAAUGUCCAUCUCUGAAAGAAAUUAUUCUAGUUGACUGUCCAAAGAUAUUUGCAUUUGCAUCCACAAUUUCCAGAGAGCAAGGGCCUGAGAAAUUUGACAGAGGAAAUAUGAAAAGGAAUGGAAAGGGAAUCCCCUAUGACUCUGUUGCACCCUUUUUCAGUGAGAAGGUCAGUCUUUUUUAUUUGUGCAGUGAUAAUUUUUGAAGUUUUGAAUAUUUAGCUUUGUAGUUGUGGUUAUUGAGAGAAAAACAACAUUUAAUCAACACUAGAAUAAAGUUUAUUCGAAUGUUCUGGAAAUACUGAAGCUGCAAUAGCCCAAUGACCUGAUUUGGCAUGCAAAUAAAUUAGCCUUAUAAAAAGCAAACCCAAACUUUUCAAAUAUUGAAGCAGCUUCAUGAUUAUGGUUCAAUCUCACUAAAAAUCCAUAGAACAGAAUAGUUCAUGGUUCUAUCCUAUCAAUAACAACACAAAGAGUCCCGACCAUCGUUCACAACUUUGGUACCAGAACCAAUUUAAUCAUAGUGCUGACCAUCGUUGUUUCUCAUUAUUUGCAUGCCAAUGCUUUGGAAUCUUUUUUUUGUUGGAUAAUUAAAUAUUUAUUUUAAUCUCCAGAGGUUGUAGCUAACUUGCUAACAAUGGACUGGCUAAUACACCAGUUCCUAAAUUAAACUUUGUUUAUAGGCUCUUCUUGCCUUAAUGCUCAGGAAACAUGUCACAUUGCUUUCCUUUAAUUAAAGAAUAGAUUGUUGUUCAUGCAAUGAGGAUUGUGCUUGCAGGUAUUGUGUCCCCACUUGGAGUACUUGCGAUUGUGUUCAAUUAACAUUCGAAAAAUAUGGCACGAUCAACUACAAGUAACAUCUUCAAAUCUUCAGAAUUUAAAGACUUUGAUUGUGGAGGGUUGUCACAGUUUGAAAUAUCUAUUUCUACCUACCAUGGGAAAAACUUUUUUGCAACUCAGGGACCUUUAUAUUAUUAAUUGUCAGAAUGUGGAGGAAGUAAUCAUCGUAGAAGGAUUAACAGAAAAAGAAAGGAUAUCACAAAUGUUUUUUCCUAAACUAGAAUUACUGGAGCUCAGAGGCCUUCCCAAACUUGUGAGAUUCUGCCAUGGAAAUUACUUUGUCUUCCCUCUCUUGAGAACACUAUGGAUAGCAGACUGUCCUGAAUUCGAAUACUUUAAUUUCCAAUUCUCUAAUUGGAGGUCAACCUCAGAUGGCUCAAAAGGAGGAAGGAAACAAGUCAGAGGUUGAUGCUUUAUCCCUCUUCAAUGAAAAGGUGAUUUCUUCUUUUGCUUUUUUGCCAUAUAUGAGUUUUAAUUUUCUUCCAGUAUUCUUGUAUAUUCUUGUAGCUAGCUUUUCUUACUUCUAUUAAUUUCACCUUUCAUAGCAGUAGUAUAUUUAAUAAGAUUUCAUACUGGUUACUUUCCCAACCCUUUUGUGUAGAUUAUCUAAGUAUGAUUUAUUUUCCCUUGUUAACAUGAGUAAAUAAAUUCUGCAGGUCGCAUUCCCUAGAAUAAAAGAAUUGAGAAUUGCAGGCAUGGGGAACUGGAGAAAGAUUUGGCAGGACAAACUCACUGUGGAUUCCUUUUGUGAACUAAAUUUCCUCUUAGUGAAAAAUUGUGAAAGACUUUUGAAUAUUUUUCCGUUUGACAUGAUGGAAAGACUUGACAAACUAAAAGAACUGCAUAUAUGGAACUGUGCUUCAUUAGAAGAAAUAAUUGGAGCUCAUGAGCUCAAUUCCUAUGAAUCACAUGUGAUUAAUGCUACUCAAUCAACCAUCAUGUUUGUACUUCCUAAAGUAACAUUCCUUGGACUUUCUACACUUCCCAAAUUGAAGUGUUUCUACUCCAAGAUCCAUACUACAGAAUGGCCGUCAUUAAUAGAAUUGCAAGUGAUUGGAUGCAGCAAAGUAGAGAUAUUCGCUGGGGAGUAUCUAAACUUACAAGAAGUGCAAAGAGAGAGCCAACUUGAAAUCUCUACUCAACAACCCUUGUUUUGGGUCAGUAAGGUAUGAACACCAUAAAUAUUUAGCUUGUACUGAUGAAUUUUCAGUGUUACAUUUUACAUGGUCAUUUGUGUCAGGGUCAAUCUGCAGCACUUUUCCUUUUUUUUUUCUCUUGUUAUUUCACAAAUAUCUAUUGCAUCAGUAUGCUGAAGUGUAGCUGUUCUCCUUUUUUUACUUUUAUAAUAAACAUUUGGAGAUUUAGACCUUUAGAUGGUUCAUUGGGAUUGCAAGUAUGUUCUACAUCCUUUGCCAAUUCGAACCUUUACUUUUGUUUAACAUAUUGUUAAUUUCUCAGGAGACGUUCCCCAAUCUUGAAGUAUUAAUUCUCGAGCAGAAUGACAUUAUGAAGGAGAUAUGGCUUGGACAACUUCCAACACAAUAUUUUAGCAAACUAAGAGGGCUUGAGCUCAUAAGCUUUCCUUUCAAUGCAGUUUCUGUCCCAGAUUGUUUCAUUCAGUCAUUACCAAAUCUUGCAAAGCUUGUUGUCAGUGAAGCUUCCUUUAAUGAAAUAUUUCAAUGUGAAGGACGUGAGGGUGUGGGAGAACAUGCAAAAGCACUUGCUUUGUUGAGUGAACUAAGGCUAUCCGAACUUCCCGAGCUGACAUGUCUCUGGAAGGAAGAAACACCACUUGGAGAUGCUUUUUAUAACCUGAGAACUCUAGAGGUGAUGGGAUGUGGAAAAUUAAUGAAUUUAGUGCCAUCCUCUGUGUAUUUUGAAAAUUUGACAACUUUGGAAGUAUCAAAAUGCCAUGGAUUUAUAACUUUAAUAGCACUCCCAACUGCUAAAAGCAUGGUGCAUCUCGCAAGAAUGAGUAUUACUGAUUGCCAAAUGAUGGAAGAAGUCGUAGCUUGUGCAAGUGAAGUGAAGGAUGGCAUCAUUUUCUCCCAACUGAAGUAUUUGGAACUUGGUAAUCUUCCGAGCCUAUCAAGCUUCUGCUCAGGGAAAUGUUCCUUUCUAUUCCCUUCCUUGGAAAAUGUUACUGUCAGAAACUGUUCAAAGAUGAAGAUUUUCUCUCAAGGAGAGUUGAGCACACCCAAUAUGCAGAGAGUUCAAUUUGCUGAAGAUGAAGAGCGUUGGGAUGGAAAUCUAAACACAACUAUGGAACAGAUCUUCAUACAAAUGGUAUGCCUUCUUCAACAUAUCUUGCUCUUUUUUUUCCUCUCCCCACCCUAUUAAAGCCUUGAUCUGAGUAGUUGGAGCUUGCUCAAAGGCAAUUGCUUCUUGUGUUACAACAUGUCACUAGCUAUAGAAUGUCUACGAAUGUAACUGAAAAAUAUCUUUUUCUCCUUUCAAAAGUAAUUCAUCAGUUUUGUUCAGGCAUUUAACGGGGAUCUGAAAACAUAUGGCAGACUCUCAUUUAGACAUGCGUAAAUGCAUUUUAUCUGACAAUAAAACUACCUAGGAUGAAGUUGAUAGAAGAUAAAGUUUAUCACAUUGCAAAAACUAGAACAUUAACCUUUAUUCUAUAGAAACCAAAGCAAAAUUUGUAUAGACCUGAGGGUUGAGCCUGCCUGAUUGGAAGUAAUCUUAUUUAUUUUGCAGCAGUAGUUGACAAAAUAAGAGUUAUGUCAAACCUGUUUAUAGAAUUAUCUUAAAAUGGGCAGUUCUUGUAACAAUUGAUUUCUUGUUUGUUGUGAUGUUGUUAUAUUUACAGAAUGUCUCCAAUUCUAAAGAGGAGGAAGGUUGUUCCUCACACCCCAAGUUCAAUCAAGACAAUGCUUCUAUGUUUUUGUGAGACACUGAAGCUCACGUUUGUUAGAACUUCCAUUGGGUCAGAUGGUAAGAGGGUAUUCUUUUGAAAAACAUUAUUUGGCUGCUUUAGCUUUGUGCUCACGUUGUUACAAAUGCUUUACAGAUGGUUCUGGCACUUUUUGAUCUUAGGACGAAUGGUCAACACUACCCAUUAUGUCAUGGUGCCAGGAAAAUAUUUCCCUUCCCAAAGAUAAUGUAUUAGAAGUUCUGCUAUUUGUGCAAGUCUGUAUUGAUUUCUAGGUAAAUUACAGCACUUGAAUCUAAUUAGCUUAAAGAUAUCUUUUACGAGUCUGUAAAUGUAGACACCUACAUUUGUUUUGUUCUAAGAAAGAGCCAGUACUUUUGAUGAGCUUAUCCAACAAGGUGAAUUUAACUGAGUAUCAUACCCUGAUGUUCCACAAGGCACAGUGACUGCAUCUCUCAAAAAUUUUGAGGCCUUCGAAUCAAGAAAGCCAGUUUUUGACAGGAUCAUGGAGGCUUUGGAAGCUUCUACCAUCAGCCUGAUAGGGGUGUGUGGGAUGGGAGGUGAGCAAGACCACACUAGUCGAGGAAGUUGCAAGUUGAGGAGGUUGAGAUAUUUGCUUCGGUGGUAGGGAAGCUUUAACUCAGAGUCCUGAUAUUCUGAACAUUCAAGACCAAAUUGCAGAGUUAUUGGCUUUAAAGCUGGAAGAAAAGCUUACAGUAGUAAGAGUACAAUGGAAAAAUCUCAUCUCUUUAACUCCUCUUAACAAAGCAGUGCAUCUAAGUAGCAGUCAAAGAACUCAACCAGCAGCUCACCAAAGCCAUCUGAUGCAGCAGAAGUCUGCUGCACCACCCUAGCUAAGCAACUGCUGGUCCAUGACCAAGGCAGGUUAAGACAACAGCAGCUAAGCUAAGCCUUCAUUACAGUCGCAAAAUAAGUCUUAUCCACUUUGACAGCAAGGGUUCGAGUACUCAAGCACUUAUCCAUUCAAGCAGCUGAAGAUUCAAAGCAAAGUCUAUCUAUGGCAGUUGUUCAAGACUUGAUAUUUUUAAAUUCAAUAGGAUCGUGCUGAUCAUCAUUGUAUUGUUCAAAUUUAAAUGUAGAUAAGCCUUAUCACCAUACCAUGUAACUUUGUAAAAAAAUGUGGAUACAUUACAUCCAUGAAUCAGAUCCGUUUUUUAAGUUUGUAUCCGGUCGUCUCUUGCUUUUACAAAGAGCAUGUUGAUUGUGCGAAAGAUUGAAGAAAAAGAAGAAUAUUCUUGUUGUUUUAGAUGAUAUUAGGGCAAGACUAGAUCUCGAGGUAGUCGAAAUUCCUUUUGGAGAUCAACACAAUGGAUGCAAGAUGCUGCUGACAUCCAGAGAUCAUAAUGUUCUAUCCAAUGGGAUGGAUGCUAAGAAUACUUUUGUAAUCAGUGUUUUGAGAAAACAAAAAUGAAGCUUGUGACCUGUUUAAGAAGAUGGCGGGGAACAAUGUUGAAGUCCUGAGUUGCGAUCUGUAUCAAUUGAGGUAGCCAAAACAAUGUGCAGGAUUGCCAGUGGACAUUGCAACAGUUGCUAGAGCUUUGAGAAAUGAAGGUUCAUUUGAGUGGAAGGGUUGCUUUGAAGCAACAUGAGAGGCCUUCUUCAAGAAAGUUCAUCGUUAGUGAAAAGAAGAAAAAACCUUAAUAAGGUCUUAUGGUUAAAUUAACAGAUGAAAGAAAUGCCACAAUAAAAAGGAGAACUCAUGGACGAAAGAAUGGUAUGCAGGAAAAACCAGAGAAUAAAUCACCUUUUCAUUAAAGAGAGCGGAGUUAUCAAGCUCUAGGUCAUUUCCUUGUGCGUUCUGAUCAAUUUGAGGUUCAUCUCCAACAUCUUCAAUUGCAGAUAUAGAGAUGAAUGUCUUCAAUACAGGACAGUUUGUGAGGACUAGCUCUCUCAAGAAGGGGAAUUCAUUGUCAGUUUCAUAGCAGAAUCUUCUGAGUUUAGGAAGGUCUUGGAGCUUUAGGAAUUUUAGUUGAGGGAACCACAUCUUGCUCAUCCUUUCAUCUUCUGUCAAUCCUUCCACGAAGAUUAUUUUUCCAUGAUCUUACAGUCCAAAAUUGAAAGGCUAUGGAGUUGCACAAAAUGCUUUACCCCGACAGAUGGAAACAGAUAUUUCAAAUUGUGACACCCCUUUAUCUUAAUCCAUUCCAAAUUCUGAACAUAGAGAGAGGAUGCUAGUUGUUAGAUAUGCCAUAUCUUUUGAAUGUUAAGAUUCAAGGGUCAAAUCCCAUUGUCUUCCUUGGACUCUUAAUAUGUACCAUACGAGGAAACUAUAAAAAAUACCUGCAAAAGCAUAUAUUAUCAUAUAUUUGAUUCGAAUGUAUCAAAGAUGGCAAAAUGGUUAAAUGAAAACAGGAGAAUCAUAAUAGGCUGACGGAGUUUACAAAUAAAAUAAUACAUAUUUGUAGGUUGCAGUGCCAUGCAUUAUGCACCAGAAAAUCAGUGCUGAGUUUUCUUUUUGGCCAUAUAAGACCGACAGCUGAAAGUUACGAAAUGAAAUAACCUUUUGGAUUCCAAGGACGCUGGCCGACAACUAGGCAGCUAAUUCAUUCUUCAGUAGAACAAUUCAAUCUGCAAUGAAAAGGCAUCUCAACCGUCAGUCUAUAAAUUGCAAUUUUAUCAUUAUGGAUGAAAUAAAGUAGACAAAUGAAAAAUUAUGAAAUUGGAACAGGUACUUAAUUACCAUCAGAUGGAUUUCAAUUCAAGGAAAAUGAGCCUGUCUCACAGACACCAAAACAUGCAUAUUGCCUUAUUCCAGCUUGGGCAACUAUACGAUAACCUCAGCCACUUCAGAAUUUUGGACAUUCUGUGAUCACGAGGAACAACAUAUUGAAAGGUAAAACCAAUUAGCAAUGUAGUGAAAGGCACCAAACUACAUUUUGCAAUAAUUUUCAUUAUUAAAAAGAUGUUAAAAGCUUUAUGUCUAUAGCUUCAGUGGGUAGAAUUAUAGCAAAGGCAGCUGAUGAAAACUAGAAAAACAUUGGAAAAUGCUUUAAAUUGAGGCAUACCAUUUCUUCAAACAUCUGUUUUACAGUAGUUUUAAGGUCAUUUUCCCACCGCACUUUUUCUUCAUCUUCUGUCAAUUGCACUUGCUUCAGCUUUGGUGUGCUUAAAUCUCCUUGACAGAAAAUCUUCAUUUUUGGGCACUCUCUUACAAUCACCUUUUGCAAGACUGGGAAUUCAAAGUUGUGAUCCCCUAAGCAAAAGCUUGCUAGACUUGGUAGACAACUUAAUUGCAAAUACUUCAGUCGGGUAAAGACAAUACCACCUUGCAUUUCAUCACCCCCACAUGCUAUGAUUUCCUCUAUCAUCUCACAAUCAGUUAUGCUCAUUCUUUCGAGUACCAUCAAGCUCUUAGCUGUUGAGCAUGUUAUCAAAUUUAUGAAUCCAUAACAUCUUGAAACUUCUAGAUUUUUUAAAUUUUUGAAAGACACCAAAGAUGGCACUAAAGUCUUUAAUUUGCCACAUUCCAGCACUUGAAGAAUUCUCAGGUUACAGAAAGCUGGUAUGGGUUGGAACCCUUCCUUCCAGAGAUUUGUCAACUCUGAAAGUUUAGACAACCUCAAUUCACUUAACCGAGUGAGUGACGACGCAUGUCUUUCCUCAUCACUGAGUUCUUCAGACCAGAAUAUUUGAUAGAAGGAAGCAUCACUCAGAACAAGCUUUUCAAGAUUUGGUAAUGACUGAAUGAAACAAUAUGGAAGAGCAGUUGAUUUCUCAGGAACAGACAUGAGCUCAAGAACUUUUAGUUUCCUGAAACAUUUUGUUGAGAGUACUUGGCUAUGCCAUGUCCCUUUCAUAGUAUCGUUCUGCUUCAAGCUUAAUUCUUCUAAGAUAGGGAACGUAGCCUAAAUAAUUAAAACAUGUGUGUUAAACAAAAACAAAGAGUUUAAAUUGGUUAAAUAAUAAAAGAAAGAGUUUUAUAAGUUUUGUGUUCAUACCUCAUUGACCUGAAACAAGGGUUGUUGAUUUGAGAUUUUAACCUGACUUGCUACAUGCGUUUCUCCAAAGCAAGGACAUUUUGAAGCAAAUAUCUCUACUUUGUGACAUUCAAUCACCUUCAUUUUUUUCAAUGAUGGCCAUUCUGUGACAUAUGUCUUAGAGUAAAAACUUUUCAAUUUGGGCAAUUUAUCAAGUCGAAGAUACGUCAUUUUGGGAAAUACAAACUUAGUCUCUGUUUCUACCACAAUAGACUGAGUAGCUGUUAUUGCAUGUGAUUGAUUAGCAAUGAGUGCUUGUGGCUCAAAUAUUUCCUCUAAUGAAUCACAAUUCACAAUCUGCAACUUGUUUAGUUCCUCAAGUCUUUCCAUCAUGUUAAAGGGGAAGGUAUUUCGGAGUGCUCCACAGCCUGCAACCCAUAUAUUAUGUAGUUUGCAAAACGAAUUCACAGUGAGUUGAUCCUGCCAUAUCCUUCUACAGCUCCCCAUAGCUUUGAUUGUCAACGUCUUUAGCCCAGGGAAGAUCACCUAAAAAAUUCAUUUAGUUGGGUUAAUAAAUGAAAUAGGAAAGAAAAUAACAAAUUUUAAGUGUUGAAGAAAAAAAAAAACGUAAACAAGGUCUCAUGGUUGAAUUAACAGAUCAAAGAAAUGCCACAACAAAAAGGAGAAUUCAUGGACAAAAGAAUGGUAAAGGAAAAACAAAAGAAGAAAUCACCUUUUCAUUAAAGAGAGCCGAGUUAUUUCCUUGCGCAUUCUGAUCAAUUUGAGGUUCAUCUCCAACUUCGUCAAUCACAGAGUUAGAGGUGAAUGUCUUCAAUAUAGGACAGUUUAUUAGGUUUAGCGUUCUCAAUAAGGGGAAUUCAUUGUCAGUUUCGUAGCAGAAUCUUCUGAGUUUGGGAAGGUCUUUGAGCUUUAGGAAAUCUAGAGUGGGGAACGACAUCUUGCUCGUCCUUUCUUCUUCUGUCAAUCCUUCCAUGAGGAUUACUUCUUCCAUGAUCUUACAGUCCAAAAUCGAAAGGUAACGGAGUUGCGCAAAAUGUUUUACCAUGACAGAUGGAAACAGGUAUUUCAAAUUGUGACAGCCCUGUAUCGUAAUCCAUUCCAAAUUCUGAACAUGAAAAGAGGAUGCUAGUUGUUGGAUAUGCCAUAUCUUUUGAACGUUAACUGAGGACAGAUUCAAAUUGUACAAUUUGGGACACACAACCUGCAGACAUAAUUCACAUGGUAUGAAAAACAUUUCGUUUCUUCUAAAAAAAAAUUAAUUGGAAGAAAUGAUUUCAGAGAGGGGCAUGCUACUGAUAAGUGAUGAUUAAAAUGAAUGAAAUCAAGAUUUAGAUGAAGUUCAUAAUAAACUUCUUAGUUAAAAAAGAUUAACUAAAAAUGAAAACUACAACUAAAAAGCAAUAAGCAAAAGAUUUAUAUUCUAUGUUUUAAAUAACUUGAGGUAACUCUUAUUUUUUAUAAGAAAAAACUAUGCAAUAUGAAUAAAGAUUAUUAUCAAUCAAUGGACUAAAUAUAUAUAUAUAUACUUAUUUAUAUUACUCUCUUCAUGACUUUGUGGAAUUUAAAUAAGAAAAAAUAAUUCACCAGCUGCGAACGUGUGUGUUUGAGAACUUGUGGAACGCCACUAUUAAGUACAAGUGUCAAAAUUCAUCCAAUAUUGUAUUCACUUUUUUAUAUUUUUCCACUUUUUUGUUCUUGUUUUAUAUAGUUUACUAGUCCUAGUCUAACAAGGAUGCACAAAAUUGUAAAAUUUUAUUUAUUUUAUAUAAAAACCAAAGCACCUAAAACAUUUUUCCUUAUCUAAAAACUCAUCUUUCAUGUUCUAUCCUUUUCCAUUUUUAUUUAUUUUUCAUUUUCAUGUAACGAGAAAAAAAAUAACAAAACAAGACAGUAUAUAGAAGAAAACAAUUAAACCAUUAUUUACGUCAAAAAGAGCAAAAAAAAGAAUUACUACUUUGAAUUUGACCUAAAAAGAGAAGAGAGAAAGAAAAAGAAAAAGAGAAAAUAAGCAAAAAGAAGAACAACAAAAAAAAAAGAAACCAAAAACUGUGACAUUUUGGACUUGCCAAUUAGACAAUGACAUGUGGCACAUUACCAUUAGCUUAUGUAUGUUACUUUUAGAGAUGAAAGUAGGAGACCUACAAAAAUUAUCAUCCAAUCUUAUGGUAUUAAAAUUAAUCAUCUCCUUUCUUAUCUAUACCAUUACUAGGAGGUUAACUCAUCCAAUAUUUGGAAUCUAAUACUUCCAUUUUAAGUAAAUAACAAAUAUGAGAUAGGAUGAUCAUUAUCUUACUUUAUUCAUUGUCGUCAUCAUGUGCAUCCAACUUGCCAUAAGUAGUAUUUUCUCUAUCUCUAAUAGAAGUGUCCAUGAGUCAUUCAAAUUAACCUAUGGAACCUCCCAUUCUAAAAGUCAAGCUUGAACUUGGCUUGAUCUAUUCACUUUACUAUUAUUUUAUUAUUAAAAUAAUAAAUUUUUAUUUUAUAAAUUUAAGACUUUAAAAAAUAUUUAUAAAUUAAAAUUAAAAACAAGAUAUUUAAAUUGAAUAAUGAUAAUAUAUAUAUAUAUUAUAUAUAUAUAUCAUAUUACUUAAAAAGUUAAAUUCAAAUUCUUCUUACAAUCAAAUGAAAAAAAAAAAAACAAAAAGAGAAGAAAAAGGAAAUAAAAUCUUGCAAAAAUAUGAAAAUGAAUCUUCGCUAACAAACUGACCUUAUCGCUGAAAAAAGUUGUAGUAAUAUCCCAUUUUUCACUUCUAUCACCACUCGCCUCUUUCUCCUUGUCUCUUGAAGAUGAAGAAGCAAUUGUACUCAUUCUUGGACAGUCCGCUAUCCUCACUACUUGCAAAUUUGGAAAUUUAAGAGCUCGACUUCCCAAAUAAAAACUUGUCAAGUUGGAACAUGACGCAAUUUGAAUGGAGUAGAGGUGGGGGAAUGUGAACUUAUCUGUCCUCGUUUCUUCCUCCUCAACUCCCUGUUCCAUGAUGACUGCUUCCAUCGAGGGACAUUCUUUUACUUUGAACUUCCGUAAUUGCCUAAGCCUCAAAGCCAUAGAGGGGGUAAAAAUGUAUUUCAAGCUGCUACAAUUACCAACUUCCAGAUGUCCAAGGUUUUUGAAGUUCAAAAUUUCUUGAGGGUUCCUAUUCCAUAUUUCCAUCAACUCAGAAAAUGUGUCUGAGAGCUCCAAAUCAUAUCGGUGAUGGUAUCCACCCUA